ACAAGACCAAUUGCUUAAUCAAGACACCGAACAAGAAGAGGAUGAGAAGUUGAAACAAGAAUUUGAGAAUUGGAAAUAAAAAACGUACGCAUUGACCGUGCCUUUGAGAGUCGUUUCUCUUCAGAACUCAGUGCCUCAAUCUUGGGUUAAGGAUUUUAUGCGAAGUCAGGGAAAGAGAUUGAAGUUUCAGAUGAAUUUGUGUGCUAGCAUUGAUGGGAUCUUUAACAAUUUAUCUGUGCCCUUUAACAAAGUUAAGGCUAAGUCAGCUUCUUAUAUGGCUGCUGAUUUGGUUAGUGUUGGUGAUUCAUGGCUUAGUUUUGCCAUUAAAAAGAGAUUGAUUGAGCCAAUAGCUGGAGCUGAAGACCAAGAUUGGUUCAAAUGCUUAAGUCACAAAUGGAAGGUAACAUCUUUGUCUUUGAUCCUCGAGGUAAAAUAUGGGCGGCACCAUACAGGUGGGGCACAACGGUGAUAGCCUACAAGAAAAGUAAAUUUCGAAAGCAUAAUUUGGCUCCGAUUGAGGUAAUAAUUUUCUUUAAACUCAUUUAGUUUUAUAUCAAACAAAAUCAAGACUGCCUUUCUCUUCAAUAUUUUUUAUGAUAAUAUCUUUAGAAGCAUCUCAUUGACGGGUAACAAUGGCAUCCCUGAAAGAGUCUAUAAACUCAAUGAUAUUAUCUUCUACAAAUGGUUCAUUAAACUUUGUCGUUGUGCUCAAAUGUACACUCAGAGCAAUGAGAAGUUAUGCCACUUUAGCAUGUAGUGAUGGCACUUAAUAAGUGAGUUGCUAGGAUGUGAACUAGAAAAAUUAAAUAUUGUCUCCUUGGGUAUGCUAGCUCGUAAGUCAGGGUUAAUAUCAGAGCUUAAGAUAGUAUAACCGUGAGAACCUAUUGACUGCCAAUUAAAAUAUCCAUUAAAAUGUCUAGGGAGUUAUGAAGGUGGAGGUAACUUCCAAUUUCUAAGGCCACAGAGUAGACAUCAUCCAGGAUCCUAGGAAAGUCCAGUUAACCUCCUGCUCGAUGCAAUUAAUAAAUUUGGUCAAUGCCACUGAAACUUGCUAACUGACGUCACAAUGCGACAUGAGCACUUCAAAAUGGGACAGACGGUCAGUGGCACUAAAUUUUUCUUGCCUAAGAUUGAGCAAUUGGUCUAACUACUAAUCCCCCAGAUUUAAGAAUCUUUUGAUGAUAAUUUAUCACCUGCAGCUGUGCCGGAAGAUUCAAGUAGCACUGAAAAAUAUGAUAAUUUAAUUGAUAUGGACAGUUUCCAUAUCACUUUUAAAUCAUCUUAUGUAAUUGUAAUGUUAGGAAGCAUUAGUGAUCUAAAAGUGAACUAUUAUUGGUGUCAUUGGUGGUUUUAUCUUGUUAAAAUAUGGAUGACUUCCUGUUACUAUUUUAUUGUAGACAAUCUUAUUCAAUUAACAUAAGGUUUAAAACCAUUAUGUUUUAUGUAAAUCAAUCUAUUAAUUUUCAUGAUAUUUAACUGAGUUAAAACCAAGUGCACUCAAUAAAUGUCUUUUCCUUUAAAAAAACUACUACGCUUUGAUUUUAGUGCUUAAUAUUUCGUAACUACAGAUUAUCUAAUUGCGAGUUGCUGUCCAUAGCUGCUAAUUUGUAGUGAUUAUCUAAUUGACUGAGGUGACAAUAAUUCUUUUAUUUUCAAUAGCACAAUGUGGAAUUCAAUAAUUAAAUUCUCCUAUUUAAUUUGUUUCAAGUUAAAUUAUUAAUUACUUAAACUCUGUUUUAAGUCUUUAAUUUUAUGUGUUUAUGCAGAAUUGGAUUCUUGAGCGUGUUGGACACGACCAACAAUGAAAUUGAUAGUAAACAAACAUUACAACGUGUGGACUCCGGUAAGCACCAAUGAAUGUCUAGCCCCGUUGACUCCGCCAACUAAAGUUUUGUAAAAUUAAAAAAAAAAAUACAUAGAAUUCCACCAAAUGCAAAACGCGUGAAAUUUAAUUUUCGACCGUGUGGACCAAAACAUAAUUUAACAAAAAAGGAAAAAAUGAUAAGAUUUUUAAAAUGUGUGGAAGGUGAUCCAUAUUUUACUGAAACGACUUGUUAAAUUUUUCAAGGAUUUAGAAUAUUUGGUCAUAAAUUACGUGCAUGUUAAUUUUUCCGCCAUUGACUAUCAUAUUCUAGACUUAAUGGUACCUUUCUUGAUGAAGGGUACUUAGUCUCUCUUCUCCUCUUAUAAAAAUUAUAUUAAUUGAUUUCUUGUUAUAGUUAAUAGUCUUUAAGAACGGAUAGAUUUAUUGUUUUCAUGACCAAAUUAUGCAUGCCUAAGGUUGUAACUACUAAUAAAAUUAAUAUUUAAUGUUUAUGUUAAAAGAUAUAAGUUUUUAUGCAUUCAUUAAUUGUUAUUAGCUAAAGGAUGAAAUAUUUUUUCCCAAUCAGUUGAUGCAUCUGCAAGAGUUUUUUUUUUUCUUUUAUUGACCAUAAUUAUAUUCCGGGUACAAUAAAUUGUCUUUGGUGCUUGGAAAAUAUGACACCUCUCUGUCAACUUACUGGAAAUAUCUCCUCAUCUACUCUCAUUUAUCUAAUAUGAAUUGAAGAUCUCAUAUUUCCAAACUAUGACUUCCAAAUCUCAUUAUCAUUUGAGCAUUCAAAACUAAUCAAGUGUGGAAAUAAUCAAAUAUAUGCAAAAAUCGAGUCACAAUCUUUGGCCCCUCAAAAUUCUAAUUAUAUAACUUCUAUAUAUCUCAUACAUUUUCCAAAUUCCUCUUCCAUGAACAUCACUAGGAGUAUGUUCAUCUCUCACACAUUAACUUGAGUGAAGAGUUUCCAAAUUGAUUAUUAGAAAACAAUACAAAAGCUAGACACGUUUGAUCUGUCUAAUAAUUCUCUUUCGGUAAAAUUAAUUAAUUUUAGGGGAAUUCAGCCAACCUCUGUAAUUUCAGAGUGAUCAUUAAUUAAUUAAACAAUACAAAUAUCUAAAGUGAUUAGAUGUUUGCCGACAAUACAAGUUCAUGGCUUGAAAUUUGAUCUCUAUCAAUUGGUUUACAAAUGGACUCACUUGUGCCUUUGUGGUGAUAAUUGAACCAGAGAUGUGAAGCUGUAAGGAUUUGGCUGUAGUCAAUUGUUAUAAAGACAUAAAGACAACUUCCCAUGAUUAUUAUUUUUUUCCAAGAACUAUUUUACAACAAAUUCAUCUCGCCAAAAAUUCUAUUUUGCUAACUAACAAUAAUUGAGCACUUGACCGCAUUGACUCCACGUCUCCAGCUACUUUCUAAGUAAAAACAUGGAAAUGUAAUCUCCACAAAAUGCCAAACGUGUGGAAUUUAAUUUUUGGCCUUGUGGACCAAAAUGCAAAUGAAAGAAAAAGAGGGAAAAAAACAAGGCUCAAAGACUUCUAAAAGAUGUAAAAGUCUUUGGGCUUUUUUAUAAUGGUGGAUUUUUUAAAAGGAAAAAAUAACAACACUUCUAUGGUUUGUUUUAAUAAUCACAUUUACAUAUAUUCUCUAAUUUUCAAAAUGGACACAUAAAUCUUUUUUUUUCUACAAAUGUAUAUUAUUCGUAUUUUUUAUUAUUUUUAAUAUCAUAUUGUUAUUUAUUAUAAAUGUUUAAAGUAAAUUUUUAGGUUGAAAUAUAAUAAAAAGGUAUAAUCGUUCUCAUAUUAAACACCCAUACUUUUAGUUUCUAUCCAUUUGUCAUUUCAAUCUCCCUCAAUUAUUCUUUAUUGCUAGCUCAAAACGCAUCGCUGUUGAAAAUUAUAGCAAAAUGACAAAUAUGGAAAAAAAGGGAAGAAAAUUAAUGCAUGAAAGACUUGGAGAAAACAACCAAAUAAGUCAACUAUAAGCAAGCUGGGUGUAUAAAUUGUUAGAUGUGUUAUAAACAAAUACGUAUAAUGUUAAAGAUAUAGUUAGAAUGGGUGGUUCAAAAUCAAAAAUGGUGAUAAUGUUUGUUCUGCUCUUAAUAAUAUUUGAAGGUGGGUGGAGUGAGGGAUGUUUGAAUCAUGAGAGAUUUGCUCUUUUGCAACUUAAACUUUUCUUCACUGAUCCUCAUAAUUAUCUUCUCGAUUGGGUAGAUGAUGAGGGAGCUACUGAUUGUUGUCAGUGGGAAAGGGUUGAGUGCAGCAACACCACAGGUCGAGUGAUAAAACUUGACCUUGCUUUUACAAGGAAUAAUUAUUUGGAAGAGUACAGAGACUUUGUACACAAUCCGGGAGAGUAUCUGAAUGCUUCUUUGUUUACUCCCUUUCAACAACUUGAGUCACUUGAUUUAACUAACAACAACAUAGCCGGUUGUGUUGAGAAUGAAGGUGCUUCGUUUAAUUUAAUUAAUUUACUUUCUCCCCCCUAAUUUAAGUUGACUAUCAAGACCGAGCAAUUAGACGCAUAUUCAUUUAGUCGACAAUUUUCACUUUUUUUAAAUGAUUAAUUUUGAAAUUACACCAGUAUCUAUAAUCAUUUUUUUAUUUUACUUGCAGGUAUAGAGAGGCUAUCAAGAUUGAACAACUUGAAGAUGCUUAAUUUAAGUGAUAACUCGUUCAACAAUAGCAUUUUAUCAUCUCUAACCCGUCUUUCAUCAUUAAGAUCAUUAAAAUUAUCUGACAAUAGAUUGAAAGGAAGUAUUGACUUUAAAGGUACAUAAUUAAAACUUCAUCCCUUCUCCAAGCUCUUUCAUUAACUUGCUAAAAUAAGAUUCAAGGCUUUGAAUUCAAUUUUUUUAUGAUUAGUAUUAAAAAAAACAGUUUUAAGCAAUUUAUAAAUACAAGUUUUAAUGGUUAUCGUAAUUUCAUCUUGUAAUUUCAUGUCUUGAAUUUAAGAUUAAAAAAAUAACACUAACAGCGAACCAAACACCUCCACAACUUAUUAUUAUUAUUAUUAUUAUUAUUAUUAUUAUUAUUAUUAUUAUUAUUAUUAUUUUAAUUUGUUGUGAGGUUUGAAACAUUCAACUCAAUUUGUACUUACUACAGAAUUUGAUUCUUUGAGAGAUUUAGAGGAGCUAGACAUUGGCUGGAACAAGAUUGACAAAUUUGUGGUCUCAAAAGGUACUACAAAUACCAUAUAAAAAUGCUAACUUAUACAAAUUAGUUGGAUUCUUUGCCAUUUGGUUUAUUAUUUUACAGGUUUGAGUAAGUUGAAGUCUCUCGGUUUAAGUGGUAUCAAACUCAACCGUAGCAUCUUAUCUUCUCUUUCUUCAUUAAGAGAAUUAGAUAUAAGUGAUACGGGAUUCAAAGGAACAUUCGAUGUUCGAGGUAAGCCUAAGCCUUGCUUUCUCAUUUUAUAUAUGCCAACUAGAUUUGUGUAUCAUCGACAUAAUUUAAUAGUUAAUUUGAUAAGUCUGAAGGAAUUACAUGCUAAUUUAAACAUACUUUUAUUUACUUUGUCAAUUAAUUAAUUUAUUAAUUACUAUUUGGCUUGGUUUGGACGAAAUUCUCAUGAUGUUUUAAUUUCUUUAAAUUAAUUAAUUAAUUAACUCUGUUUUUAAGUCUUAAGUCUGGGCAUGUUUGCAGAAUUUGAUUCCUUCAAUAACUUAGAAGAAAAAUAGAAAAAGUCGAGCAAGAGACUCUCGCCCUAUUUUAAGAUGAGAGUAGCGAUCACUUACCUGAUCUACGACCUACUAUCUACGCGUACCAGCCUUCCUUUGUUUUGCAUCACGAGAUGGACUCUUCGCCCAUCCCCUAAGGUCUUUCAAAUUAUACCUAAUUGGGGAGAGGACCCACCAGGAGUCCAACUCCAGAUUGGUGGCUAAUGGGCCUCGCGUAUCCUGCCUUUUCGUAGAAUGCAACGCUUAUACGUUCACUGAGGAAUGAAAUCCUAUCUUUUAUCCGAGCUAGGGAUCAGAAAGCAAGAAGGUGGGGGUCAGAAAUGAGUAGCGUAGGUGAUACCGAUAGGGUGGUUGGAUACGCGACAGCAACGGCAAGGCACUCUUGACCCCGUCCGUAGAGGGUCGGUACGAAUGAGACUGUGCUAGAGAUCGCAGUGAGCAAGUAUGCCUUGUUGACUGGGUGUUGGUUUUGAAACAAGGAUGAGUCCCUCAGGGAGUCCGUCCAAGCUUCAGCUACUAAUGCCUGGGCUAACUUCUUGGGGGUGAACAAAGUGCUCUGAGUCUGAGAUCGAUACUGGUUAACGCCACAAGUGCUCUGCCAUUGGUCUACACACAGAGUCAUCAGGUAAAGUCAGAGCUUGGACUGGGAAUGAGAUCAGAAGAGGCUAGGCUACUAGGGAAGAUAGAAGCGAUCCACAAAUCAAACCACUAUCCCAUUGGCCGCUUCAUGCGCCGAACACUCUUAAUAAGAAGCUUUAUUUUAUAAGGUAUGUGUCUAUGCUCUCGAUACACGGCUUGAGAAGGCGGCUCCUUUUUAUUCUUCCUAUAGGAGCUACUCCUGAUUCAGUCAAUCAGAACAAGCCUUCGGACCUACCAACCAAUCAAACUAGCUUGAUGCGGAGGCAAAUACCCAGGGAUACUAUAGCUCAACACACGCCUGGCCGGGGGGAAGGAAGCCCUCGAAGCGAGCUCCGUACCAAAUAGCUGUGGAGAGAGAGAAGCCAAACUCUACCGCACUGAAGAGCGAGAUAAAUAACUGACAUCCUUGGUUGAUGAUCCUCGUCGGUGGAAGGGAAAGCGCGAUGAAAGGCAAGUCGGUAGUAGGUCCAAUGGAGAGAGGAAUUGAGAAGAGAUAGGGUCCGCUUUCUAGGCUGACGUUGGACAGCUGUUGGAUAGCCCCGACCUACACAAGUGGUUUUAGAAUGAACUCACAUUUUGAAAUGUUCUGUUAGGUUCUUAGUAGCAGUCGGCGAUCUUUUCUUCUUUUACUUCACAUAGCUUUUCGUCUCCUUGAUAGCUGGAAGUUCUCCAAAAGUAUGAAAAGCUGGAGGACUUUGUACCAUCCAUUCCGGUGUGGUUGGAUUCUGUUCAACAGCCCAAGGACUUGGAGCACAUCUUUUGUUAUUUCCACUGCUUGAAGUGAUUGUUACGACCACGAAGAAACGACGAAUCCCAACUACGGAUAUAUAAGAGCCAAAACUGCUAAGGGCAUUCCAUCCAGCGUAAGCAUCUGGAUAAUCUGGAAUGCGACGUGGCAUACCCGAAAGCCCUAAGAAAUGCAUGGGAAAGAAGGUCAGAUUAACCCCGAAAAAAGUGAUCCAAAAAUGGAUUUGCCCUAAAGUUUCAGGGUAUGUCCGACCAAAGAUUUUACCACCCAAUAGUGAAAUCCUGCAAAUAAAGCAAAAACGGCUCCCAUAGAAAGUACAUAAUGGAAAUGUGCAACCACAUAAUAAGUAUCAUGUAGAGCAAUGUCUAGCCCAGAAUUUGCCGGGACUAUUCCAGUGAGUCCUCCUAUAGUGAACAAAAAGAUGAACCCUACAGCAAAUAACAUGGGUGUUUUGUAUUGUAUCGAACCCCCCCACAUGGUAGCGAUCCAACUAAAGAUUUUGAUUCCAGUGGGGACAGCUAUGAUCAUGGUAGCUGCGGUGAAGUAGGCACGGGUAUCAACGUCUAAGCCCACAGUAAACAUAUGAUGAGCCCAAACAAGAAAUCCAAGAACACCUAUACUGAUCAUGGCAUAAACCAUGCCUAGAUACCCGAAGACCGGUUUUCCCGAAAAAGUCGAAACGAUAUGACUUAUGAUACCGGAUCCAGGCAGAAUGGGAAUAUACACCUCUGGAUGACCGAAAAACCAAAAGAGAUGCUGGUAUAAUAUGGGGUCUCCCCCUCCAGCGGGAUCAGAAAAGGUUGUAUUAAAGUUUCGAUCGGUUAAUAACAUGGUAAUUGCCCCCGCCAGUACCAGAAGUGAUAAUAAAAGUGGGAAUGCUGUCACUAGAACGGACCACACAAAUAGGGGUGAUCUAUGCAUAGUCAUUCCAGGUCCACGCAUGUUGGAGAUUGUUGUUAUAAAAUUGAUAGAACCUAAAAUGGAUGAAACACCAGAUAGAUGAAGACUAGAAAUUGCUGAAUCAACUGCUCCUCCAGAAUGGCUGGUAAUACCACUUAAGGGCGGAUAGACCGUCCACCCAGUGCCGCUACCCACUUCUACUAAGGCUGAGCUUAAUAGGAGCAAGAGACUUGGUGGCAACAACCAGAAUGAAAUAUUAUUUAAUCGUGGAAAUGCCAUGUCAGGUGCACCUAUCAGAAUCGGAACAGACCAAUUACCAGAUCCACCUAUCAUCGCCGGCAUAACCAUAAAAAAGAUCAUUAAAAAAGCGUGAGCCGUUAUUAAAACAUUAUAAAGUUGAUGAUUCCCACCAAGAAUUUGAUCGCCGGGAUGUGCUAAUUCCAUACGAAUCAAUACUGAGAAGCAUGUGCCCAUCACUCCAGCAAUGGCACCGAAGAUGAAAUAGAGAGUCCCUAUAUCCUUGUGGUUAGUGGAGAACAGCCAUCGAACCGGAUUUGUCAUAAAAUUGAGAUUCUUUCGUUUCCUUCCUUAUCAGAGAGGGGCCCCUUAGGGAGCGGGGCUUCUUUAUUGAAAAAGGGGGAGUGAGGGGGGAAGGAGCGAAGCGAAAGCGGGGGGGUCCGGAAAGCCCUUACUUUAUUGAUGGGACAUUUUGAUCCCCUUUUCCUCUCACCCCCCGUUCUGGUUCAGGAUUCAGGAAAGGGUCAACGCAAGGAUCUUACUUCGAAGCAAUCUCUGGAGUUUUCCCUUAUCCGAACGGGUCUUGCAAGAAAAUAGGAUUUCAUAUUGAGCUCCAAAUAUACGCUAUUGGGAUAGGAUGGCUCCUACUAUAUCUCCCCCCCCCCUAAGAACCGCACGUGCGAGUUCCCCUGCAUACGGCUCAAGUGGCGAAGGCACUUUCCUUCGCGCUUGAUAAGCGCUUCGCUGUAGCCAAGCUUACUGCUAGCCUAUCGGCUAGAGCCAAGCUUCGACCCCGACUGCUCGUCGCUUCUGGCCGCCUUAUUCCGUCACCCGAGAUCCAAGUCAGCACCGGAAAAAAGAUCUUGAUUCCUCGCGGCCGGGCCGGCUUGGAAGCAAGCUACUUGUCGCCUAUCUCACCCCCUUUCUUAUUAUUAGUAAGAUAGGGUGCCCCUUUCUCUAAUAAUAAGGUAAGCUUCUCUGAAUUCCGCUGGGUGAGCCUUCGCUUUUUGGAUCGUCUUCUGCCCAAUGCGGUACCCUCCCGUUUGUUUUUAGGUUCCCAUUGGGUUUACCUUGUUUACAGGUCGAUCCCAUGGCAGCAAGAAAAGGUGAUCUUGUGCUAUACUCCGGUGAUCUCUUUCCUACCGAGGCACGCAAACUCCCAUCGUGUCCCAGAUCAUAUUUCGUGAAUCGAAAGGGGAAGCCUCCUCAUCCAUCAGCUCCUCUCGUAGAUCAGUGCGGUUUUACGAAGCGUCUAAGCACAGUUCACUCGCGUUGAUCAAUCAAGAGCUUUGCCGCCACUCCUUAAGGUUACCUGUUGUAUCAUACACUUCUUGCAUUCUUUCCCACGCUUCAUACCCCCCUCUAGCUUCCGCACGGAGCGGUAAGGUAAAGGGCCAGGCAUGGUGGGGUCGGAGCAUCCUGUCAGCAAUCUUUUUGGCUUGACCAAGAAGUCUUAUGUCCUCCGAGUCGCGCGGCGUUUUAACCGAAAGAACUUCUUGCGCAAUUCAUGCCUUUCUGUUUUUAUGACCAGAAAUUUUUUCUUGAUUUCCAUUUCAAAUUGUUCUCUGGACUUUUUAUCAAUAUGAGGUGAUCGUAACACAGUAUAUAAGACUCGUGAUUCAGGCAAUCCAAUCUUUCGUGUGUAAGGCGGAAGAGCCUGGUUUUCCAAAAAUGGGUGAUCAAAAGAUCGAAUCACUAUGCGUAUCUUGGUGGUCGUUACUUUUGGUGGUCUUUCUUUUCUUUUUGGCUGACUCCUCCUACUCCUCCUUCUCUUAUCCUCUAUAUAGCUCGUCGUUGGUCCUUUUUUUUUACAUAACAUUCUCAGCCGCUCAAGAGUCAAGAGACUGACUAUCUCUCUCUUUACGCAAUUUCAAAAAUGAAGUAGCAGAGUGACUACUGAUUUUGGACGCGCUGAGUUAUUUAAGCAAAGCCUUUUUUGAUCUUGUUAUUCUAAAUUAUUUUAUUGUCUUUGCUCAACUUCGUCGAGCCUUGUACCCAGGUACACGGAACACUAACAGAAUCUCUGUUCAAACAAAAACGACAAGCAAACCCGAAAACUAAAGGGUCACCUUCUCUAGCAAGCAAGUAGACUUUUCUCUGAGCCCCAGGGUAGCAAAGCUAGCUCUUCGUAUCAUUGGCAUUGGGCAGGUGAACGGGAACCUGGCUACACAACUACUCUUACUCUAGCAGAGGAUCUAGUUCCACACCAAUCUGCUUAUCUUAUAUAAGAUAAAAUAGAUAAACUUAGCGUACCUACAACCGCUUGUGCCCUCUUGCUUUAGCUACUUACUCGGGAACUAGCUUCGCACCUCACCCCGGGAACUCAAGGGUGCGUAGCUUGCUUGUUGAAGGGGUGUUUCCGUUCCUCCGUUGUGGGAUAGUUUUUCCCUAGUUCGGUCCUAUAAGAAGAGUUCUCUAGAUAUCAACUCAUGGUACUCCCCGGGCCCCUAACAACAAAACUCAUAGGUUAGCUACAGCAGUUCUAGCAUCAGCUUCUCGAGGGCCUAAAAGAACCUCUUUCGUCAUUCGAAAGUGGCAUUUUAGCUCCUUUUCGUGAAACAGAUCGGAGAUCAGGUCUUAUCGAUUCAUACGAUUUUCAUACGUCUUUUUCCCACAUUAAUAAACCCCUUUUUUCUUUAACACGCUAGUGCCCAGAUCUUCUUCUUUUGUCUUUGAGCCUGCCUUUAGGUAGCGGCAUGGAAGUCCCCCUUCUUCUCAAGCAGGAAGCCCGCGUAUUCUUAUUCUAAUGUCCAUUGGAGCUUCUCUUUUCUUCCCGCUAUCUGGCUGUUCUAUUUAGACGUCUGUUCCCCAGUCUUACUUUCUCAUGCCCGCUUUCGCUUCACUCCUUUCUACUUCUGUUACAGUAGCUAUAGUUGUAAUGGCGGUUAUGCAGGUCCCCUUCUCAUUGAGUAGCCUAUACUCUGGAAUUGAAGUAGCGAAAUCGGCCUUAGCAUAGAACGUUUACCGCUUGCCUUACUAUUACUAAUAAUCGGGAAUCAGAACAGGCAACUAUGAGACUAAUUUAUCAUUGCCCCGAGCAAGUUACUGCGUACCUGAAGUGAGUGUGCCCAUCUUGGUCUCCUUUCUUUUUUCUUUGCAGCUGCCAUAAAAGUAAAGCCUUAGAUUCUAACAGGAAUCUCACCGCCUGCUCCCCUUAUAAUUAUAAGAUACUCGCUACUAAGGUUCUGAAAGAAGGCAGCUAAAUCAGCAAUAGAAGAGAACUCCAGAUCUAUGAAUAGCCAACAAAGAGCCUAGCUUUAUUACUGGAACUAAACAGCAAGCUGCUCCUACCUUACUUAUCGAGAAGGAGUACUUGGACUGAGUAGACUUCUUGUAGUUCUCUUUCCCCUAGCAACCUUUCCUGCUUUCCCGGUUGCAAGGUUUCGAGCUAACUACAGGAUUUGCUUCCUAGCUAAUAAUACUAAUUAGUAGUAUUGAACUUCGAACUAAAGAUUUUUUUUAGUUAACGGGCAGGUAAGGGCAAUGAAGGAAGCCGUUAGGCUUGAGACGAAACGGAUUCUAUGGAUUGAGUCUGGCAGUGAUGUUAGUUAAGUCCACUACCUGGGGCUUGUCUUGCUUGAGAACCCGUUUGGAACAAUCUGGAUUUUCCCCUUGUGAGUCACUCGAAUUCUUCUAUUUAUCAUUCUUUCAUGAAUAGAAAGAGAAAGAUCUCCGCUUCGUCUUUCUUCCAAGAAAAGAUCCCAAGCCAUUGAUAUUGGUCAUGCGUGGGCUUUCACUCAAUCUUUCACUAUGAUAUGAAAGGCAAGCAGGAAUUUCACCACUAAUGGGCCAGCGCUUGGCGCUUACUCUAGCCCGUGUUUCUAGGAUACACCUAUUAAUUAUAUAUAAUAGUUUCCCCGAUAUUCGUGGCUUUCCCCUUACUUAUUACUUAUAAGUAGAUCGGUUGAGAUAAGUAGAUUGGUUGAGGCCCGACCCUUUCCUUUGGGGUUGCCGACCUUGAUGCCAUAGUGUUUAGGGGGCUGAGCGGGAAACCAACACGUUGUGGAAACGGAAUAGAGCUUUUCCCUUGAUGGAUGUUAUCCAAUAAAAGCACACAAUCAGUGAGAUGAGCCUGCCAGCUCAGCCUUGGCCCUAUGCCUUUUGGCCAGCUUGACUUCUGACCGGUCGAUCCCGCCCCCUCUUGCAACGAUUCGGCGCCUCCACUUGAUGCUUGACGCCCACGCUUCGUUCAGGCAGCGCUCCUCGGAUAUGUCUUGCCAAUCGCCAGAGCGGUGCCACUUCCAGGAUUUGGUGCGGCCAGCUCGGGAACCUUCCCUGGAGUGAAAGGGUACAUGGAUCGGUUCCUCCACCAGAGGUCAGCUGAAGCGGAUUGGUCAAAAAGAAAUUUUCUGGCUUUGCCUCAUACCCGGUAUAACUACCAUUUUUACUUUGAUAUGCUUCUUACUUCCUUACAAAGUUGCAAGGAUCCCUUCUUGCAUUCCCUCCUUAUUCAAAAGGAAUUUAUUCGAAUAUCUAGUUGAUAAAUGUUCAUGAGCACGGGGUUGCCUUGCCUGAGACCUCUACUACUGCCGUGGAGGGUAAUUGAUAACAAUGGAAUAUUUUAGGUUAGUAAUGCAGACCCUUAUCCAUUCGAUCCACUUCUGAGGGAAUCACAUAGCCAGCAUGGCAGCUUCCCGGAAUCCCCAGUCAACACUGUCGAACGCUUUCCUCAGGUAAAUUUGCACACACAUCCUGGCUUUCCCUUGCGGAAGGUGGAAUUUUUUUAGCAUAUCGUGACAAAGCAAGAUGUUAUCCUGGAUGCAUCGCCUUUGUUGUUUAUACCUAGCAGGAGCAGCAAAGACGAAGGCUGAAGCAUCACUAGAGGUAUCUAUUGAGCUUUCUCCUCUUUUUGCAUUAGCCCAGUCACUUCCUUUAUGGAAUGGGUUCACCAGCACGCGGAGGUAAGUAGUUUACUGACUCAGUUCUUUUACUAAAAAAGGAGAAGGGAAGGGGGUGCUAUGAAUAGAAAUUUUGAAUUGCAUAUGCUCUCGAUCGACCUAGGCCUAAAAGGAAUCCGGCUACUCAAUCGCCAGAGAUAGAAAUAAAAGAUCUAAGCUUGCUUUAAUCAUUCGAAAGCGAUGCUCAUUCCAGGGUUUCAAGGCUUGGAAAUAGAUCUUAUUUAAGACAAAAAGAAGUGAGCAUAACCAUCUUCAAGCUCCACCCCGGGAUUUUAGGUGUGAACUCACUUUAGGGAAAUGAGGCUUAUAACCAAUCGAUUCUUCACCCACGUAAGCUCGCCCUGUCACCCUCGCUCUGGUUCGAGAAUCAUGUCACCCUCGCUUUCCGCUUCUGGAAGAUCAAUGACUAAUAGAUAAAGGGCUGUGGAACUAUAGACAAUAGGCGGUAACCUCUCUUGAUCCGCGAGUAGAGCACUUGAACUACUCAGAAAGAGCUGGUUGGCUCAAUUCAAAUAGAAAGAAAAAUAGACACCCAUCUUCUUGGCGAGCUAAUCAGGAGACAUACAAAACCAGCAAUCCAAGUUUUGAAGGGAGGCGGCUGCCUGCAGUCACUAAAGGAAGGGGCUUGGUGGUCUUAUUUUAUUAUCUAUAAAAGAUAGCAUCUCUUCCUGCUGUUCGAAUCAAAACGAUUAGGGACAACCGCUCGCUUCGAGGCAGGUUAAAAAGCAUAGGCCAUAGCUUCUACCUCUCCUGGAUCAUUAUGCUCAUCUGGAAGCGGUUUUUGCUAGGAUGAAUGCUACUUCUAUGUAUUUCCCAUCGCAUUUUCAUAAGGUUUCAUAUCCUUCUUUUUCAAUCUUUUAAUGAUGCUUGCCAAUUCUAAUCCAGGGGAGCACUUAGAUCGCAGAUUUUCGCAAAACGACCUCGCGUAGCCAGUUCAGGUAUAAAUUUGAAUAGGUUUACCAAAAGUUUUCCCUAUUUUGAGAAGAACUUCACUGUCGAAGUACUCAAUAGGGAGCUCAGGUAAACGGAUCCAAAGCGCAGUUUUAGUGACCGUUGCCAAGGAAGGCCUAAAAUCAGGGUGCUUCGAAAAGUGAGAUAAUGGUUUGCUAUCAUCCAAGGUCCCCCAGUAAGAGCUCUUUUGUAAUCCUCCCCAUCAGUUAAGGAUGGUCGUGGCCCAGGUCAAUGAAGUCAACUCCCCACUUGGUCUCCACAUUUUAAAAAUUUUCUCAUGGAUAAAUUUGUACUAAACUUUCUUACCCAGAACCUUAACUAUAAGAAAGAGACUUCCUCCAUGGUUGAAAAAUUCUCCUUUUCUUUUAGUUUCCCCAUUACCAUUAAUGUUGAUCACAAGGGGACAAUUCGAAGGGCCCUGGUUAUGGAUUUGCUGCUGCUGCUCAUCUUCUUCCUACUCGUCUGAUUUAAAGCCUUCAGACUCCGGUUCCGAGAUCUCAAGAUAGUAUGAGCCCUUGUGCUGUACCUGCAUGAGAACGAACAUCACGAAAGGACAGUGGUUGAUUACCGUCUUCCUUUGAUCGCUUCCAUGGUCCGGGACUCUUCCCAAGGUCCGGAGGUAGCUCACAAAGGUCGCCAUUAACUGUUUCAGUCGUCACAGAGGUCGCCAUUCCUUAGCCCCUCAUUGGUUGUUAGGCAUUUGUCACUUCUUCUAUUUCAUUUCCAUAGCGAUUCACUCAACAUAGAAAAGCAACUAGAGCAGAGCUCGUAUCCGGCCUAAAGCUCUUGAACUAUAGGAGGGGUCUAGCAUACUGAAACAUAAAUGUAGCUAUAAAGCCUUUUUGAGCAUCUUCCUUGCGAUCUCCUUAUCCUAUAUCAGAACACUUUUUCACUUUUUUUUGCUAUCACAAUAAAUUGCCAUAGAUCGAAAGUGAGUCCAGGCUUAGUGCUUCCGCCUAUCCGGCAGCCGUUACCAGCUGUUCACCACUCCUCCCUUCUAUGCUCCGUGGGUCUUUUGUUACCUAAUUCCCUUAAACACGGAAUUGCUCCUAGUCUUUACCCAAGAGAUGUCCCUGAGACUCAAUAAGAAAAUUGUCUCUUUGCUUAGCUUAAGCACAAGAUUCGACAGUUGUGAUUCCGUCUUGGAUUGAGCUUUCUCACUCUUUCUAUGCCUCUUCCUGAAGUGAACGAAUACAUCUCUUUCUGACGUGAAUGAACGCGAUUCUCUAAUAAGACCCAAUCUUAUUGAGUCAAGUAGAAGAUUCUUGUAGAAAUUUUUUUUGAUUGACUUACUCCAACAUCAAGGUGGAUUUAGCUUGGAUUAAUAGAGAUUAAUAGAACAGACGGGAACUAAACAGAUAGGAAUGCCCGACACAAUGCGGCUACUAGAAAAACGUAUAUUAGAUACACCAUUUCUUUGUCACGUGCAUAGCCCUGCUCCUUGUCUUUGAAAGUCCGUAGCAAUGGACACUAUAUAAUUCCUUGUCGCUCUCGUACGCACCAACCCUUGCCUUGUCUCUCGAACCCUUGCUUCUCUCUUGUGCUCCCUAGAGCUAAGUAAGCAAUUCUCUCUCCUCUCUAGCCGUGGCCGCUAGGAAUUGCUUUCGCUCUUCUCUCUCUGGGGUGCUGGUGGUCGAUAGUUGUAUGUAAUGUUGAGGAAAGAGAUUCGGAUGAAAGAGGUACGACGGGAUAUUCCUCCCCGGUUCGGAACUAAACGUUGAGCGGCGGAUCAAGUAAAAGCUGGCAAUCCUCCACCUAACAACUCCUCCUUUACAGUAUCAGCUGUUAAUAAGCUCUAAUAGACAACCAACCCCAUCUAUUCUUGAUAAACCGGGGCACCUUUCCUAUGUGUCAGUGCCAUUUUUCUCUAAGGCUUAAAGUGAAUCUGUCAUAGCUUGUUGCCAGCAGAGCUGGCCCACGGCUUCCGAAAAGGUUUGAGGUUCCCGCAUGAACACUGGCAAGAAAGGCACGAUCUUUGGGAGAAAACGAGUUAUAGGAUCCAUAGGAUUUUUCAUGCGAGAAGACCUACGUACCUCAGUAGAGGGUAGAUAGGAUCUGGAGACAAGGAAGAUGAUGUAGAGGUAGUAGGUUGGCCAGCCUGAUCCAUCUCAGAUGCCUUGCACUUUUUUAGCGCCUAGUGUAAACCGGAGUGGCAGGUCGGCUAGAAGGAGACGGCUCCUCAGUGGGACCAGAUGAAGAAAGCUCCCCUUACUAGUAAAGGGGGUCCGAGGUUCAGGAUAUGAAAUAAAGCAACUUGACGUAACAGAAAAAAGCGUAAACCGAGUUGAAUCAUAAAAUCAAGUUUCAUCCCCAACUGAGGAAAUGUAAUUGUUAAGGUCGGUAACCUGUGGCUACCUCAGGACUAUCUGACUACACUACUUGCGUUAAGGCGCUGAAGCCGGAGUUUUCUUGGUAGGGGUUAGCUUAUUCCCAGACGAACCAGCCCAGUAAGAGAGAUUCCCCCAGACACCAAUACCUGCGGGAACUAGUAGCCACACUACGGCGUAUGAGAAAUUCCCUGACGGCUUCCCUUAACCGUAGGCCACAGUUGCUUCCUUCGCUCUUGAAUCUAAAACCAUAUCUGGUUUCGCCUCCCCUUGGAGCGACCCUUCCGAAACAGCAUUCUAGCAACUUCGUUUUCAUCCAGCGUUCUCACCAACCAGUGAGCCGUCACAGAGUCUCCCGCUAACUCAUGCCAAACCCUUAUGAAGGUAUCCGACUUUUUCCAAUUCUUUGUGACUUCAUCAGUCUAGCAAUAGCAGCAUGCCAGUAUUUUGCCCUAACUACGAAGCUUGAGUCAUGUCUUCGCCCGUGAACGCAACAGGACGCGGUCGUCUAACUCGACUUCCGCAGCGAGUCUCAUUGCAGCUCUCUCCUGCAGUAGUGAAUUUUUUUUUAUUUUACUUCAAAGAUUUUUUUUCUCACAAGAUGCUUGUUUUGCAGAGGGGUGAAAGUUUUGAAGAAAUAGAAGAAGAAAGAAAGAGUAGUAGCCAUGAUCGAUUUCCUCUGCGCAGGAGCUUGGGAUUUGAGAGUAAGCAUGACUCUGAGAAGAUCUCUGAUUGUGAUCAAUUGGGUCUCACUCAAAUCUUGGUAAUAACGAAUGACUUGCUUGAUUUCUCUGCAUCGGCUCGUGAAAUCUUGGAUGAUCUUAUCAAGUUCAAUUGAACUAAGAAUGUCGAUUGCUCUGUCGUAAUAGUUUGUGGUCACUCCAAAGCUUCCAUGGCGGAAUCAGUACCCCCCUCCACUGAACUACGGAUGCCUGUACGCAACCCCAUGAAGCAACCGAAGAUCCAUUGAUCGCUUUUUCGACACCCGUAAUUUUCCUGUAAAAGAAAGAAAAUCCCGGAAACUCAGAUUCUUCAUUGUUGAAAAAUCUUAUAAAAAUAAGUAAUUUAGGAAUUUUCAUUACUGGGAACACGUCGCUAGCCUAAGGCGGGCUUCGCUAUCCUCCCGAAGCUGGUAUUUUCCAAUGUAAUGGUUUUUGACCACUCACUUAUAUGAGUACAAGGGGCUUGACUAUAUUUUUUUUACUUUAUGUAAUUAAGUUUAGCUGGAGGGUCCAUCUAGCCACCCUAAUUAACCCGGUUGAGGAUAACACAUUAUUAAAUCCGAAUGAUGAUUUCAUAAUCAAUCAUAGAGGUGUGAAAUGGCGUCUUUUCAGAAGUCAGAUAGCCCUUGAAGGUGUUAGCGCACACCCUUUUUCUAUCAUAUAAAUUUAGCUCCGAAGGCAACCCGUCGCGUCCUCGUCACGGCGUUAGCAGCCAUUGACGAUUAUUGAAGACUAAGCUAGUUGGCCUAGAAUGGAGCGCAUACUACUUCUUUGAAAUCGCGAACAUCUUACUCUUACCUUUCUUCUUAGUCUGAUCCGGGAGUGUUGGACAUGAGGUACAAUGAAAUCGACAAUCUUGUGGUUCCUCAAGGUAAACAAUUAAAAUAUUAUUCAAUUACAUUAUUUUAAUUCAUUUGAUUAGGGAAGGCCAAAAAGGUCCAAAAUAAUAAUAAUAAUAAUAAAGAAACAAAUAAUUUGUAUUAUUUAAAAAACAGAAUGUAAUAAAGAUUUGAUUCCAGUUCUUUAAUCUUUAAAGCGAUUGAAAAACAAUGUUGGACUUUUCCCAAAGCAUAAAAUACGAAUUGAAUGCCAAUUAACUUAAUCAUUCAUUUCGUUUAGCUCUAAAUUUAGACAAUGAAUUUUUAUAUUAUUUCAAAAACAGGACGUAAUAGAAUUUUUUUUAAAAACAGAUUGUAAUAAAGAUUUUAUUCCAAUUCUUUAAUCUUUACUGCGAUUGAAAAACGAUACUACUUCCCAAAGCAUAAAAUACGAAUUGACUCCCAAUUAAAUUAAUCAUUUAUUUUGUUUAGGUCUAAAUUUUAGAGGAAUGAAUUUUGAUUCUCUUCAAUCUUUUCUUAAUUAUUAUUAAUAAACAGGUUACAGAGGUUUGAGGAAGCUGAAAAGCCUUGAUCUAUCGGGAGUUGAAAUUAGAGAUGGAAGCAAGUUGUUACAGUCAAUGGGAUCAUUCCCAUCCCUCAACACUCUUUACCUGAAGGAUAAUAAUUUUACCGAUAUAGCGACAACUACUACUCAAGGUAAGUAAAAGGUACAGAUGUGGCCAAAUUUAUAAAUAAAUUGUUAAUUAAUUAAUUUUUCCAUAUUAUUAAUUAAGCUAAAUUUGCUAAAUAUAAACAAACAGAGUUGGACAAUUUCACCAACAUGGAAUAUUUGAGAUUGGACUUUUCCUCUCUCCAUAUAAGCCUUCUGCAAAGCAUUGCAUCAUUAUUCCCUUCGUUAAAAAAUCUGUCGAUGUCUUUCUGUGAAGUCAAUGGUGUCGUACGCGGUCAAGGUAAAAGAAAAGUGUUGAUUGUGAACUCACUCACUGGUGUCCUAUGUGUUCAACAUUUUUAUUUAUUUAUUUUAUUGUUUAAUGUUUCUGCUAGGUUUUCCUUAUUUCAAGAGUUUGGAACAUUUUGACAUGGAUGACACGCCCAUUGCACUCAACACCAGUUUUCUUCAAAUCAUUGGUGUAUCGAUGCCUUCUCUUAAGUACUUAUCACUGUCAGAUUCUACUCUUGGCACUAACAGCAGCAGGAUUCUUGAUCAAGGUUAAUCAGAUGCUCCCACCCUCCCUUCUUAAUCUAUAAUAUUAAUUUUCAAUUAAAUAUUUAAUUACACAAACGAAUCACUUAUUAUAAAAGAAUAAUACUCAUUCAUUAAUUUUUAUAUUGUAUUAAUAAUUGAUGAAUUUAAUAAAUUUUUAGGCCUCUGUUCGUUGAUGCAUCUGCAAGAGUUGUACAUUUAUAAUAAUGAUUUGAGAGGCAGCUUGCCUUGGUGCUUGGCAAAUAUGACAUCCCUCCGAAUAUUAGAUGUUUCUUCCAAUCAACUUACUGGAAGCAUCUCCUCAUCUCCCCUCGUUCAUUUGACAUCCAUUGAAGAGUUGUAUCUUUCAAACAAUCACUUCCAGAUCCCAAUUUCACUUGAACCACUUUUCAAUCAUUCAAGACUCAAGAUUUUUUAUGCUGACAACAACGAACUAAAUGCAGAAAUAACUCAGUCACAUUCUUUGACCGCCCCAAACUUCCAAUUAUCACAUCUCUCAUUGUCUUCCGGUUAUGAAGAUGGCGUCACAUUCCCCAAAUUCCUUGACCAUCAACAUGACCUGGAGUAUGUUGAUCUCUCACACAUAAAGAUGAAUGGAGAAUUUCCAACUUGGUUGUUGGAAAACAACACAAAGUUGAGACAACUUUCUCUCGUCAAUGAUUCUCUUGCAGGACCUUUUCGGUUGCCAAUUCAUUCACACAAAUGGUUAAGAAUGUUGGAUAUAUCCAACAACAACUUCCGAGGCCACAUUCCAGUAGAAAUUGGAGAUGUUUUACCAAGUUUAUACGUUUUCAACAAUUCCAUGAAUGCUUUAGAUGGUAGCAUUCCCUCUUCAUUUGGUAAUAUGAAAUUCCUCCAAAUUCUGGACUUAUCCAACAAUCACUUGACUGGUGAAAUCCCCGAGCACUUGGCCGUCGGUUGCGUCAACUUGAAGUCUAUUGCAUUGUCAAAUAACAACCUACAAGGUCACAUGUUCUCUAGAAAUUUUAACUUGACAAACUUGAAAUGGUUACAAUUGGAGGGCAAUCGCUUCGUAGGUGAGAUCCCACAAAGUUUGUCUAAAUGCUCCUCACUAGAAGGAUUGUAUCUUAAUAAUAAUAGUCUUUCGGGUAAGAUUCCACGAUGGUUGGGUAAUCUCACAUGGUUACAACAUAUUAUAAUGCCCAAUAAUCAUCUUGAAGGCCCUAUUCCAGUGGAGUUUUGUCAGCUUGAUUGGCUUCAGAUUUUGGACAUUUCAGACAACAACAUAUCUGGAAGUUUACCAUCUUGUUUCCAUCCUCUCUAUAUCAAACAAGUUCAUCUUUCAAAAAAUAUGUUACAUGGACAGCUAAAAAGAGGUACAUUCUUUAAUUGCUCUUCCCUUGUGACAUUAGAUCUUAGCUAUAACCGCUUGAAUGGCAGCAUUCCAGAUUGGGUUGAUGGGCUUUCUCAGUUAAGCCACCUUAUCUUAGGUCACAAUAAUCUUAAAGGUGAAGUGCCAGUUCAAUUGUGCGAAUUGAACCAACUACAAUUGUUAGAUCUUUCUAAUAAUAAUCUUCACGGUCCUAUUCCUCCUUGCUUUGAUAACACCACACUUCAUGAAAGUUACAGCAAUAGUUCUAGUCUUGAUGAGCAAUUUGAAAUAUCUUUUUCCAUCAACGGCCCUCAGGGAGGUGUAGAAAAGCAAAUCCGUGAAAAUUUUGAGUUCACAACAAAGAACAUUGCGUACAUUUACCAAGGAAAAGUGCUUAGUCUCCUAUCAGGACUUGAUCUUUCUUGCAACAAGCUAAUUGGUCAUAUUCCCCCUCAAAUUGGAAAUUUGACAAGGAUUCAAACAUUGAAUCUAUCACACAACAACUUGACAGGAUUGAUCCCAUCAACAUUUUCAAACUUGAAGCAAAUCGAAAGUUUGGAUCUUUCCUACAACAAAUUGAAUGGGAAAAUCCCUCAUCAACUUGUGGAGUUAAAGGAAUUAGCUGUUUUCAGUGUGGCAUACAAUAACUUAUCAGGCGAAAUUCCAGAAUGGAAAGCACAAUUUGCAACCUUCAACGAGAAUAGUUAUGAGGGAAAUACUUUUCUUUGUGGACUGCCAUUGCCCAUUUGCAGAUCACGAGCAACUAUGUCGGAGGCGUCAAUCGGCAAUGAACGAGAUGAUAAUUUAAUUGACACGGACAGUUUCUUUAUCACAUUUACAACAUCGUACGUAAUAGUGAUAUUUGGAAUUGUUAUUGUUUUAUAUGUAAAUUCUUAUUGGCGACGUAGAUGGUUUUACUUUGUUGAAAUGUGGAUAACUUCAUGUUAUUAUUUUGUUGUAGACAAUCUUAUUCCAACAAGAUUUUGUCAUUGAAAUUAAUUAGUAGCUUAAUUACGAUUCUUUAAGUACUAAUCAAGUUUGGUUAGGAAAUAAAUUUAUUUUUAUUUUUUAUUAAAAUUGUAGUAGUAUUUAGCGUUAUAUAGCUUCCAACUUCCAAGCACUUCACAUUUGUCUCCACACUUCCAAACCCAUAUCUAUCCACCAUAACUUAUACUUCCCUAUACUGUGCAGCAUACUUAAAUAAGAGAACCAUCUCCAAUUUUAAAAGCAGCCACUCUAUAACAUUCAUUUAGAAACUAUAUUCAGAAUAGUUUUAUAAUCAUACACAAGAAAUGAAACACCUAGAUGCACUUGAUCGCCUAUUUUACUUUAAAAAAUAAUGAUUAUGGUGCUAUCAUCAUCUUCUUCGCUAGCAACAUUAACACCAAAUCCAGCGAUGGACCCAGACAUUUUAUCAAGAAAGGUAUAUAUAUAAUAAAGUUGAAGCUUGACAAAAAAUUUAGGAAGAUUAAUGCCUCGCCACAACAAGGGGCAGCACAACAUCAAAGUAGAGAUGAAGCAAUAUUCUCAAAGCUAAAACUCUCAAAUCCACCCACCAGAAUUUCAUAUCUCCUCAACAAUUUUAAGAACUAAAGAUAAUUAGGAUCUAACAUUAGUUUUUUAUAUAUUAGUUUCAUAAUUUACAAAUCAAUGAAGAUGAAGAUUAUGCUAAUGAAUUCAAAUUAUACCAUACAUUCUCGAGAUGUUACCAAAAAUUUCUAAGUCAAUCCCACAUAUUUCAUAAUUUUAAGACUAGAAAAUUUCAUUAGUUAGAAGUUUCAUUACCUUCAAGUGGAAGAUGAAGAACAUUAUACAAUUGAUUCAGAUUAUAUCAUACACACUCCAAAUGCAACUAGAAAUUAACAAGUUCAUGCGCACAGAUUUCAUAACAUUAUGAAUGGAAAGUUUCACAAAGAGAAAUUCUAAAUUCAAUCUCUUGCAUCGAGGUAGUUUGAUUGAUUUGAGUUACUUUCUGAUCAAGCUAUUAAUAUAACAUUCAAGUCAGGGAGAAAGUAAAUUAAAACUGGGAAGAAAUAACAGUAAAAAUUUGUUGCUAAACAUGAUGUGUAUUUUUUUUUUAAGGCAAUUUGGAAACACAGUUGUUACUACAGAUAUUCUCCUCAACUUAGAGAUAAAUACAAAUAUUAAAAUGCAUAUGAUCGCACAUAGUACUUGGAGCUUAGUAAGAUUUCAUUAAGAGAAGCAAUCAAACCACUUAUCAAUUGUUGCAAUCGUUCUAUAAGCUAAAAUAGCAAUAUAAUACAAGAAAAAGAACAUAUAGAUACUUGGCAAGAGUUCAUUAAGAAGUCGCAUCACAUUCGGGUGAGGAGUUUGCUUCUGAUAUCUUGCUAGCUGGGGCUUUUUCUUGUCUUUCUACGUAUGCCGAGGGAAACCAACCAGCUUGGCCCUUGCAUUCACCUUCCGACCAUCCAAUAGGAGCCACCUUGAGAAGUUAUAACUAAAACGGUGAAUUAAACAAAAGUUGACCGUUCAAAGACCUAAGGGGAAAACUAAUUCUUUUACGUAGGAGGAGUGAAUUAGUUGUGAUCACUGAAAUAACAGCUUAACUAUGGAAGCAUAACAAGAUAUAAAUUCACACGUCUAUAAGGGUAAACUGGGUGGUUUAGAACUGAGCUAGCAACCCUACUAUAUUCUGAUUUGCACUUCAAUGUAAAAGGGAAUAUAUGGUAGGAAGAAAGAAAACCAACCAUCAUUUGUUAACUCAUUGCUUUUCAAUCAAAAUUUUAAGAACCAAAUGCCAUGUGCUUUGAACAUCAAAUAAGUAUAAGCAUUAGUUCUAAAUUCCACAUAUCAUAAGUUAGAAGGAUAAGUUAAUAGCAUAGUAGAAAAAUCUGUGUUGUUAUUUAGAGGGGAAAGUACCUGGCGAACCACAACAUAAUCAUCAAUUGAAAGACUUAGCUCUCCAUUUGCUUGUGCAUCAAAUGGAUGCAUAACCUGCAAGAUAAUGGGAUAAAUAGAACUUAAUCUUAAAAAAAGCAUAACAAAAGCAGCAACAGUACCAGCAACGUUCAUUGUAACCACUAUGAUCAUGGCCAACAAAGAUAUAUUAGAAACAAAAUUCCAUUUUUACUAUGAUAUCAUGACGAUUGGGUUACCAAGAGCUAUCAAAGUCCAAUAAGUUCUGUAUAACUUUAUGUAGUUAUUCAAAUUAUGUAUCAGAUUUUAAAUCUGAAAUUUUGACUGCUCUCCACAAAACAUGGCCUAUGCACAAGAAAUUCAUAGAUAAUGAGGAUUGCAAGUGUCUGACAUCUUUUGAGUGAUGGAUUUAACAUGAGAGCUUAUGGUCAGUCAAUUUCCUCUGCCUAGCAAUAUAAGCUUUCUCGGCCAAAUUUAUCAUCAAAUACAUAGAUUGCCCCAAGUCAAAUCCAUAUAAACAUAGUUUUUCUAGGUAAACCAAGCAAGGAGAAUCAUAAUUCAGACAUAAUCAUAAAAAGGCCCAUCUAACUUAAGAGAAAAUCUCAAAAAGAGGGAUGUUGAGCUAUCAGUCUUGUAUCCAUAAGGAAUGUCAAGACUUUACAUCACCUGCUACAUCGUGAGUGGCUACACAACUUUCAGUGGUUUGUCUUUCUUUGGCAUGCCUAACUCAGCUUUGAUGUUGCUGAGAUAUUGAUAGUAGAGACACAUGAGACUUCUAGCUCAUGCAUUCUAUCUAGCUCAUCCGACAGCUAUCUCUUUUUUAAUUCAUUAGUGUUUGCUAAGCCACAUGCUUAAAAGUCCUGUUGUUCUAAACAAAGUUUCCUAAGAAUGACUUCCUCAGCACCACAUUUGGACAUUUUUAGAGCAAUUUUAUUUGGGGGAAAAGAAUUUUCAAGGUGUUAACUAAUAAAUUUUAAAAAAUAAUUACAAUUUGUCCUACGAUUAUAUGACAAUUUAUCUGGGAUGAAAGGAUAUAGACAGACAUCUUCCACUUUCAAGACUAAUCACUACUUCCGUAGAUGUUUUGCAAUAAUACAAAUACUUGACCAGAUGGUAGUGAUGGUAGAAAAAAAUUUUAUUGCUCCAAAAUUAAAAUAAGAAUGCAAUGUGUUAAGCAAAAGACUAUGCAACAUCAAAUUAAUUGAUAAGUUUGUAAUUCAGUAAAUUAACAACUUUCAUGGUAAAAUACAACAAAUUUCUUUUCAAAAAAAAAAAAUCUUAAAAGACAGCAUUCAAUUUUGUGCGCAUCUUAUUUCUUAAGAUUUUCUAGGAGGGCAAUAGAGGGACUUUCACCUAUGCAAGAGAGCAGAAGCCUUACUUUCGCUAUAAAGUAGACGUCAUUCUGAUUAAUAUGCGUUUGCAAAUCAGCUCCAUUUGAAUCAGUAUUCUGAUAGACACAUGAGGCAUUUACAUCCAUUUCCAAAGUCACAUGUUGCGAGGAGGACUCAUUUGAUUGCUCCUCUAGGAUCAUCUAAUUCAAGUAGCAAGGGUUGGAAGAGAAUAAAAAGUCACAAUUAUUCUUUUGCAUAAGUGAGACGAAAAUGAUAUAUGCAAUAUUAUCAGCAGUAAACAAGAAGAGAACACUCCAAGGAAUAGAUAGAUGCGGACAAGCAAGUUAAAAUGCACAGUUCCAAACCUCCGCAUACAACUUCUCUGAAAUAGCAAUAACGUGUUGAUGAUAUGUUUUCUCGGCAUCUACCUGCAAAGGCCCGAGACCAGGAAAACAACAAUAAAACCACUAGCUAAAGGAGAAAGUAAAGAAAGAAAUACACUUGACAUAAAUCUUGACAAGAAGCACAAUUUAAGACAUAACAAACCCCAAUCAUAUUGUUUAGAACUACCAUUCGUUAUUUCGUUAUUGUAGCAUUUCGAACAAGUGUUGACUUAAUUCAACAUUGUUGGAAAGAUAGGCUUUUAGAAGCGGAAGAAAGCCACUCAAACCAAAGUGAUUCUUAGGAUGAGUUUUAAUCACUCCCCUGAUUUAUUUGGGUUGCAGUAAAACUAAGCGAGCAACUGUUUGACUUUCAAGCAACAUCUAAAUCAGCUAUUAAAAUUCAAAUAAAAUUAUAAUUGAAUAAUAACUGGCCAUCUUGCAUCAAAAAUUAAGUUUAAUUUGUGAUUUUUUUUCUAUAGACAUGUUAGUUCCUGCUAUUGAAAUGUUAAAAGCAUUGAAAAAUUAUUCAAUAAAUUAUGCAAACAUUAAAAUAGAGGACAUAUUAAAAAGUUUCUAAUUACAAUGUUAAGAUUUCCUAUAUUUUAGCAUUUGCAUAUUUUAAUUUAUUUAAAAGCUACGUCGAUCAACUUUGGGAGUGAAGAUUUUAGCUUCUACGAGACUUGAUUGGAAUAUGCAUAAGGAAGAGUGUUAAAAUAUGAUGCAUCCAACGAAAGACAAACCACGUGUAGUCUUUUAAUUAAGCCAAAGUAGCAGCUCAAACAAAUGACACUUGGACCAACAUGCAAUCAUGAAGUGGCCGGAAAAAGGACAAAUGCAACUUUGGCUUAAAUAAAAAAUAACAUGUGACUUGACUUUUGCCGGACAUGCAUCAUGUUAUUACAAGACAACAGAAAUCAGUAUGAUAGUACUAAAAGUUGACAAUAACAUGAAGAUAAGAGGCAGAAUGUCAACACAUGCAUAGGCACACACAAGAAAGUAUUAACUUAUAUACCAUAGCAAAAAGUCUUUGAUAUGCAUCUGUUGCUGCAGUGAUUCAACUGACAGCAUGGCAGCUGUUCCUUCUCUACCAAGAGCCAUUAUUGUAGAUUUAAGCUCGGUCAAUCUUGCUUCUGCAUUUCGAAGCUUCACAGCACUCUCUGCUGAUAUAUCAGAUUCCUUAAUCUUUGAUCGGCGCCUAAAUACUUCAGCUGCCUGGUGAAAAUAUUCAAUAUAAAUCUAACAUAAUUCUAAUCUUGCCUUAUACAUGCAUAUGUUAACUCAAAGCUUACCUGGGCUUCAACUUCAUGUCGAAGCUUGUCAUAACGAUGAGUCAGGUGUCGAGCAUCUUCCAAAGGUGCUCCGUUGAUUAACGCCCGUAGUGGCUCAGAUACCUACAUGUCCAAAAACCUGUAACAUAGUUAGAAAAAUGAAAAGAAAGAGCGAAACCUCAAUUAAAAAGUUCCUCCAACAUAAUCAUGGAAUUUGGGCCUACUUCAAGGAUAUAUAUAAGGAUAAUUUAUGCAAUUUUGGGUCUUAGGAUGAUUCAUAUUAGGUUAGUGUUCUUCUCUUCUGUAUUUAAGGUUAAAAUAGAAAUAAACCUAUGAAAAUAUCUAAAUUAGGGCUGUAAGACUUCCACAUGCAUCCUUCAGUCUCAUGGAUUUGAUUUUACUAUAGAUGCAAGUGUCUUUAUUGAAAAUGCUUGGAGUCAAUUGAGAGAACUCACGGCCAAUAACUUGUCACACGCUAGUCUUUGCUAGUGAUGUAAGAAGUCACAAGGUCUCUUCAGCAUUUGAACCAAUAAAAUUAUUAAGUCAUGGAUGUCACUAGCAAUGAUUUUAAUAUAAAACAUUAAAUAUUUCAGAGUUGUAACUUUAAAAUGGAUUCUUUUAUUCAAUAUCUUAGAACUAAGUUUCCUUAUGAGAAGAUAAUAGUUUCAGUAGUAAUUUACAUAUAAUUUUCUAUAUUUGAAUUAUUUUCUAGUUAGGGAUGAACUAACCUGAUCACGAAGAAUCCCAAGCAAAGUUUCCCUCUCAUUUUCCAUCAAAUCAUGUGAAGUGCCAAAUUGAAGAGCAGCUCUUGCAACGCAAGAAUUGUCACUUUGAUUCUCCGCUCCAUACUUGCAACAAUCUUCGGCCAACUUUCUCGCUACAAUAUUUGAAUACAAAAAUAUUGUACACAAGAACUAGUCAAGAAAAUUAAAAAAAAAAUCAAAUAUUAAAACGAGAGCAAGAGCAAACAAACAACCUAUUUCCAUUUGUUUCAAGUUUACUGCAACAAACACUUCAACGCCACGGACAACAUUCCAUUUGUUUUAUUCUUCUUAUACUUUACGCUUGCAUCAGCCUCAAUCACUUCUUAAUCGCUUGCUUUAACUGCAUCGCUCUCUCUGUGCUCUUCUAUAUAUGUAACGGUUAUGCGGUUGUAGUUCACGGCUGAGGCUACGUGUGGGUUUGACGUGGCAGUUACGUUACAAGGGGAUAAAUAAGAUUGGUUACAACAAACCCACUAAUUUUAUAAAAUUCGAGUAAUAUAGAAUAAAAUAAAAAAAUAAAUACAAAAUUGGCUUUUAUUUUGUAUGGUUGACUGUAUUUUGUGUUCUCUUCCGGCACUACUACAAUUGUUCCCUAUAUAUUAGUCACACCCAUAUAUCAUUAACACAAGAAAUGAAAUCUAAUGUCACCUACUUAGUUAAAGAAUCACUCAUGAAAAAUUUUUACCAUUUUGAUUUGAGGAUCCAUAUUUUGAACUGCAAGCUAAUGUUCAUCAAGAAUCACUGAUGUUCAUAAAAAUCAGAGUAUGGCCGUUGAGUAGAAAAAUUAUUUUUGGACAAAUUAUUUUUGUUGAUAGAAUCUGCCACUUUCUCAUGAAGAAAGGCAUGCGGAGCAUACCAUGGUACCAUACGGAGAAUGUUAGAACCACCCUAGAAUAUCUUUACCCUGAUGUUUCUAACAAAAAUCUGCAUGUGGCAGCAAUUACUAGAUCUACAAUUUCCCAAAUAAUAUUUUGUGUUUCUUAAAAAAAAUUGAAAUACAUAGUUGCAAUUGCACACCGUGAGACAGUGCUACAAUCUACUGAGAUCUAAAUUAUAUGAGACUUUAAGCUACUAAUGUUUGCAUAUUUCUACAUGUCAAAUUAACAUUACCAUCUAUAAUCCGAAACGACAGAUGAUAAACGGCUUUUGGCCACUUAUUACUAGCAUCCACAAUUAAUUUUUGUUCAGCAAUCAGCUUAUUUUAUAGAAAUUGAUUUAGUCAGCAACAAACACUAUAAUACUUGAAAUUAGUUCUUGUUCUUUGUAAUUUUCUAUGAUUUUUCAUAUAUCAAUUAAUCUGCAGUGCCAAGAUGAGGUUUAGUUUUCAAACUAAAUAAUCAAGUAAGCAAAAAUACAAAUUCAGAGAUUAGCGGGGUAAACUAGCUGGGUGGUUUAGAACUGGGCUAGCUACCUCCCUGUAUUCCUAUUUGUAAGGUGAAUUAAUUGAAUCAUGAGAAAACAAUGUGACCAUAGCUCAAUAUGAGAUGAUUUCGGAGAGGCAUAUUGUUUUCGAGUGAAUUUGAUCCAUUAAGAGAUGAAGUGGAUUGAAGUGGAAAGUUUAAAUAACAAAUCCUUGUUCUUGAGUUUUACGACGUCGUUACUCCUUCAGGUGGCAGAUUAUGCAAGUGAAUUCAAAAACACAAUGCAUCAAUCACGGGGACAAAAGACGGGAUCACAGUCUAUGCAUUGAACAGUUACAGUUGCUGCUACCAAUUGUUCGGCAAAGAUCAAGAAGACUGAACGGGAAGCUAAUGCCAUCAAUGUCGUCUUCACUAUAUCUGCUGGGAAUGUAGGUGAACUUUCCUCAUUUGCAGCUGUCUAUACAUAGGCUUUUCCCCAGCUUAAGUACAAAUAAAUGAAGCUGCCUUGAAGGCUUUAUUAUUGACCCCAAUAAGGAUUACUAAUUGAAGAAGACUAUACGGAGUUAAUCUCACAUUUUAGUUCUCUCAAUUUCUUUCAGAAGUGCCUCUGAAAAUAGCUGCCAAACCGUUAGUCAGCUUGUAUACUCUGUUUUCUGGAAACAGAGUAGCAUAUUUAAUCGUUUUAAUUGAAUUGUCUUCGUAGCGAUCAUCAACAAACUCAUCAUAAGAUUUUUGAAGCACCCAAGGACUAUCACUGGGUUUCUCUUCUGGUUGAUUUAUUAAUUAAUCAAAGAACGGUUGGAUGAAGUGCAAUGAUGGAGCAAAAUUUACAAUGUCUCCGGUUUCUCCUGACCAUCGGACUUUUGCAGUGAGAACAUAUAACAAAAAGACCUUCAUCAAAAUUUGUAGACUCCGGGUAUGGAUUGGAUCGAGUUUUUUGUUUGAUAUUGAAGAACCACUUUACUAUCGCGAUAUAGAUUAUGUGCAAGGGGUUGUCUACUGUUCUUUGCCUUGUGCUAUGAUCGGUGCUUUUGACGUUGCCCCGAAACAGUGGAAAAUACUUCGAUUUCCUCCGUUUGAUGAUGCAAAGAACUGGUUAAUGUACGAUUACCUAAUUGACUCAGGAUCAAGUAACAACAACAAUUUAUUAAUAGUAGUAUCACAAACGAAGAAGAUUUCGGAGAGGGUGAUGUAUGCCUAUACCGUUUACAGGUUUGAUCCACAGGGGAUGAAGUGGUCUCAAGUGGAAAGUGAUUUAUUAAACAACAAAUCAUUGUUCUUGGGUCAUACCUCAUGAUGUCAUCAAGUGGAAGAUGAAGAUUAUGCAAGACGAAGAUCGUUUGAUAUUGAAGAAUUUGAACAGAAAGCCCAUAGAAAGUACUUAAAUAAGCAUAUUCUUGUUGGGGUAGAAUAUUAAGAAAGGAGUUGUCUACUGUGUGUUGCGUGAUUAGGCUAUGAUCUGUGCUUUGAACAUUGCCCUCAAAACAGUGGAAAAUACUUCAUAUCCUCGACAUGAUGAUGAAAAAUUGGUUACCGAUUACCUAAUUGACUCAGUGACAACAAUCUAUUAAUAGCACAAUUUGGCGUGAUGCCGUUUAGGUAUAUGGUUUUCAAGUUUGAUUCAUCAGUGAUGAAGUGGACUAAAAUAAGAUGUUUAAAUGAUAAGUCAUUGUUCUUGGGCAUAUCGUCAUUACUACUUCUAGUGAUCAAAGAUGAAGAUGAAGAUGAAGAUGAAGAUGAAAAUUGUGCGAGUUCAAGAUUACCAUCAACUCAAUUUUAUGAUUGGAGUGUCUCACCGUGACUCAGACAAAUUCUGAUUCAACCUCCUUCACCAAUGGAUUUUGAUUAGUUAUUUUGUGAUCAAGCAACUUAAUUAAACUCACAGUUUGUUAGUCUAAUUUUAGUUUUACUGUGACCACUAUUCAAGGUAAGCGAAAGUUACAGAUGUGGCAAAAUCAAUAAUUAAAUUCAUAAAAUGUUAAAAAAUAAAACUUAUAAAUUUUGCAUGACUACUUACUAAUAAAUAAAUAAGUUAGAAUGUAGUUAGUUAAUUUUACACCAUAUUAUAUAUUAUUCGAUAAUAAUAUAAAAUAAAAAGAAUUAAAAAAUAAAUAAUUGAAUAAACAAAUAUGACUUUCUAAACAGUAAAAAUUCUAGAGUUAAAAUUUAUAUUAUUAUUUUAUUUUUUAAAAUUGACAUAUUUCUAUUAUCUUACAUGUACACAGAUUUUGAGAGUUGAGAAGAAUAUAUUUAAUGAAGCUUGCUAACAUUUGGUGGGAUAGCAAGUAAGGGUAAAUAAGAUUUUUUUGUUAUUUAUUUGAAUUAUAUCUAUUUUGUUCAAGUUAAAAUACUAAAUAUAAAUUGGAGGUAGACAUUUUAACAGAUCAUCUAAGCUCUCAAAUCUGAAAUUUUGUGUAGAUUUAAAUUCAUAAUUUUAGUUAAUUUUCAUACAUUCAUAUAAACAAAUUUAUGAGAUUUUUCUUUUCAGCAUGUUAUAUUUUGAAACUUUCAAUGUAUUAUUCUAGCUUUAUUUAAAUAAUUAAUUUAUUUAAAAUUUAUUUAAUUUUGAAUUUGAUCAAUAGUAAAAUUAUUUUUAUAUCAAAUUUUUUUAUUUAAAUAGUUCGUGGAUUGGACAAAAUUAAAAAUUUUUAAUCCACAAAAUGGUGGAUUAGAUAUGAAUUGGGUUAAAUACACAUUCGAUCCGCAGUCGUAUGAAUUUGAUUUGGAUUGAAUUUCAUCAAUCCAUGGAUUAGAUUGGAUUGAAAAAUUUAUUAUCCGCAAAAUCGUGGAUCGAAUAUGGACUGAUGUCCAAUCAGCAAAAUCCAAUCCCCGAACACUCCUCUAUCAAAAUUUUCAAGAAUAUUUUUUAUCUUACAAAUUUUUUUUAAAGUCAUAGUCUAAGGGCGGCCCAAUUUCUACUCCAUCCAUAUAAGCGGAGUUCAAAUCUCAUACCUCUUAUCUCCACACAAGAGAUUUAACCAAUUGAAAUAGCUAGCACCCACAAGUAUACUAGUACAGCAUCUCUUAACGUUUAACAUACGUAAAAUUAACGCCAUAGCUAUUGAUAAACACAUUGUUCAAUAUAUAUGAUCAAGAAUCUGAUCCUGCGAGCAACAGCAGUCAGAAGAACCAUUAUAAUGCCUAGCUCUUAUCCUGGUUAAUCCUCUGGCCCGAUGCUUCAUCAUAGUGAUUUAAAAAACCAACAACAGCUCUCUAAAAGAGAUGAAGAUAUCAUCUACGUAAAGAACAUGAGACGGAGAUUCACAACCCAUAAGAACUGAGAUAAAUUGGACCAGACCAGUAAUCUUGAGAUAAGUUAAACUGUGACUUAAGUUGAAAUCAGAGGACAGGAAUUUUAAAAUCUUUCGGCUAAGCCCCUGAGGAAUUUUCUAGAGUACGACUUCUGCUUACCUCUGUUUAAUUUCUCUUUAUAUUUUUCUUUCAUUUCAUUAAUAAAGUCAAAUAAUAAAUCAAAGAACGAGGGAAGAUUUUUCCAAGUCAUGCAUUAUUUGAUUACCAUCAAUCAAGAAACCGACCAAAUUAAUUUCUCUCCGUGAUUUUUAAAAAUUAAAAAAAAAAUAUUUGAGCAUAACAUCAUUAAUUAUAGAGUGGAUCAAACUGCGUUAAUCAUGAACUUUGUUGUGUUAAUUAUUUCAAUCCCCGAUUACGCAAUUUUUAAAUUAUAGCCUAACGGUGGUCUCAUCACCACGUGUGUGAUUUUCUUUUGCCAAUAGGAUCUGUAGAGAGCUUGAUCUCACCCAAUAGCAAAAUAAACUUCCUAAUAAGUGAAGGCAUAGUAUAAAUAAUUCACCCCCAUAUUAUUUAUUAGCAGCUUGAUUAUUUUAUAUGCAUCUUUGAUUUAAAUUUUUUUUUCCCAUAAUUGCUACUAUGUUCGAACUGGUCAUGAAUUAUCUAUAAGAUUUUUCAUGUUGCUUUUAGGUGCAUUGGAUUUUUUUUAGUUUAGUGCAAGAGUAGAGGAAGGCAAAUUAAGAAAAAGGAUAAAGAUCUAUGAUUAGCUAUUUUGGGAUGUCUCAUAACAUAUUGAUGGUAACAUUAUACAUAUGUAUAUCUAAAUAAUGGGGUUGGAUCAAGAGCCCAUUAAUAAUCAUAGAUUAGCUUAUAUAGCAAUUUCACAAGCACAUGUUAGCCUAUGUUGAGCUUUAUUAUCAAUAGUUCAUAGUUCAUCGGUGCACUGCAGGUUUACUAUUUGAAGUAAAUGUUAUGGUGCGUGCAUUUUUCAUAAGGCCAACCGCUGAAUUUAGCAUUGAAACUUACAAAAUGUAAUAGAGAGAGGUAGAUAACAGCCACAAAACACUAAGAUUGGAAAUCAGGGCUACUAAAUACUAUUACAAGCCCUUAGAAAAGACACUGAUCAUCCUGGAAUAUAUAUACUGAAAGUAAGAAAUAUUAAUCGCAAAGUUAUGUGCCAACAAAACUAUUGACCACUUGUCCCUAGCAGAAGGUAUAUAUUUUUAACUUCAGCUCUCUACUUUGUUCUAAGAACUAGGCAAAAGAAUGAAACUUCACUGUCUAAAGUUUGCCGCUUGGAAUAUUUCACUGUCUAAACAUUCACUCACCACUAAUUUCACAAAUGAAUUUUGUCUAACUAUAUGUUGAUAACGAUAUUAGAGGUAAUAUAAUGCAUUUAAGGCUUAACAUAUAUUUUUUAUUAGUAGAGUGUAGAAUUUUUAAGAAAUAAAUUAUUAAAUUACUAUAACUAACAUAUUAUUUUAAAGUUAUGUUAAGAAAAGAAUGAAACAAAAAAAAAAAAAAAAAUAAGGGUAUUCUAAAACUUUGAUCCUUUUAAAAGUAGUUUUUGACGUAAAUAAAAUAAUUUUUAUUUUUUUAAAUCACAUACUCUAGUUAAAAUCAAAUUUGUAUUUAUAAAGCUUGUAAAUUUUUUUUAGCAUUAAUAUUUGAAUACUUUCAAGAUAAGAAAUAGGGUACUAAUUAUGCUACAACAUUAUUAUAGCAUAUAAAAAGACAAUACCCUUUAUAUUAUUAUACUAUCGUUUUUGUUAUGAUAGUAUUUUGUUAGUGGUCAAAUAUUACUUUUUUAAGUAAAAAAGUAGACAAAUGUAAAUCAAUUUUUAAUCUCUCCUAAAAUUCUAAUUCCUAGUUACCAAACAAAAUUGUUUGAAAAUAAUUUGGCUAAGUGCAUGGGUUCUUAAAAGUUAAAACUAUAGGUGAUAGAAGUUACUAGCACAAGCAAUUUUGACGGUCCAUUUUAUAAAAAUUUUUAAUAAUUUUUUAUUUACCAUUUUACCACCUAUAUAAAGAGUGCCACAUCGACAUAUCAAUUCAUUUGCAAAUUAUAUUAAUUUUGUAAAAUUCAUUUGACUUGCUAAACCCUUCUUAUCCCCUUUCUCGACUGUCAUACCCUAACCUUAUUAAUCCAACUGGCAAGUGCUCACAAUGACCGACAGCCUCUCCAUCUCCAUUUCAAGCUUCCUCUUCAACUGGCUUCUGCUUCCGUCGUACGCUUCCUUGGAUUCGGAGUCCGUAUUCGCUCGACCGGUCCGGCACAGCUCCCUCUCACUCCAAUUGUCACCCAACAAGACCAAUUGCUUAACAUUGAUCGUAUGGCAAUUGUCCGUAUUUCUUGGAUUCAGAGUCCGUAUGGCACAGAACAAGAAGAGUAUGAGAGAGAGAUUUGGAAAUCGAAACGUACGCAUUGACCGUGCCUUUGAGGGCAAUUACUUUUCUUGAGAAUUGAAGUUUGGUAAUGUAAUUUGUUCUCUAUCUGUGUCCCCUUUGUAGUCAUUUCAUUUAUUUGUUUGUUUGCUUUUAUUUGCACUUACGAAGUCUCAGAUAUAUCUACGCAAGAAUGAUGCAGGAGAAAUUGAUCCUCGAGCUUACAAGAAAAGUAAAUUUCGAAAGCAUAAUUUGGCUCCGAUUGAGGUAAUAAUUGUCUUUAAACUCAUUUAGUUUUAUAUCAAACAAAAUCAAGGCUGCCUUUCUCUUCAAUAUUUUUUAUGAUAAUAUCUUUAGAAGCAUCUCAUUGACGGGUAAUCAUGGUAUCCCUUAAAGAGUCUAUAAACUCAAUGAUAUUUUCUUCUGCAAAUGGUUCAUUAAACUUCUUAGACGUAGUUAAAUGUACACUAAGAACAACGAGAAGCUAUGCCGCUGUAGCAUGUAGUGAGAUCUUGUUUGAAGUUGUUUUCUGAAAUGAACUGCCAAAUGGUAGUUUUUUUUUUCUUGGGUGCAUUUGAUGACUCUUUUCUCCUCAUUUUAAACAUGUACCUGCUUGGAAUGGGAAGGAAUAGGCUUCCGAGUUGUUAUAUAUGUUGACAUGCUCUGGUCAUUACACAAAAUGCUCAAAUUGGAAAUUAGAAUGAGAUAUUUGUCGAUGCUUUUUGAGAGAUCUGCAUUCUAUGCACCAUAACAUGAUUAAUGAAAACAGGUUUAAGGACUGGAAAGAUCUGUGGCGGCCCAAGCUUGCAGGAAGGAUUUCAAUGGUUAAUUCUCCCAGAGAGGUUAUUGGUACAAUUUUGAAGUAUCUGGGAGCAUCAUGCAAUUCAAACGACAUUGAUUAGCAACUUGCUGCUGGGAGGAUUGUUGUCAGCAGAAUCUGGCAUUACUGGGAAACCAGGUACUCUUAAAGAAAUGAUAUCUGGUCAAUGCAUAUUAUUGCCUGACAGCUGAUUUUGUUUGUAAAGUCUGCCUCUUCAUACAUAUGAAUGCAUAUGUUAGUGUUUUCUUCUCCUUUUAAUACACAUGAAUGCAUAUGUUAGUGUUGUCUUCUCCAUUCCAUAAAUAUGAAUGCAUAUGCUCUGGGUGUUGGUUACUACUUCAAGUGGAAGGUGAAGGUGAUGCAAGUGAUUUCAGGAGUACAUAUAUUCCAAGGAUGCCGGACUAUUAUUGCUUCCCCCCAUAUUUCAGAAUUUUUUGUCAACCUCCUCCACUAAGGGAUUCCAAUUGAGUUACAAAUAUAUUUUCUGUAGCUCUGUUUUAAAUUUUUGGUCUCAUGUUAAUUUUUCUAAUUACUAUUCUUCAACAAAUCUCUUUUACUUUAAAAAACUGCUACAGUUUGAUUUUACUGCCUUAUAUCAUUGAACAUUGAUACAUGGAAUUUGAAAUCAGACUUGUAACAACAGAUAAAUAGAUAUAGAACAUGCAUAUAAUCUCCAUUUCGAGCUCCCUCUCCAACUGGCUUCUGCUUCCGUCUUACUCUUUCUCGGAUUCGGAGUCCGUAUUUGCUCAGCCGGUCCUGCCCAGCUCCCUUUCACUCCAAUUGUCACCCAACAAGACCAAUUGCUUAAUCAAGGCACAGAACAAGAAGAGGAUGAGAAGUUGAAACAAGAAUUUGAGAAUUGGAAAUCGAAAAUGUAUGCAUUGACUGUGCCUCUAAGGGUUGUUUCUCUUCAGAAUUCAAUGCCUCAAUCUUGGGUUAAGGAUUUUAUGCGAAGUCAAGGAAAGAGAUUGAAGUUUCAGAUGAAUUUGUGUGCUAGCAUUGGUGGGAUCUUUAACAAUUUAUCUGUGCCCUUUAACAAAGUUAAGGGUAAGUCAGCUUCGUAUACGGCUGCUGAUUUGGUUAGUGUUGGUGAUUCAUGGCUCAGUUUUACAAUUAAAAAGAGAUUGAUUGAGCCAAUAGCUGAAGCUGAAGAUCAAGACUGGUUCAAAUGCUUAUGUCACAAAUGGAAGGUAACAUCAUUAUCUUUGACCCGAUAAUUUUUAUUGUCUUACAUUGAAAUUUGGUAAUGUAAUUUGUUCUCUAUUUGUGUUACCCUUUGUAGUCGUUUUAUUUAUUUGUUUAUUUGCUUUUAUUUGCACUAACGAAAUCUCAGGUAUAUCUAUGCAGGAAUGAUGCAGGAGAAAUUGAUCCUCGAGGUAAAAUAUGGGCGGCACCAUACAGGUGGGGCACAACGGUGAUAGCCUACAAGAAAAGUAAAUUUCGAAAGCAUAAUUUGGCUCCGAUUGAGGUAAUAAUUGUCUUUAAACUCAUUUAGUUUUAUAUCAAACAAAAUCAAGACUGCCUUUCUCUUCAAUAUUUUUGAUGAUAAUAUCUUUAGAAGCAUCUCAUUGACGGGUAACAAUGGUAUCCCUGAAAGUGUCUUUAAACUCAAUGAUAUUAUCUUCUACAAAUGGUUCAUUAAACUUUGUUGUUGUAGUCAAAUGUACACUCAGAGCAAUGAGAAGCUAUGGCACUGUAGCAUGUAGUGAUGGCACUUAAUAAGUGAGUUGCUAGGAUGUGAACUAGAAAAAUUAAAUAUUGUCUCCUUGGGUAUGCUAGCUUGUAAGUCAGGGUUAAUAUUAGAGCUUAAGUUACUAUAACCAUGAGACGCUAUUGACUGCCAAUUAAAAUAUCCAUUAAAUUGUCUAGGAAGUUAUGAAAGUGGAGGUAUCUUCCGAUUUCUAAGGCCAGAUAGUAGACAUCAUCCAGGAUCCUAGGAAAGUGCAGUUAACCUCCUGCUCGAUGCAAUUAAUAAAUUUGGUCAAUGCCACUGAAACCUGCUAACCGACGUCACAAUGCGAGAUGAGCACUUCAAAAUGGGACAGACGGUCAGUAGCACUAAAUUUUUCUUUCCUAAGAUUGAGCAAUUGGUCUAACUACUAACCCCUAUUGUAGGUUGAUCAUUAUUUUUCCAAUUAUGUUCAGUUUGACCCAAAAAGUUACAGAAUCUUGAGCUGAAUAUUGUCACUGAACACUGUCAAUGUCAUUUAGCAUACCCAACUAACUUGAGUUUGGUAAAACAAACACACUGUGCGUCUCAUCUCUCACAAUUCAAAUUAUCAUCUGUAAUGAUGGAGAAUUUUUCCAAUGUAUGAAGUAUGCUUUGAUAUGUGUACCUUGGAGAAGAUAUCUCCAAAUAAAGAAUAUGGAGAGAAAACGGUUCAGUAGUUUAUUAUUCUGUAGGCAAGUCUUGUCUCGAAAAUGGUCAAAAUUUAAAUGAAUAAGGACAGGGGAUCUUCAUUCUUUUUUCCCUUUUUUAUACCAAGAUAUCUCUCAACCUUUAUAUAAUCCCCACUGGAUAUCUGCUUCUAAUAAUUAAAAUAAAAAUUUCACUCACACAAAUAAAUACUGACCAAGCUCUAACAAUAUAAAGUAACAUCUUUACUCAAGUAAUUUACAGUUCCUCAUCAUCUUAGUGUGAGACUAUCAUUACGUUCCAAAAACAAAAUAAAACUGGUUUGAUCCUGUUUAUUGAUGUUUAAAUGUUGUUCAUUGUGACAUGUAGAAAUGAUGAAGCGAAGUUUAUUUGGUCAUCAAUUAGUAAGAUCUUGUUUGAAGUUGUUUUCUGAAAUGAACUGCCUUUUUUUUGGGCAUAUGAUGGCUCUUUUUUCCUCAUUUUCAACAUGUGCCUGCUUGGAAUGGGAUGGAUUUGGCUGCAGAGUUGUUAUAUAUUUUGAGAUGCUCUGGCUGUUGUGAAAAUUUUAAUAUACUCGCAAGCACACGAAUCUAGAAAUAGAAUAGUGAUAACGAGGUCGAACCCACAGGGAUUAUUGAAAAGUCUAAUUUAAAUCUAAAAUUAAUAUUAAUUCUAACCUAGUUGAGCAAAUUGAGUUUUAAGAGAAAUUAAACUAAUUAAACUAAGAAAAUAAUUAAAGUAAAGGAGAAUUCAAUAAGACAAAAAUUACCAAGGUUUCAGAAUCCACCACUAUUCAACUAGUAAUUAUCUAAUUAUUAAUUAAUCCCCAAUUUUAGAGUGACAACUCGAAAUCAAUCUAUGUCAUCUCAUGGAUAUAACAAUUAAGCCCAAGUAAUUAAAUCUAAUGUAGGUUCUUUUUCUACUUAAUAGUAUGAUAUCUAAGAAUCUCAUGUAAACAUAUUGAAUAACAAAGAGUCAAAGUUUUCUUAAGCACUCUAUGUAAACAAUUUAAUGAAAGACAUAAAAUCAAAGAUAAUCAUGCAUAAACUUUAUAGAUCCAAGCAUAGAUUUAAUCGAAUAUUAAUCCUAACAAUCAAUAAUGCAUAACAGAAUUGAUGAAAAGAUUUUAAUAACAUCCAACUAAUCAUGUGAAAUAAAAACCAUAAUCAUUAAAGAACAUAUAUAGGGAAUUAAAUAAAUAAAAAAAUAAUUAUUUCAUUGAAUAGGGUUUCAUCCUUAACCUCAGUAUAAGAAAAUUAGUUAGACAUACUUGAAUUGGGAAAAACAAAAGAGAUAAAACCGGCCAUGAGGAAUAUUGAACUGUUGGUGCCGAUUGCUCUUUUCCAGCCUUGCGUCUGCUUUCCUCUGGCGGCUACCUCCCCCCUUGCAAAAGCCAAAGUUCGGCUUUUAUAUUGUAACUCCCCCACAAAAUCCUCAAAUCAAAAGGUUUUAAAACAAGCCAAGCACAACCGACUUUGAGCCCAUGCAUGUGAAGCCCAAUUGGAAUUUUCAUUCCUUUUUUAAUGCCAUGCAAUUGCUUUCCCACGUGCUGGCCACUUUAGCUUUAAAUUUCUUCUUUGUUUGCACUAGCAUGGAGAAUUCAAUUUAUUGGCUUCGGCUUCUUCGGAUUGAAUUUCAUACACAUCUACUUAAUUGCUUCCACAAAUUGACUUGAUUUUUAAUGUUGUCCAAUUGUUAUUCUUUAUGUACUUUUCAUCCUUAAUCUCCAAUUAAUUCCCUAUUCAAUAAAAUUAACUUAGCAAUUAUAUAAUAAAGGGUAAAAUAUGUAUAUAAAUUAUGCUCAUCACUGGCCAUUGCACAAUUUGUUCACACUGGAAAUUUGAAUGAGAAAUUUGUUGAUGCUGUUUUGAGAGAUCUGCAUUCUAUGCACAAUAACAUGAUUAAUGAAAAUGGAUUGUAGGACUGGAAAGAUCUGUGGCAGCCUGAGCUCGCAGGAAGAAUUUCAAUGGUUAAUUCUCCCCGAGAGGUUAUUGGUUCAGUUUUGAAGUAUAUGGGAGCAUCAUACAAUUCAAACGAUAUUGAUUCGCAAGUUGCAGGUGGGAAGAUUGCUGUUCAGCAGAAUCUGGCAUUACUGGCAAACCAGGUACUCUUAAAGAAAUGAUAUCUGAUCAUUGCAUGUUAUUGCCUGACAACUGAUUUUGUUUGUAAAAGUCUGCUUCUUCAUACAUAUGAAUGCAUAUGUUAGUGUUCUCUUCUCCUUUUCAUACAUAUGAAUGCAUAUGUUGGUGUUGUCUUUUCCUUUUCAUACAUAUUAAUACAUAUAUUGGUGCUCUCUCCUGAGAUGGAUGCAAUAAAGGCUUUUGGUCCUAAAUUUAGGUGAAGAAAUGGCAAGGGAUGUGAGAUUCUGUCUCAUUAAAUUAACAAAAACCCAAAACAAUGAAAACCCAUAAUAAUGUGGUGGGGGUAAAUUGGCACCAUUUGGUUUGUUUACUUAAUGUGAAUACACGAGCAAUAGGGACUAACAAAAUGAAGUGACAACAACAAGUCAGUGUCCUUUGAUGGAUGCAUUUUAGGCAAAAAUAGGUUUGUAAUUGACCAAUUUCAAAAAAUUUAAAUUAUGUGGUUAUUAGCUGUAAUGAAGGGGAUAGGAGGUGCAAUCAGGUGGAUCCAGGAAAGUUCAACAAAGUUCUGGUAUGGCAUAGUGAAAUUGGUUUGUGCAACUCAAGAGUCUUUCAGGUGAACGAUGAUAUGUUUUGAUUUAUAAAUGUUAUAAAUCUACCGUCCAUAGUAUUCUAGUAGAAUCAUCUAUAAGUUCUAGUUAUUGAAAUUGUCUACUUUGUCCAGUUUGAGUUAAGGGCACAUGUAAUAGGAAAAAUAGUUGUCACAUCUUUUUGGUUACCUAACAUUUGAUCAAUCCUAUUAUGAGGGCUUCAAGAUGUCUAACAAUAUGUAGAAUGCCCAUGCUCCUCCCCAUUGUUUAUCUUAUACAAUAAUUUGUUUUAGAUGCUAAUAUAUUUGUCGAUACCGGUAACGAUAUUACAAUAUCUGCAUUUAUUGGGUUUUACAUAGGUUCGACUGUUUGACAGUACACACUAUCUGAAGGCAUUUGGAAUUGGAGAUGUAUGGGUUGCUGUUGGGUGGAGUAGUGAUGUUCUUCCUGCUGUCAAACGUAUGUCUAAUGUUGCAGUUGUUCCCAAGUCUGGUGCUAGCUUAUGGGCCGAUCUUUGGGUAUACCCAUGCCGGCCAUUCUACUUCGAUAUUCACGUUGUUAUCUCCUUCAUAUUAGCGAUCAUAAACUUGAUAAUGUGACUAAUAAGUUCGUAUUCUCUUUAUAGGCAAUCCCUGCUGCCUCAAGACUUGAAACAAAAGAAAUUGGAGGGCGAGUCUGAGGUCCAUCUCCAUUAAUCCAUCAAUGGAUAGAAUCCUGCUUGCAAACAGCGAGAACAUUGCCUUUCAAGCAAGAGGUUAUCCCGGGCGCAUCUCCCUCUGCCCUUGAAAGUACUCUGGUUAAGUUGCCUGAAGAACUUCUGAAGGGUAAACCAAGUCUGGAUACUAACUUAAUUGCUGGAGUACCCCCGGCUGAAAUUCUGGCCAGAUGUGAGUUUUUGGAGCCAUUGUCUGAAGCUACAUUGUCAUAUUAUGAGUGGCUGGUUGCUAAUCUGCAAAAACCUGCCCCCCUCUUGAUGAAUAGGCUGCAACAUUACUUGUCAUCAUUAAUCCAAAGCUUUCUAGCAAAAGCUACAUUGAAAAGUUAAUGGCACUGCAUGCCAGUCAUUGUAAUGCUGUCAGGGCUAUUGGGUCAGGGCUAUUGGGUCAGAGCAUAACUUCAUUAGGAAAAGAGGCUUCAGCUACGUUAAAUAUUACAGGAUGUACUGAGAUGGCUGAAGUUCUUGAGGUUUUACGAGAAACGAAAGAUGAGUGUUUGUUUGAACAAAGUUGUUGCCAUCUUGCAGAGUUUGAGAAGAAAGAUCACUGAGCGAAUGCCACCGAUUUCUUAAUCAUUGUAGCCUCCAUAGUUGAAGUUUCCUUAUUUGAAGCUGUUUAUGCGUACGCUUUUUCCCUGCUCAAGUACAGGAAAUUGAAGAAUUAACCAGAUGUGAUAUGCUGAAAGAGGGAAGUUUUCUUCCUUGAACGUGGCCUUGUGAUUUGUCUUGGAAGGAAUAGGAUGAUCACUGGCAAGAACCCUAUCAAGGUAGAUUUUAUGGUGCUAACGUAUUAUUAAGCAUUUUGUUACAUCAGCAAUGAUGCUUUCAUAGCAUGAAAGGGUUUAAAUUUAACUGAAUGAUUCUGAUUAAUCAAUUAUGAGUUUGAAUCGAGUAAAAACUAAAUACAAUCAUCGUUAACAAUACUGAAAAAAUUUAACUGAAUCAUCGUUAAUUGAGUAAAUAGGAUCUUGAUAUUGAAGAAUUUGAAAUCACAACGCACACAGGAAAUUGAAGAAUUUGAAAUACAAUCAUCGUUAACAAUAUAAGAUGAGUGUUUGUUUGAACAAAGUUGUUGCCAAUCUUGCCGAGUUCGAAAAAAAAGAUCACGGAGCAAAUGCCACUGAUUUCUUCAUCAUUGUAGCCUCCAUAGUUGAAGUUUCCUCAUGUGAAGCUGUACAUCAAGUACAGGAAAUUGAAGAAUUAACCAGAUGUGAUAUGCUGAAAGAGGGAAGUUUUCUCCCUUGAAUGUGGCCUUUGUGAUUUGUCUUGAAGGAAUAGGAUGAUCACCGGCAAGAACCCUAUCAAGGUAGAUUUUAUGAUGUUAACAUAUUAUUAAGCAUUUUGUUACAUCAGCAAUGAUGCUUUCAUAGCAUGAAAGUGUUUAAAUUUAACUGAAUGAUCUUGAUUAAUCAAUAAUGAGUUUUAAUCGAGUAAAAACUAAAUACAAUAAUUGUUAACAAAUACUGAAAUUGGGUAAAUAUGAUCUUGCUAUUGAAGAAUUUGAAAUCACAACCCACACAGGAAAUCACCCUUCGCGUGGAGAUGGAGAUGUUUACUGCAGCGAUAUUGAAUAUGUCCACUGCUCUUUGGGUUAUGGUGCGACUUGCGAUUUCAAGGUUGCCCUGAAACAAUGGAAAAGAAUUAACAUACCCUGCAAUGAAUGAAAGCGGCUGGACUAAUUCUGAUUACCUGAUUGACUCAGGAUCGGAUGGCAAUAAAGACAGUUUAUUAACAAUGCACAGUCCCGAGUACUUUUUCAGGAUCAGAUAUUACGUGGUCUAAUGUUGAUAAUAAUAGAUUAUCAAAUGAGAGAUGCUGAGAGAUGCUGGUCUAGUAUUGCAAGCCCCCAGAUUUAAGAAUCUUUUGAUGAUAAUUUACCACCUGUAACUGUGCCGGAAGAUUCACCUAGCAUUGAAAAAGAUGAUAAUUUAAUUGAUAUGGAUAGUUUUCAUAACACUUUUAAAUCAUCUUAUGUAAUUAUAAUGUUGAGAAGCAUUAGUGGUCUAUAUGUGAACUAUUAUUGACGCUAUUUUGUUGUAAACAAUCUUAUUCAAUUAAUGUAUAAUUUAAAAUCAUUAUGUAAAUCAAUCUAUUACUUUUCAUGAUAUUUAACUGAGUUAAAACUAAGUGCACCCAAUAAAUCUCUUUUCCUUUAAAAAACUGUUACGCUUUGAUUUUAGUGCUUAAUAUUUACGGAACUCCGGUACAGGGAAUUCGAAAUCAAACUCGUAACUACAGAUUAUCUAAUUGCAAGCUUUUGUCCAUAGUUGCUGAUUGUAGUGAUUAUCUAAUUGACUGAGGUGACAACAAUUUUUUUUUUUAAUUUUCAAUAGCAUAAUGUGGAAUUCAAUAAUUAAAUUCUCCUUUUUAAUUUGUUUCCAGUUAAAUUAUUAAUUACUUAAACUCUGUUUUAAGUCUUUAAUUUUAUGUCUUGGCGUAUAUGCAGGGUUGGAUUCUUGAGCGUGUUGGACACGACCAACAAUGAAAUUGACAGUAAACAAACAUUAUAACGCGUUGAGUGUCGACUCCGCUAGCUGCCCUACAAGUCUACAACUUUACAAACAAUAACUGAGUACACACAUUUGAUUCUCAGGGCCUUUCAAUGAAUUUCUAGGCCGGUUGACUCCACCGACAAAAGUUUUGGAAAAUAAAAAAGAAAAUUCAUAGAAUUCCACCAAAUGCAAAACGCGUGGAAUUUAAUUUUCGGCUGUGUGGACCAAAACAUAAUUUAAUGAAAAAAAAGAUAAGAUUUCUAGAAUGUGUGGAAGGUGAUCCAUAUUUUACUGAAACAACUUAUUAAAUUUUUCAAGGAUUUAGAAUAUUUGGUCAUAAAUUACGCUCAUGUUAAUUUUUCCACUGUUGACUAUCAUAUUCUAGACUCACUGGUACCUUUCUUGAUGAAGGGUACUUAGUCUCUCUUCUCCUCUUAUAAAAAUUAUAUUAAUUAAUUUCUUAUUAUAAUAAAUAGUCUUUAAGAACGUAUAGAUUUAUUGUUUUCGUGACCAAAUUAUGCCAGCUUAAGGUUGCGACUAUUAAUAAAAUUAAUAUUUAAUGUUUAUGUUAAAAGAUAUAAGAUUUUUUGCAUUCAUUAAUUGUCAUUAGCUAAAGGAUUAAUUAUUUUUUCAACCCAAUCAGUUGAUGCAUCUGCAAGAAUUUUUUCUUUUAUUGACCAUAAUUAUAUUCCGGGUACAAUAAAUUAUCUUUGGUGCUUGGAAAAUAUGACUUCUUACUUCAAGUUUGAUGUGUCUCUCUCCAUAAGCUUACUGGAAAUAUAUCCUCAUCUACUGUCAUUUAUCUAAUAUCAAUUGAAUAUCUGACUUUUUCAAACUAUCACUUCCAAGUCUCAUUGUCACUUGGCCAUUCUUGGACCAUUCAAAACCAAACAAGUGUUGAAAUAAUCAAAUAUAUGCAAAAUUAGAGUCACGACUUUUGGUCCUCCAAAUUCUAAUUAUAUUACUUCUAUAUAUCUCAUUGUCAGGUCACGAACUUGUUGGCACAUUUUCCAAAUUCCUCUUCCAUCAGCUCUUACACGUUAACUUAAGUGGAAAGUUUCCAAGUUGAUUGCUAGAAAGCAACGCAAAAUCAGACACGCUUGAUCUGUCCCCUAAUUCUCUUUUCUACGUUGAAAAAGAAAAAAAAUAAGAAAAAAGAAAAUAGAUCUAUGUAAAAAUAAAUAAUAAACUGAGUAAAAGUACAUUUGUUUAUUUAACAUCUGAUCGGGGCAUUUUUGGUGUAAUUUCGUGCUGUGUUUAACCCACAACUAAAAUCAAACAGCCCCUUAGAAUACUUCUUCCAUUUUGGGUGCGUUUGGGAUUGAGGUUGGGCAGCUGUAACUUAAAAACUACAGCACUAAAGUGUUUGAUAAACACUAACUGCUGUAGCUUUUAAGCUAUGUUGAUAUGGUUUUUCACUUGUAUAAUACAAAAUUUAUUAUAUCUUUAAUAAUUUUAUCAAAAUUAUUAUUUAAAAUUUAUAUUUACUAUAUAUUAUUAACUUUUGUUUCAUAAUUACAGCUUUUUUUUCACAGCAACUGUAGCUUAAAAGCUACAGCAUCUCAAUCCCAAACGCACCCUUUAUCUGCUACUUUUGUGGAUCUUAUAGGGUGGGCAUGUGAACAGAAUUUAAAAAUUUUAAUAGUCUCAAAGAAUAAGAUAUGCUAAAGCUAAAGUUGUUGCACCUUCUAAUUAAAUAAAGUUGUAUAAUUUCACCAACUUGGAAGAAUUGAUAUUAAUGGACGGUCCCCUCUCCAUAUAUGAAGCCUUCUUAAAAGUUAAUUUUUAUUUCAGAAAAAAAAAGUUUAAGUUACAUAUAUUAUAGUAAGAUUUUUUUAGACCAAUUCCCUUCUUGAAAUAAUAAUGGAAAAGCAUUAAUUUAAAAAUAAAAUGAAUAUGUAUUGAUUAUAUCCUGAUUUUCAUCGAUUAUAGUGAGAGUUUCUCCAAAUCAAUUCCCUUAUUCAAAUAAUACAGAAAAAAUAGUAAUUUAAUAGUAAAAUAAACAAGUGUUGAUUAUAUAUUCUAAGUUUCAUCGAUUAUGUGAUCAAAGUGGCAUUGUUGAUUUAUUUCUUGUUCAAUGUUAAUUUUUAGGUUAUAUAAAUUUCAAGGAUCUAAAAUCUUUGGUCAUGGAUUACACGCUUGUUAAUUUUUCUGCCAUUAACUGUCAUAUUCUAGACUUAAUGAUACCUUUCUUGAUCAAGCGUAAUUAUUCUCUCUUCUCCUCUUAUAAAUUCCUCUUCCAUUAACAUCACUAGGAGUAUGUUGAUCUCUCAGACGUUAACUUGAGUGGAGAGUUUCCAAAUUGAUUGUUACAAAACAACACAAAAACUAGACACACUUGAUCUGUCUAAUAAUUCUCUUUCGGUAAAAUUAAUUAAUUUUAGGGAAAUAUUCUGCCAACCUCUGUAAUUUCAAAGUGAUCAUUAAUUAAUUAAACGAUACAAAUAUCUAAAGUGAUUAGAUGUUUGCCGACAAUACAAGUUCAUGACUUGAAAUUUGAUCUCUAUCGAUUGGUUUACAAAUGGACGUACUUGUGCCUUUGUGGCGAUAAUCAAACAAGUUCCCAUGAUUAUUAUUUUUUCCAAAAACGUUUUUACAACAAAUUCAUCUCGCCAAAAAUUCUAUGUUGCUAACUAACAAUAAUUGAGCACUUGGCCGCAUUGACCCCACGUCUCCACCUCUUUCUAAAAACAUGGAAAAUGUAAUUUCCACAAAAUGCCAAACGUGUGGAAUUUAAUUUUUUUGCCUUGUGGAUCAAAAUACAAAUGAAAGAAACAGGAGAAAAAAAAGGCCCAAAGACUUCUAAAAGAUGAAGAAGUCUUUGGGCCUUUUUAUAAUGGUGAAUUUUUUAAAAGAAAAAAAAUAACAACAUUUUUAUGGUUUGUUUUGAUAAUCAUAUUUACAUAUACUCUCUAAUUUUCAAAAUGGACACAUAAAUCUUUUUUUUUACAAAAUAUAUAUUAUUCAUAUUUUUUAUUUUUUAUUAUCAUAUUUUUAUUUAUUAUAAAUGUUUAGAGUAAAUUUUUAGGUUGAAAUAUAAUAAAAAUGUAUAAUCGUUCUCUUAUUAAACACACAUACUUUUAUUAGUUUCUAUGCAUUUGUCAUCUCAAUCUCUCUCAAUUAUUCUUUAUUGCUAGCUCAAAACGCGUUGCUGUUGCAAAUUAUAGCAAAAUGACAAAUAUGGAAAAAAAGGGAAGAAAAUUAAUGCAUGAAAGACUUGGAGAAAACAACAAAAUAAGCCAACUAUGAGCUAGUUGGGUGUAUAAAUUGUUAGAUGUGUUAUAUACAAAUAGCAUAGAGCCCUCUAGUUAGUUCCAGAGACAGAAAGAGCGUGUGUGUUUUUUCACAGUUAGAGAUAUAGUUAGAAUGGGUGGUUCAAAAUCAAAAAUGAUGAUAAUGUUUAUUAUGUUAUUAAUAAUAUUUAAAAGUGGGUGGAGUGAGGGAUGUUUGGAUCACGAGAGAUUUGCUCUUUUGCGACUCAAACAUUUCUUCGAUGAUAGUUAUCUUUAUGACUGGGCCGAUGAUGAGGGAGCUACUGAUUGUUGUCAGUGGGAAAAUGUUGAGUGCAGCAACACCACAGGCCGAGUGAUAGCGCUAGACCUUUUUGACACGCAUGGGGGAGAGCACAGCUGGUAUAUGAAUGCUUCUUUGUUUACUCCCUUCCAACAACUUGAGUCACUUGAUUUAACUGACAACAAUAUAGCCGGUUGUGUUGAGAAUGAAGGUGCUUCGUUUAAUUUAAUUAAUUUACUUUCUCCCCCCAAAUUUAAGUUGAAUAUCAAGACCGAGCAAUUAUAUGCAUAUUCAUUUAGUCGACAAUUUUGACUUUUUUUUAAAUGAUUAAUUUUGAAAUUACACCAGUAUCUAUGAUCUUUUUUUAUUUUAUUUUAUUUGCAGGUAUAGAGAGGCUAUCAAGAUUGAACAACUUGAAGAUGCUUAAUUUAAGUCGAAACUCAUUCAAUAAUAGCAUUUUAUCAUCUCUAACUCAUCUUUCAUCAUUAAGAUCAUUAAAUUUACUUUGGAAUAGAUUGGAAGGAAGUAUUGACGUUAAAGGUACAUAAUUAAAACUUCAAGCUCUUUCAUUAACUUGCUAAAAUAAGAUUCAAGGCUUUGAAAGAAAAAGAGAGAAAAAAACAAGGCCCAAAGACUUCUAAAAGAUGUAAAAGUCUUUGGGCUUUUUUAUAAUGGUGGAUUUUUUAAAAGGAAAAAAUAACAACGCUUCUAUGGUUUGUUUUGAUAAUCACAUUUACAUAUACUCUCUAAAUUUCAAAAUGGACACAUAAAUCUUUUUUUUUUCUACAAAUGUAUAUUGUAUUUUUUAUUAUUUUUAAUAUCAUAUUGUUAUUUAUUAUAAAUAUUUAAAGUAAAUUUUUAAGUUGAAAUAUAAUAAAAGAGUAUAAUCGUUCUCUUCUUAAACACUCAUACUUUUAGUUUCUAUCCAUUUGUCAUCUCAAUCUCUCUCAAUUAUUCAUUAUUGCUAGCUCAAAACGCGUUGCUGUGGAAAAUUAUAGCAAAAAGACAAAUAUGGAAAAGAAAAAAGGGAAGAAAAUUAAUGCAUGAAAGACUUGGAGAAAACAACGAAGUAAGUCAACUAUAAUCUAGCUGGGUGUAUAAAUUGUUUGAUGCUUUAUAAGCAAAUAACAUACAGAGACAGACAAUGUGUGUUCGUUUUUUCAUAGUUAAAGAUAUAGUUAGAAUGGGUGGUUCAAAAUCAAAAAUGGUGAUAAUGUUUGUUAUGUUAUUAAUAAUAUUUAAAAGUGGGUGGAGUGAGGGAUGUUUGGAUCACGAGAGAUUUGCUCUUUUACGACUCAAACAUUUCUUCAAUGAUCCUCUUAAUUCUCUUUACGACUGGGUAGAUGGUGAGGGAGCUACUGAUUGUUGUCAGUGGGAAAGGGUUGAGUGCAGCAACACCACAGGCCAAGUGAUAGCGUUGCACCUUUCUAAUAUAUAUUUGGGAGAGUACAGCUGGUAUCUGAAUGCUUCUUUGUUUACUCCCUUCCAACAACUUGAGUCACUUGAUUUAAGUUUCAACAAAAUAGCCGGUUGUGAUGAGAAUGAAGGUGCUUCGUUUAAUUUAAUUAAUUUACUUUCUCUCUCCUAAUUUAAGUGGUAUAUUAAAAUUGAGCAACUAUAUGCAUAUACAUUAGUUGACAAUUUUGACAUAUUUUUUGAAGUGAUUAAUUAAUUUUGAAAUUACACCAAAUAUCUAUGAUCAUUUUUUUUUAUUUUACUUGAAGGUAUAAAGAGGUUAUCAAGAUUGAACAACUUGAAGAUGCUUAAUUUAAGUGCUAACUCGUUCAACAAUAGCAUUUUAUCAUCUCUAACUCAUCUUUCAUCAAUAAGAUCAUUAAAUUUAUAUGUGAAUGAAUUGGAAGGAAGUAUUGAUGCUAAAGGUACAUAUUUAAAACUUCUCUCUUCCCCAAGCUCUUUCAUUAACUUGCUAAAAUAAGAUUCAAGGCUUUGAAUUCAAUUUUUUUAUGAUUAAUAUUUAAAAAAAACAGUUUUAAGCAAUUUAUAAAUACAAGUUUUAAUGUUUCUUAUAAUUUCAUCUUGUACUUUCAUAUGUCUUGAAUUUAAGAUUAAAAAAAAAACUCUAAUAGCAAACCAAACACCUCCACAACUUAUUAUUAUUAUUAUUAUUAUUAUUAUUAUUAUUAUAUAUUUUUUAAUUUGUGGUGAGGUUUGAAACAUUCAACUCAAUUUGUACUUGUUACAGAAUUUGAUUCUUUGAGAGAUUUAGAGGAGCUAGACAUUGGCGGGAACAAGAUUGACAAAUUUGUGGUCUCAAAAGGUACUACAAAUACCAUAAAAAAAAUAUGCUAACUUUUACAAAUUAGUUAGAUUCUUUGCCAUUUGGUUUAUUAUUUUACAGGUUUGAGUAAGUUGAAGUCUCUUGGUUUAAGUGGUAUCAAACUCAAUCGUAGCAUCUUAUCUUCUCUUUCUUCGUUAAGAGAAUUAGAUAUAAGUCGUACGGGAUUCAAAGGAACAUUUGAUGUUCGAGGUAAGCCUAAACCUUGCUUUCUCAUUUUAUAUAUGCCAACUAGAUUUGUGUAUCAUCGACAUAAUUUAAUAUUUAAUUUGAUAAGUCUGAAGGAAUUACAUGCUAAUUUAAACACACUUUUAUUUACUUUGUCAAUUAAUCAAUUAAUUACUAUUUGGCUUGGUUUGGACGAAAUUCUCAUGAUGUUUUAAUUUCUUUAAAUUAAUUAAUUAAUUAACUCUGUUUUUAAGUCUUAAGUCUGGGCAUGUUUGCAGAAUUUGAUUCCUUCAAUAACUUAGAAGUGUUGGACAUGAGUUGGAACGAAAUCGACAAUCUUGUGGUUCCUCAAGGUAAACAAUUAAAAUAUUAUUCAAUUACAUUAUUUUAAUUCAUUUGAUUAGAGAAGGCCAAAAAGGUAAAAAAAAAAUUCAAUAAAGAAAUAGAGAAUUUGUAUUAUUUAAAAAACAGAAUGUAAUAAAGAUUUGAUUCUAGUUCUUUAAUCUUUAAAGCGAUUGAAAAACAAUGUUGGUCUUUUCGCAAAGCAUAAAAUACGAAUUGAAUGCCAAUUAACUUAAUCAUUCAUUUCGUUUAGCUCUAAAUUUAGACAAUGAAUUUUUAUAUUAUUUCAAAAACAGGACGUAAUAGAAUUUUUUUAAAAAUAGAUUGUAAUGAAGAUUUGAUUCCAAUUCUUUAAUCUUUACAGUGAUUGAAAAACGAUACUACUUCCCAAAGCAUAAAAUACGAAUUGACUCUCAAUUAAAUUAAUCAUUUAUUUCGUUCAUCUCUGAAUUUAAAUAAUGAAUUUUGAUCUUCAAUCUUUUCCUAAUUAUUAUUAAUAAACAGGUUACAGAGGUUUGAGGAAGUUGAAAAGCUUUGGUCUAUCGGGAGUUGGAAUUAGAGAUGGAAGCAAGUUGUUACAGUCAAUGAGAUCAUUCCCAUCCCUCAACACUCUUGACCUGACCGAUAAUAAUUUUACCAAUAUAGCGACCGCUACUCAAGGUAAGUAAAAGGUACAGAUGUGGCCAAAUUUAUAAAUAAAUUGUUUAUUAAUUAAUUUUUUCGUAUUAUUAAUUAAGCUAAAUUCGUUGCUCCUUCCUUCUAAAUCUAAACAGAGUUGCACAAUUUCACCAACUUGGAAUAUUUGACAUUGCACGGUUCCUCUCUCCAUAUAAGCCUUCUGCAAAGCAUUGCAUCAAUAUUCCCUUCGUUAAAAAAUCUGUCGAUGUCUUUUUGUGAAGUCAAUGGUGUUGUACGCGGUCAAGGUAAAAGAAAAGCGUUGAUUGUGAACUCACUCAAUGGUGUCCUACGUGUUCAACAUUUUUAUUUAUUAAUUUAUUUAUUGUUUAAUGUUUCUGCUAGGUUUUCCUCAUUUCAAGAGUUUGGAACAUUUUGACAUGAGCUCCACACGCAUUGCACUCAACACCAGCUUUCUUCAAAUCAUCGGUGAAUCGAUGCCUUCUCUUAAGUACUUAUCACUGUCAUAUUCUACUCUUGGCACUAACAGCAGCAGGAUUCUUGAUCAAGGUUAAUGAGAUGCUGCCACCCUCCCUUCUUAAUCUAUAAUAUUAAUUUUCGAUUAAAUAUUUAAUUACACAAACCAAUCACUUAUUAUAAAAGAAUAAUACGCAUUCAUUAAUUUUUAAAUUGUAUUAAUAAUUGAUGAAUUUAAUAAAUUUUCAGGCCUCUGUUCGUUGAUGCAUCUACAAGAGUUACACAUUGCUUAUAACGAUUUAAGAGGUAGCUUGCCUUGGUGCUUGGCAAAUAUGACAUCCCUCCGAAUAUUAGAUGUUUCUUCCAAUCAACUUACUGGAAGCAUCUCCUCAUCUCCCCUCGUUCAUUUGACAUCCAUUGAAGAGCUGAGGCUUUCAUACAACCACUUCCAGAUCCCAAUUUCACUUGAACCACUUUUCAAUCAUUCAAGACUCAAGAUUUUUUAUGCUGACAACAACGAACUAAAUGCAGAAAUAACUGAGUCACAUUCUUUGACCGCCCCAAACUUCCAAUUAUCACGUCUCUCAUUGUCUUCCAGUUACGGAGACAGUUUCAUAUUCCCCAAAUUCCUUUACCAUCAACAUGACCUGGAGUAUGUUGAUCUCUCACACAUAAAGAUGAAUGGAGAAUUUCCAACUUGGUUGUUGGAAAACAACACAAAAUUGAGACAACUUUCUCUCGUCAAUGAUUCUCUUGCAGGACAUUUCCGGUUGCCAAUUCAUUCACACAAGCGGUUAGGACUGUUGGAUAUAUCCAACAACAACUUCCGAGGCCACAUUCCAGUAAAAAUUGGAGAUGUUUUACCAAGUUUAUACGUUUUCAACAAUUCCAUGAAUGCUUUAGACGGUAGCAUUCCCUCUUCAUUUGGUAAUAUGAAAUUCCUCCAAAUUCUGGACUUAUCCAACAAUCACUUGACUGGUGAAAUCCCCGAGCACUUGGCCGUGGGUUGCGUCAACUUGCAGUCUCUUGCAUUAUCAAAUAACAACCUACAAGGUCAUUUGUUCUCUAGAAAUUUUAACUUGACAAACUUGCAAUGGUUACAAUUGGAGGGCAAUCGCUUCGUAGGUGAGAUCCCACAAAGUUUGUCUAAAUGCUCCUCACUAGAAGGAUUGUAUCUUAACAAUAAUAGUCUUUCGGGUAAGAUUCCACGAUGGUUGGGUAAUCUCACAUGGUUACAAUAUAUUAUACUGCCCAAUAAUCAUCUUGAAGGCCCUAUUCCAGUGGAGUUUUGUCAGCUUGAUUCGCUUCAGAUUUUGGACAUUUCAGACAACAACAUAUCUGGAAGUUUACCAUCUUGUUUCCAUCCUCUCUCUAUCAAACAAGUUCAUCUUUCAAAAAAUAUGUUACAUGGACAGCUAAAAAGAGGUACAUUCUUUAAUUGCUCUUCCCUUGUGACAUUAGAUCUUAGUUAUAACCGCUUGAAUGGCAGCAUUCCGGAUUGGGUUGAUGGGCUUUCUCGGUUAAGCCACCUUAUCUUAGGUCACAAUAAUCUUGAAGGUGAAGUGCCAGUUCAAUUGUGCAAAUUGAACCAACUACAAUUGUUAGAUCUUUCUAAUAAUAAUCUUCACGGUCUUAUUCCUCCUUGCUUUGAUAACACCACACUUCAUGAAAGUUACAGCAAUAGUUCUAGUCCUGAUGAGCAAUUUGAAAUAUUUUUUUCCAUCGAAGGCCCUCAGGGAGGUGUAGAAAAGCAAAUCCAUGAAAAUUUUGAGUUCACAACAAAGAACAAUGCAUACAUUUACCAAGGAAAAGUGCUUAGCCUCCUAUCAGGACUUGAUCUUUCUUGCAACAAGCUAAUCGGUCAUAUUCCUCCUCAAAUUGGAAAUUUGACAAGGAUUCAAACAUUGAAUCUAUCGCACAACAACUUGACAGGAUCGAUCCCAUCAACAUUUUCAAACUUGAAGUAUGUCGAAAGUUUGGAUCUUUCCAACAACAAAUUGAAUGGGAAAAUCCCUUAUCAACUAGUGGAGUUAAAGACAUUGGAGGUUUUCAGUGUGGCAUACAAUAACUUAUCAGGCGAAAUUCCAGAAUGGAAAGCACAAUUUGCAACCUUCAACGAGAGUAGCUAUGAGGGAAAUAUUUUUCUUUGUGGACUGCCAUUGCCUAUUUGCAUAUCACCAACAACUACGCAGGAGGCUUCAAUUGACAAUGAACGAGAUGAUAAUUUAAUUGACAUGGACAGUUUCUUUAUCACAUUUACAACAUCGUACGUAAUUGUGAUAUUCGGAAUUGUUAUUGUUUUAUAUGUAAAUUCUUAUUGGCGACGUAGAUGGUUUUACUUUGUUGAAAUGUGGAUAACUUCAUGUUAUUAUUUUAUUGUAGACAAUCUUAUUGCAACAAGAUAUUGUCAUUGAAAUUAAUUAGCAGUUUAAUUACCAUUCUUUAAGUUCUAAUCAAGUUUGCUUAGGAAAUAAAUUUAUUUUUAUUUUUUAUUAAAAUUGUAGUAGUAUUUAGCGCUAUAUAGCUUCCAACUUCCGAGCACUUCACAUUUGUCUCUACACUUCCAAACCCAUAUCUGUCCACCAUAACUUAUACUUCCUUAUACUGUGCAGCAUACUUAAAUAAGAGAACCAUCUCCAAUGUUAAAACCAACCACUCUAUAACAUUCAUUUAGAAACUAUAUUUAGAAUAUUUUUAUAAUCAUACACAAGAAAUGAAACACCUAGAUGCACUUGAUCGCCUUUUUUUACUUUAAAAAAUAAUGAUUAUGGUGCUAUCAUCAUCUUCUUCACUAGCGUCAUUAACACCAAAUCCAGCGACGGACCCAUACAUUUUAUCAAGAAAGGUAUAUAUAUAAUAAAGUUGAAGCUCGACAAAAAUUCAGGAAGAUUGAUGCCUCGCCACAACAAGGGGCACACCAACAUCAAAGUAGAGAUGAAGCAAUAUUCUCAAAGCUAAAACUCUCAAAUCCACCCACCAGAAUUUCAUAUCCCUCAACAAUUUUAAGAACUAAAGAUAAUUAGGAUCUAACAUUAGUUUUUUAUAUAUUAGUUUCAUAAUUUACAAAUCAAUGAAGAUGAAGAUUAUGCUAAUGAAUUCAAAUUAUACCAUACAUUCUCGAGAUGUUACCAAAAAUUUCUAAGUCAAUCCCACAUAUUUCAUAAUUUUAAGACUAGAAAAUUUCAUUAGUUAGAAGUUUAUUACCUUCAAGUGGAAGAUGAAGAACAUUAUACAACUGAUUCAGAUUAUAUCAUACAUACUCCAAAUGCAACUAGAAAUUAACAAGUUCAUGCGCACAGAUUUCAUAACAUUAUGAUUGGAAAGUUUCACAAAGAGAAAUUCUAAAUUCAAUCUAUUGCAUCAAGGUAGUUUGAUUGAUUUGAGUUACUUUCUGAUCAAGCUACUAAUAUAACAUUCAAGUCAGGGAGAAAGUAAAUUAAAUCUGAGAAGAAAUAACAAUAAAAAUUUGUUGCUAAACAUGAUGUGUAUUUUUUUUUCAAGGCAAUUUGGAAACACAGUUGUUACUACAGAUAUUCUCCUCAACUUAGAGAUAAAUACAAAUAUUAAAAUGCAUAUGAUCGCACAUAUUACUUGGAGCUUAGUAAGAUUUCAUAAAGAGAAGAAAUCAAACCACUUAUCAAUUGUUGCAAUCGUUCUAUAAGCUAAAAUAGCAAUAUAAUACAAGAAAAGGAACAUAUAGAUACUUGGCAAGAGUUCAUUAAGAAGUCGCAUCACAUUCGGGUGAGUUUGCUUCUGAUAUCUUGCUAGCGGGGGCUUUUUCUUGUCUUUCUACGUAUGCCGAGGGAAACUAACCAGCUUGGCCCUUGCAUUCACCUUCUGACCAUCCAGUAGGAGCCACCUUGAGAAGUUAUAACUAAAACAGUGAAUUAAACAAAAGUUGACCGUUCAAAGACCUAAGGGGAAAACUAAUUCUUUUACGUAGGAGGAGUGAAUUAGUUGUGAUCACUGAAAUAACAGCAUAACUAUGGAAGCAUAACAAGAUAUAAAUUCACACGUCUAUAAGGGUAAACUGGGUGGUUUAGAACUGAGCUAGCAACCCUACUAUAUUCUGAUUUGCACUUCAAUGUAAAAGGGAAUAUAUGGUAGGAAGAAAGAAAACCAACCAUCAUUUGUUAACUCAUUGCUUUUCAAUCAAAAUUUUAAGAACAAAAUGCCAUGUGCUUUGAACAUCAAAUAAGUAUAAGCAUUAGUUCUAAAUUCCACAUAUCAUAAGUUAGAAGGAUAAGUUAAUAGCAUAGUAGAAAAAUCUCUGUGUUGUUAUUUAGAGGGGAAAGUACCAGGCGAACCACAACAUAAUCAUCAAUUGAAAGACUUAGCUCUCCAUUUGCUUGAGCAUCAAAUGGAUGUAUAACCUGCAAGAUAAUGGGAUAAAUAGAACUUAAAUCUUAAAAAAAGCAUAACAAAAGCAGCAACAGUAGCAGCAGCGUUCAUUGUAACCACUAUGAUCAUGGCCAACAAAGAUAUAUUAGAAACAAAAUUCCAUUUUUACUACGACAUUAAUAUGUACUAUAUGAUAUCAUGACGAUAGGGUUACCAAGAGCUAUCAAAGUCCAAUAAAUUCUGUAUAACUUUAUGUAGUUAUUCAAAUUAUGGAUCAGAUUUUAAAUCUGAAAUUUUGACUGCUCUCCACAAAACAUGGCCUAUGCACAAGAAAGUCAUAGAUAAUGAGGAUUACAAGUGUCUGACAUCUUUUGAGUGAUGGAUUUAACAUGAGAGCUUAUGGUCAGUCAAUUUCCUCUGCCUAGCAAUAUAAGCUUUUUCGGCCAGAUUUAUCAUCAAAUACAUAGAUUGCCCCCAAGUCACAUCCAUAUAAACAUAGUUUUUCUAGGUAAACCAAGUAAGGAAAAUCAUAAUUCAGACAUAAUCAUAAAAAGACCCAUCUAACUUUCUUUGGCAUGCCUAACUCAGCUUUGAUGUUGCUGAGAUAUUGAUAGUAGAGACACAUGAUACUUCUAGCUCAUGCAUUCUAUCUAGCUCAUCUGACAGCUAUCUCUUUUUUAAUUCAUUAGUGUUUGCUAAACCUCAUGCUUAAGAGUCCUGUUCUCCUAAACAAAGUUUUCUAAGAAUGACUUCCUCAGCACCACAUUUGGACACUUUUAAAGCAAUUUUAUUUGGGGGAAAAGAAUUUUCAAGGUGUUAACUAAUAAAUUUUAAAAAAUAAUUACAAUUUGUCCUACGAUUAUAUGACAAUUUAUCUGGGAUGAACGGAUACAGACAAACAUCUUCCACUUUUAAGACUAAUCACUACUUCCGUAGAUGUUUUGCAAUAACACAAAUGCUUGACCAGAUGGUAGUGAUGGUAGAAAAAAAUUUUAUUGCUCUAAAAUUAAAAUAAGAAUGCAAUAUGUUAAGCAAAAGACUGUGCAACAUCAAAUUAAUUGAUAAGUUUGUAAUUCAGUAAAUUAACAACUUUCAUGGUAAAAUACAACAAAUUUCUUUUCAAAAAAAAAUCUUAAAAGACAGCAUUCAAUUUUGUGCGCAUCUUAUUUCUUAAGAUUUUCCAGGAGGGCAAUACAGGGACUUUCACCUACGCAAGAGAGCAAAAGCCUUACUUUCGCUAUAAAGUAGACGUCAUUCUGAUUAAUAUGCGUUUGCAAAUCAGCUCCAUUUGAAUCAGUAUUCUGAUAGACACAUGAGGCAUUUACAUCCAUUUCCAAAGUCACAUGUUGCGAGGAGGACUCAUUUGAUUGCUCCUCUAGGAUCAUCUAAUUCAAGUAGCAAGGGUUGGAAGAGAAUAAAAAGUCACAAUUAUUCUUUUGCAUAAGUGAGACGAAAAUGAUAAAUGCACUAUUAUCAGCAGUAAACAAGAAGAGAACACUCCAAGGAAUAGAUAGAUGCGGACAAGCAAGUUAAAAUGCAAAGUUCCAAACCUCCGCAUACAACUUCUCUAAAAUAGCAAUAAUGUGUUGAUGAUAUGUUUUCUCAGCAUCUACCUGCAAAGGCCCGAGACUAGGAAAACAACAAUAAAACCACUAGCUAAAGGAGAAAGUAAAUAAAGAAAUACACUUGACAUAAAUCUUGACAAGAAGCACAAUUUAAGACAUAACAAACCCCAAUCAUAUUGUUUAGAACUACCAUUCGUUAUUUCGUUAUUGUAGCAUUUCGAACAAGUGUUGACUUAAUUCAACAUUGUUGGAAAGAUAGGCUUUUAGAAGCGGAAGAAAGCCACUCAAACCAAAGUGAUUAUCCUUGUAUUGAUCAAGGGAUGUAAACAUAUUACAUUUGCAGGAUGAGUUUUAAUCACUCCCCUGAUUUAUUUGGGUUGCAGUAAAACUAAGCGAGCAACUGUUUGACUUUCAAGCAACAUCUAAAUCAGCUAUUAAAAUUCAAAUAAAAUCAUAAUAGAAUAAUAACAGGCCAUCUUGCAUCAAAAAUUAAGUUUAAUUUGUGAAUUUUUUUCUAUAGACAUGUUAGUUCCUGCUAUUGAAAUGUUAAAAGCAUUGAAAAAUUAUUCAAUAAAUUAUGCAAACAUUAAAAUAGAGGACAUAUUAAAAAGUUUCUAAUUACAAUGUUAUGAUUUCCUAUAUUUUAGCAUUUGCAUAUUUUAAUUUAUUUAAAAGCUACGUCGAUCAACUUUGGGCGUGAAGAUUUUAGCUUCUACGAGACUUGAUUGGAAUAUGCAUAAGGAAGAGUGUUAAAAUAUGAUGCAUCCAACGAAAGACAAACCACGUGUAGUCUUUUAAUUAAGCCAAGAGUAGUGCUAGAGAGAGAGAAGCACGAGAGAAGGACGAGAGAAUUUUGCCCCUUUCUCUCUACCCACUCAUUCUCUCUCUACCCCUUUUUUCAUUGUUUCUCUCGUCUUUCUCUCGUGUUUCUCUACACCAAGCAUUUUCCUUAAGCCAAAGUAGCAGCUCAAACAAAUGACACUUGGACCAACAUGCAAUCAUGAAGUGGCCGGAAAAAGGACAAAUGCAACUUUGGCUUAAAUAAAAAAUAACAUGUGACUUGACUUUUGCUGGACAUGCAUCAUGUUAUUACAAGACAACAGAAAUCAGUAUGAUAGUACUAAAAGUUGACAAUAACAUGAAGAUAAGAGGCAGAAUGUCAACAAAUGCAUAGGCACACACAAGAAAGUAUUAACUUAUAUACCAUAGCAAAAAGUCUUUGAUAUGUCAUCUGUUGCUGCUGUGAUUCAACUGACAGCAUGGCAGCUGUCGCUUCUCUACCAAGAGCCAUUAUUGUAGAUUUAAGCUCGGUCAAUCUUGCUUCUGCAUUUCGAAGCUUCACAGCACUCUCUGCUGAUAUAUCAGAUUCCCUAAUCUUUGAUCGGCGCCUAAAUACUUCAGCUGCCUGGUGAAAAUAUUCAAUAUAAAUCUAACAUAAUUCUAAUCUUGCCUUAUACAUGCAUAUGUUAACUCAAAGCUUACCUGCGCUUCAACUUCAUGUCGAAGUUUGUCAUAACGAUGAGUCAGGUGUCGAGCAUCUUCCAAAGGUGCUCCAUUGAUUAACGCCCGUAGUGGCUCAGAUACCGACAUGUCCAAAAACCUGUAACAUAGUUAGAAAAAUGAAAAGAAAGAGCAAAACCUCAAUUAAAAAGUUCCUCCAACAUAAUCAUGGAAUUUGGGCCUACUUCAAGGAUAUAUAUAAGGAUAAUUUAUGCAAUUUUGGGUCUAAGGAUGAUUCAUAUUAGGUUAGUGUUCUUCUCUUCUGUAUUUAAGGUUAAAAUAGAAAUAAACCUAUGAAAAUAUCUAAAUUAGGGCUGUAAGACUUCCACAUGCAUCCUUCAGUCUCAUGGAUUUGAUUUUACUAUAGAUGCAAGUGUCUUUAUCGAAAAUGCUUGGAGUCAAUUGAGAGAACUCACGGCCAAUAACUUGUCACACGCUAGUCUUUGCUAGUGAUGUAAGAAGUCACAAGGUCUCUUCAACAUUUGAACCAAUAAAAUUAUUAAGUCAUGGAUGUCACUAGCAAUGAUUUUAAUAUAAAACAUUACAUAUUUCAGAGUUGAAACUUUAAAAUGGAUUCUUUUAUUCAGUAUCUUAGAACUAAGUUUCCUUAUGAGAAGAUAAUAGUUUCAGUAGUAAUUUACAUAUAAUUUUCUAUAUUUGAAUUAUUUUCUAGUUAGGGAUGAACUAACCUGAUCACGAAGAAUCCCAAGCAAAGUUUCCCUCUCAUUUUCCAUCAAAUCAUGUGAAGUGCCAAAUUGAAGAGCAGCUCUUGCAACGCAAGAAUUGUCACUUUGAUUCUCCACUCCAUACUUGCAACAAUCUUCGGCCAACUUUCUCGCUACAAUAUUUGAAUACAAAAAUAUUGUACACGAGAACUAGUCAAGAAAAUUAAAAAAAAAAAAAAUCAAAUAUUAUAACGAGAGCAAGAGCAAACAAACAACCUAUUUCCAUUUGUUUCAAGCUUACUGCAACAAACCCUUCAACGCCACGGACAACAUUCCUCUGAAAAUGCUGCGCUACAGAGCAUAUAUUCCAAAUUAUUGUUCAGAUAAAACCAUACAAACCAUCAUAAUUAUUCAACAUACAUUAAGCUCCGUUUGGUAAAUACUUGCAACUUCAGUCCAGAAAAUACAGUUAAUUUUUAUUUAAAAAACAUCAUAAUUAUCAACAUACAUAUUUGACAAAAUUAUUAUUUAAAAAUCAUAACUAAUUACCAAAAGCCACAAUAAAUCAAUAUCAAACAGUCUUAUUAUUAGCUAAAGGAGGAUAGUACCUUAGCUGCCCUGGUGGAAUUGUAUAGAUUUUGAAGUUGUUGGUGACACUCAAUUUCAGAUUCAUCAACAUUUUCAAUACCAAGAUGGAGCAGAUGCUUCAAUACUGCCUGUACAAACCAUAAAAAACUAAUGAAAAAUAAAUAAAAUCGAGAAAUUUCACUAAAUAAAAGUCUAAAUAUAAUUUUUAAAAAAAGAAAAGAAACGGACUUGCUGCUGCUUGGCGACUUGUUCUCGGAGCUUGAUUGCCUGUUUCUUGAUAGCUUCCAUACUGUUUCUUUCAAAAAGCGACGACGGCUCAGCUCAUGGAGGUGGAAAAAAAAAAGUGUGAUGGAGAAAAAUAAAAAGGCAUGAAUAAUUUUUGACAAAAAGCGAAAAUCAAGGAAAGCCAGCUCUUUCCAGAAAAAUAAAAAAGAAAAAAGAAAAUUAUAAGUUUGAAAGGAGAAGAUGAUAGUGGAAGUGUGCGGUGUGGCUGCCAGCUACUUGGAUUUUACUGUUGGGUAAGGUAAUAGUAGAGAAUUUUUUUUUUUUUUUAAGAAAAAUAGUAGAGAAUUUUUUAAGAAGCUAGAACAGAGCAUGACAUUAGACUUUUGUGGACCAAAUUCAAAAGCCGAAUGGCACGGCCCAGAAGCUUUUGAAUAGAAAAACUUGCAUCAGCCUCAAUCACUUCUUAAUCGCUUGCUUUAACUGCAUCGCUCUCUCUGUGCUCUUCUAUAUAUGUAACGGUUAUGCGGUUGUAGUUCACGACUGAGGCUACGUGUUGGUUUGACGUGGCAGUUACGUUACUAGGGGAUAAAUAAGAUUGGUUUCAACAAACCCACUAAUUUUAUAAAAUUCGAGUAAUAUAGAAUAAAAUAAAAAAAAUAAAUACAAAAUUGGCUUUUAUUUUUUCUGGUUGACUGUAUUUUGUGUUCUCUUCCGGCACUACUACAAUUGUUCCCUAUAUAUUAGUCACACCCAUAUGUCAUUAACACAAGAAAUGAAAUCUAAUGUCACCUAUUUAGUUAAAGAAUCACUUAUGAAAAAAUUUUACCAUUUUGAUUUGAGGAUCCAUAUUUUGAACUGCAAACUAAUGUUCAUCAAGAACAGAGUAUGACUUAUGUGUAGAAAAUUUUAUGAUUUUGGCCCGAAAUAUAAGGAAAUUAAAUUAGAUGAGAAUCUGCCACUUUCUCAUGAAGAAAGGCAUGCGGAGCAUACCAUGGUACCAUACGGAGAAUAUUAGAACCUCCCUAGAAUAUCUUUACCCUGAUGUUUCUAACAAAAAUCUGCAUGUGGCAGCAAUUACUAGAUCUACAAUUUCCCAAAUAAUAUUUUGUGUUUCUUAAAAAAUUUGAAAUACAUAGUUGCACUUGCACACCGUGAGACAGUGCUACAAUCUACUGAGAUCUAAAUUAUAUGAGACUUUAAGCUACUAAUGUUUGCAUAUUUCUACAUGUCAAAUUAACAUUACCAUCUAUAAUCCUAAACGACAGAUGAUAAACGGCUUUUGGCCACUUAUUACUAGCAUCCACAAUUAAUUUUUGUUCAGCAAUCAGCUUAUUUUAUAGAAAUUGAUUUAGUCAGCAACAAACACUAUAAUACUUGAAAUUAGUUCUUGUUCUUUGUAAUUUUCUAUGAUUUUUCAUAUAUCAAUUAAUCUGCAGUGCCAAGAUGAGGUUUAGUUUUCAAACUAAAUAAUCAAGUAAGCAAAAAUACAAAUUCAGAGAUUAGCGGGGUAAACUAGCUGGGUGGUUUAGAACUGGGCUAGCUACCUCCCUGUAUUCCUAUUUGUAAGGUGAAUUAAUUGAAUCAUGAGAAAACAAUGUGACCAUAGCUCAAUAUGAGAUGAUUUCGGAGAGGCAUAUUGUUUUCGAGUGAAUUUGAUCCAUUAAGAGAUGAAGUGGAUUGAAGUGGAAAGUUUAAAUAACAAAUCCUUGUUCUUGAGUUUUACGACGUCGUUACUCCUUCAGGUGGCAGAUUAUGCAAGUGAAUUCAAAAACACAAUGCAUCAAUCACGGGGACAAAAGACGGGAUCACAGUCUAUGCAUUGAACAGUUACAGUUGCUGCUACCAAUUGUUCGGCAAAGAUCAAGAAGACUGAACGGGAAGCUAAUGCCAUCAAUGUCGUCUUCACUAUAUCUGCUGGGAAUGUAGGUGAACUUUCCUCAUUUGCAGCUGUCUAUACAUAGGCUUUUCCCCAGCUUAAGUACAAAUAAAUGAAGCUGCCUUGAAGGCUUUAUUAUUGACCCCAAUAAGGAUUACUAAUUGAAGAAGACUAUACGGAGUUAAUCUCACAUUUUAGUUCUCUCAAUUUCUUUCAGAAGUGCCUCUGAAAAUAGCUGCCAAACCGUUAGUCAGCUUGUAUACUCUGUUUUCUGGAAACAGAGUAGCAUAUUUAAUCGUUUUAAUUGAAUUGUCUUCGUAGCGAUCAUCAACAAACUCAUCAUAAGAUUUUUGAAGCACCCAAGGACUAUCACUGGGUUUCUCUUCUGGUUGAUUUAUUAAUUAAUCAAAGAACGGUUGGAUGAAGUGCAAUGAUGGAGCAAAAUUUACAAUGUCUCCGGUUUCUCCUGACCAUCGGACUUUUGCAGUGAGAACAUAUAACAAAAAGACCUUCAUCAAAAUUUGUAGACUCCGGGUAUGGAUUGGAUCGAGUUUUUUGUUUGAUAUUGAAGAACCACUUUACUAUCGCGAUAUAGAUUAUGUGCAAGGGGUUGUCUACUGUUCUUUGCCUUGUGCUAUGAUCGGUGCUUUUGACGUUGCCCCGAAACAGUGGAAAAUACUUCGAUUUCCUCCGUUUGAUGAUGCAAAGAACUGGUUAAUGUACGAUUACCUAAUUGACUCAGGAUCAAGUAACAACAACAAUUUAUUAAUAGUAGUAUCACAAACGAAGAAGAUUUCGGAGAGGGUGAUGUAUGCCUAUACCGUUUACAGGUUUGAUCCACAGGGGAUGAAGUGGUCUCAAGUGGAAAGUGAUUUAUUAAACAACAAAUCAUUGUUCUUGGGUCAUACCUCAUGAUGUCAUCAAGUGGAAGAUGAAGAUUAUGCAAGACGAAGAUCGUUUGAUAUUGAAGAAUUUGAACAGAAAGCCCAUAGAAAGUACUUAAAUAAGCAUAUUCUUGUUGGGGUAGAAUAUUAAGAAAGGAGUUGUCUACUGUGUGUUGCGUGAUUAGGCUAUGAUCUGUGCUUUGAACAUUGCCCUCAAAACAGUGGAAAAUACUUCAUAUCCUCGACAUGAUGAUGAAAAAUUGGUUACCGAUUACCUAAUUGACUCAGUGACAACAAUCUAUUAAUAGCACAAUUUGGCGUGAUGCCGUUUAGGUAUAUGGUUUUCAAGUUUGAUUCAUCAGUGAUGAAGUGGACUAAAAUAAGAUGUUUAAAUGAUAAGUCAUUGUUCUUGGGCAUAUCGUCAUUACUACUUCUAGUGAUCAAAGAUGAAGAUGAAGAUGAAGAUGAAGAUGAAAAUUGUGCGAGUUCAAGAUUACCAUCAACUCAAUUUUAUGAUUGGAGUGUCUCACCGUGACUCAGACAAAUUCUGAUUCAACCUCCUUCACCAAUGGAUUUUGAUUAGUUAUUUUGUGAUCAAGCAACUUAAUUAAACUCACAGUUUGUUAGUCUAAUUUUAGUUUUACUGUGACCACUAUUCAAGGUAAGCGAAAGUUACAGAUGUGGCAAAAUCAAUAAUUAAAUUCAUAAAAUGUUAAAAAAUAAAACUUAUAAAUUUUGCAUGACUACUUACUAAUAAAUAAAUAAGUUAGAAUGUAGUUAGUUAAUUUUACACCAUAUUAUAUAUUAUUCGAUAAUAAUAUAAAAUAAAAAGAAUUAAAAAAUAAAUAAUUGAAUAAACAAAUAUGACUUUCUAAACAGUAAAAAUUCUAGAGUUAAAAUUUAUAUUAUUAUUUUAUUUUUUAAAAUUGACAUAUUUCUAUUAUCUUACAUGUACACAGAUUUUGAGAGUUGAGAAGAAUAUAUUUAAUGAAGCUUGCUAACAUUUGGUGGGAUAGCAAGUAAGGGUAAAUAAGAUUUUUUUGUUAUUUAUUUGAAUUAUAUCUAUUUUGUUCAAGUUAAAAUACUAAAUAUAAAUUGGAGGUAGACAUUUUAACAGAUCAUCUAAGCUCUCAAAUCUGAAAUUUUGUGUAGAUUUAAAUUCAUAAUUUUAGUUAAUUUUCAUACAUUCAUAUAAACAAAUUUAUGAGAUUUUUCUUUUCAGCAUGUUAUAUUUUGAAACUUUCAAUGUAUUAUUCUAGCUUUAUUUAAAUAAUUAAUUUAUUUAAAAUUUAUUUAAUUUUGAAUUUGAUCAAUAGUAAAAUUAUUUUUAUAUCAAAUUUUUUUAUUUAAAUAGUUCGUGGAUUGGACAAAAUUAAAAAUUUUUAAUCCACAAAAUGGUGGAUUAGAUAUGAAUUGGGUUAAAUACACAUUCGAUCCGCAGUCGUAUGAAUUUGAUUUGGAUUGAAUUUCAUCAAUCCAUGGAUUAGAUUGGAUUGAAAAAUUUAUUAUCCGCAAAAUCGUGGAUCGAAUAUGGACUGAUGUCCAAUCAGCAAAAUCCAAUCCCCGAACACUCCUCUAUCAAAAUUUUCAAGAAUAUUUUUUAUCUUACAAAUUUUUUUUAAAGUCAUAGUCUAAGGGCGGCCCAAUUUCUACUCCAUCCAUAUAAGCGGAGUUCAAAUCUCAUACCUCUUAUCUCCACACAAGAGAUUUAACCAAUUGAAAUAGCUAGCACCCACAAGUAUACUAGUACAGCAUCUCUUAACGUUUAACAUACGUAAAAUUAACGCCAUAGCUAUUGAUAAACACAUUGUUCAAUAUAUAUGAUCAAGAAUCUGAUCCUGCGAGCAACAGCAGUCAGAAGAACCAUUAUAAUGCCUAGCUCUUAUCCUGGUUAAUCCUCUGGCCCGAUGCUUCAUCAUAGUGAUUUAAAAAACCAACAACAGCUCUCUAAAAGAGAUGAAGAUAUCAUCUACGUAAAGAACAUGAGACGGAGAUUCACAACCCAUAAGAACUGAGAUAAAUUGGACCAGACCAGUAAUCUUGAGAUAAGUUAAACUGUGACUUAAGUUGAAAUCAGAGGACAGGAAUUUUAAAAUCUUUCGGCUAAGCCCCUGAGGAAUUUUCUAGAGUACGACUUCUGCUUACCUCUGUUUAAUUUCUCUUUAUAUUUUUCUUUCAUUUCAUUAAUAAAGUCAAAUAAUAAAUCAAAGAACGAGGGAAGAUUUUUCCAAGUCAUGCAUUAUUUGAUUACCAUCAAUCAAGAAACCGACCAAAUUAAUUUCUCUCCGUGAUUUUUAAAAAUUAAAAAAAAAAUAUUUGAGCAUAACAUCAUUAAUUAUAGAGUGGAUCAAACUGCGUUAAUCAUGAACUUUGUUGUGUUAAUUAUUUCAAUCCCCGAUUACGCAAUUUUUAAAUUAUAGCCUAACGGUGGUCUCAUCACCACGUGUGUGAUUUUCUUUUGCCAAUAGGAUCUGUAGAGAGCUUGAUCUCACCCAAUAGCAAAAUAAACUUCCUAAUAAGUGAAGGCAUAGUAUAAAUAAUUCACCCCCAUAUUAUUUAUUAGCAGCUUGAUUAUUUUAUAUGCAUCUUUGAUUUAAAUUUUUUUUUCCCAUAAUUGCUACUAUGUUCGAACUGGUCAUGAAUUAUCUAUAAGAUUUUUCAUGUUGCUUUUAGGUGCAUUGGAUUUUUUUUAGUUUAGUGCAAGAGUAGAGGAAGGCAAAUUAAGAAAAAGGAUAAAGAUCUAUGAUUAGCUAUUUUGGGAUGUCUCAUAACAUAUUGAUGGUAACAUUAUACAUAUGUAUAUCUAAAAAAUGGGGUUGGAUCAAGAGCCCAUUAAUAAUCAUAGAUUAGCUUAUAUAGCAAUUUCACAAGCACAUGUUAGCCUAUGUUGAGCUUUAUUAUCAAUAGUUCAUAGUUCAUCGGUGCACUGCAGGUUUACUAUUUGAAGUAAAUAUUAUGGUGCGUGCAUUUUUUAUAAGGCCAACUGCUGAAUUUAGCAUUGAAACUUACAAAAUGUAAUAGAGAGAGGUAGAUAACAGCCACAAAACACUAAGAUUGGAAAUCAGGGCUACUAAAUACUAUUACAAGCCCUUAGAAAAGACACUGAUCAUCCUAGAAUGUAUAUACUGAAAGUAAGAAAUAUUAAUCGCAAAGUUAUGUGCCAACAAAACUAUUGACUACUUGUCUCUAGCAGAAGGUAUAUAUUUUUAACUUCAGCUCUCUACUUUGUUCUAAGAACUAGGCAAAAGAAUGAAACUUCGGUGUCUAAAGUUUGCCGCUUGAAAUAUUUCACUGUCUAAACAUUCACUCACCACUUAUUUCAUAAAUGAAUUUUGUCUAACUAUAUGUUGAUAAAGAUAUUAGAGGUAAUAUAAUGCAUUUAAGACUUAACGUAUAUUUUUUAUUAGUAGAGUGUAGAAUUUUUAAGAAAUAAAUUAUUAAAUUACUAUAACUAACAUAUUAUUUUAAAGUUAUGUUAAGAAAAGAAUGAAAAUAAAAAAUAAAAAAAUAAGGGUAUUCUAAAACUUUGAUCCUUUUAAAAGUAGUUUUUGACGUAAAUAAAAUAAUUUUUAUUUUUUUUAAAUCACAUACUCUAGUUAAAAUCAAAUUUGUAUUUAUAAAGAUUGUAAAAUUUUUUUUAGCAUUAAUAUUUGAAUACUUUCAAGAUAAGAAAUAGGGUACUAAUUAUGCUACAACAUUAUUAUAGCACAUAAAAAGACAAUACCCUUUAUAUUAUUAUACUAUCGUUUUUGUUAUGAUAGUAUUUUGUUAGUGGUCAAAUAUUACUUUUUUAAAUAAAAAAGUAGACAAAUGUAAAUCAAUUUUUAAUCUCUCCUAAAAUUCUAAUUCCUAGUUACCAAACAAAAUUGUUUGAAAAUAAUUUGGCUAAGUGCAUGGGUUCUUAAAACUAUAGGUGAUAGAAGUUACAAGCACAAGCAAAUUUGACGGUCCAUUUUAUAAAAUUUUUAAUAAUUUUUUAUUUACCAUUUUACCACCUAUAUAAUGAGUGCCACAUCGACAAAUCAAUUCAUUUGCAAAUUAUAUUAAUUUUGUAAAAUUCAUUUGACUUGCUAAACCCUUCUUAUCCCCUUUCUCGACUGUCAUACCCUAACCUUAUUUCCCGUGUCCACACUUGACCACGCUCAAUUCAGGCCAUCAGAUUAUCCUGGACCCACAUUAAUCCAACUGCUCACAAUGACCGACAGCCUCUCCAUCUCCAUUUCAAGCUUCCUCUUCAACUGGCUUCUGCUUCCGUCGUACUCUUUCUUGGAUUCGGAGUCCGUAUUUGCUCGGCCGGUCCCGCACAGCUCCCUCUCACUCCAAUUGUCACCCAACAAGACCAAUUGCUUAACAUUGACCGUAUGGCAAUUGUCCGUAUUUCUUGGAUUCGGAGUCCGUAUGGCACAGAACAAGAAGAGGAUGAGAAAUUGAAACAAGAAUUUGAGAAUUGGAAAUCGAAAACGUACGCAUUGACCGUGCCUUUGAGGGCAAUUACUUUUCUUGAGAAUUGAAGUUUGGUAAUGUAAUUUGUUCUCCAUCUGUGUUCCCUUUGUAGUCAUUUCAUUUAUUUGUUUGUUUGCUUUUAUUUGCACUUACGAAGUCUCAGAUAUAUCUACGCAGGAAUGAUGCAGGAGAAAUUGAUCCUCGAGCUUACAAGAAAAGUAAAUUUCGAAAGCAUAAUUUGGCUCCGAUUGAGGUAAUAAUUGUCUUUAAACUCAUUUAGUUUUAUAUCAAACAAAAUAAAGGCUGCCUUUCUCUUCAAUAUUUUUUAUGAUAAUAUCUUUAGAAGCAUCUCAUUGACGGGUAAUCAUGGUAUCCCUUAAAGAGUCUAUAAACUCAAUGAUAUUUUCUUCUGCAAAUGGUUCAUUAAACUUCUUAGACGUAGUUAAAUGUACACUAAGAACAACGAGAAGCUAUGCCGCUGUAGCAUGUAGUGAGAUCUUGUUUGAAGUUGUUUUCUGAAAUGAACUGCCAAAUGGUAGUUUUUUAUUUCUUGGGUGCAUUUGAUGACUCUUUUCUCCUCAUUUUAAGCAUGUACCUGCUUGGAAUGGGAAGGAAUAGGCUUCCGAGUUGUUAUAUAUGUUGACAUGCUCUGAUCAUUACACAAAAUGUUCAAAUUGGAAAUUAGAAUGAGAUAUUUGUCGAUGCUUUUUGAGAGAUCUGCAUUCUAUGCACCAUAACAUGAUUAAUGAAAACAGGUUUAAGGACUGGAAAGAUCUGUGGCGGCCCAAGCUUGCAGGAAGGAUUUCAAUGGUUAAUUCUCCCAGAGAGGUUAUUGGUACAGUUUUGAAGUAUAUGGGAGCAUCAUACAAUUCAAACGACAUUGAUUAGCAAGUUGCUGCUGGGAGGAUUGCUGUUCAGCAGAAUCUGGCAUUACUGGGAAACCAGGUACUCUUAAAGAAAUGAUAUCUGGUCAAUGCAUAUUACUGCCUGAGCUGAUUUUGUUUGUAAAGUCUGCCUCUUCAUACAUAUGAAUGCAUAUGUUAGUGUUUUCUUCUCCUUUUAAUACACAUGAAUGCAUAUGUUAGUGUUGUCUUCUCCUUUCCAUAAAUAUGAAUGCAUAUGCUCUGGGUGUUGGUUACUACUUCAAGUGGAAGGUGAAGGUGAUGCAAGUGAUUUCAGGAGUACAUAUAUUCCAAGGAUGCUGGACUAUUAUUGCUUCCCCCCAUAUUUCAGAAUUUUUUGUCAACCUCCUCCACUAAGGGAUUCCAAUUGAGUUACAAAUAUAUUUUCUGUAGCUAUGUUUUAAAGUUUUGGUCUCAUGUUAAUUUUUCUAAUUACUAUUCUUCAACAAAUCUCUUUUACUUUAAAAAACUGCUACAGUUUGAUUUUACUGCCUUAUAUCAUUGAACAUUGAUACAUGGAAUUUGAAAUCAGACUUGUAACAACAGAUAUAUAGAUAUAGAACAUGCAUAUAAUCUCCAUUUCGAGCUCCCUCUCCAACUGGCUUCUGCUUCCGUCGUACUCUUUCUGGGAUUCGGAGUCCGUAUUUGCUCGGCCGGUCCUGCACAGCUCCCUCUCACUCCAAUUGUCACCCAACAAGACCAAUUGCUUAAUCAAGGCACAGAACAAGAAGAGGAUGAGAAGUUGAAACAAGAAUUUGAGAAUUGGAAAUCGAAAACGUAUGCAUUGACUGUGCCUCUAAGGGUUGUUUCUCUUCAGAAUUCAGUGCCUCAAUCUUGGGUUAAGGAUUUUAUGCGAAGUCAAGGAAAGAGAUUGAAGUUUCAGAUGAAUUUGUGUGCUAGCAUUGGUGGGAUCUUUAACAAUUUAUCUGUGCCCUUUAACAAAGUUAAGGGUAAGUCAGCUUCGUAUACGGCUGCUGAUUUGGUUAGUGUUGGUGAUUCAUGGCUCAGUUUUGCGAUUAAAAAGAGAUUGAUUGAGCCAAUAGCUGAAGCUGAAGAUCAAGAUUGGUUCAAAUGCUUAUGUCACAAAUGGAAGGUAACAUACUAACAUCUUUAUCUUUGACCCGAUAAUUUUUAUUGUCUUACAUUGAAAUUUGGUAAUGUAAUUUGUUCUCUAUUUGUGUUACCCUUUGUAGUCGUUUUAUUUAUUUGUUUAUUUGCUUUUAUUUGCACUAAUGAAAUCUCAGGUAUAUCUACGCAGGAAUGAUUCAGGAGAAAUUGAUCCUCGAGGUAAAAUAUGGGCGGCACCAUACAGGUGGGGCACAACGGUGAUAGCCCACAAGAAAAGUAAAUUUCGAAAGCAUAAUUUGGCUCCGAUUGAGGUAAUAAUUGUCUUUAAACUCAUUUAUUUUUAUAUCAAACAAAAUCAAGACUGCCUUUCUCUUCAAUAUUUUUUAUGAUAAUAUCUUUAGAAGCAUCUCAUUGACGGGUAACAAUGGUAUCCCUGAAAGAGUCUUUAAACUCAAUGAUAUUAUCUUCUACAAAUGGUUCAUUAAACUUUGUCGUUGUAGUGAAAUGUACACUCAGAGCAAUGAGAAGCUAUGCCACUGUAGCAUGUAGUGAUGGCACUUAAUAAGUGAGUUGCUAGGAUGUGAACUAGAAAAAUUAAAUAUUGUCUCCUUGGGUAUGCUAGCUCAUAAGUCAGGGUUAAUAUUAGAGCUUAAGUUACUAUAACCAUGAGACGCUAUUGACUGCCAAUUAAAAUAUCCAUUAAAUUGUCUAGGAAGUUAUGAAAGUGGAGGUAUCUUCCGAUUUCUAAGGCCAGAUAGUAGACAUCAUCCAGGAUCCUAGGAAAGUGCAGUUAACCUCCUGCUCGAUGCAAUUAAUAAAUUUGGUCAAUGCCACUGAAACCUGCAAACCGACGUCACAAUGCAAGAUGAGCACUUCAAAAUGGGACAGACGGUCAGUAGCACUAAAUUUUUCUUUCCCAAGAUUGAGCAAUUGGUCUAACAACUAACCCCUAUUGUAGGUUGAUCAUUAUUUUUCCAAUUAUGUUCAGUUUGACCCAAAAAGUUACAGAAUCUUGAGCUGAAUAUUGUCACUGAACACUGUCAAUGUCGUUUAGCAUACCCAACUAACUUGAGUUUGGUAAAACAAACACACUGUGUGUCUCAUCUCUCACAAUUCAAAUUAUCAUCUGUAAUGAUGGAGAAUUUUUCCGAUGUAUGAAGUAUGCUUUGAUACGUGUACCUUGGAGAAGAUAUCUCCAAAUAAAGAAUAUGGAGAGAAAACGGUUCAGUAGUUUAUUAUUCUGUAGGCAAUUCUUGUCUCAAAAAUGGUCAAAAUUUAAAUGAAUAAGGACAGGGGAUCUUCAUUCUUUUUUCCCUUUUUUAUACCAAGAUAUCUCUCAACCUUUAUAUAAUCCCCACUGGAUAUCUGCUUCUAAUAAUUAAAAUAAAAAUUUCACCCGCACAAAUAAAUACUGACCAAGCUCUAACAAUAAAAAGUAACAUCUUUACUCAAGUAAUUUACAGUUCCUCAUCAUCUUAGUGUGAGACUAUCAUUACGUUCCAAAAACAUAAUAAAACUGGUUUGAUCCUGUUUAUUGAUGUUUAAAUGUUGUUCAUUGUGACAUGUAGAAAUGAUGAGGCGAAGUUUAUUUGGUCAUCAAUUAGUAAGAUCUUGUUUGAAGUUGUUUUCUGAAAUGAACUGCCAAAUGGUAGUUUUUUUGGGCAUAUGAUGGCUCUUUUUUCCUCAUUUUCAACAUGUGCCUGCUUGGAAUGGGAUGGAUUAGGCUGCAGAGUUGUUAUAUAUUUUGAGAUGCUCUGGCCAUUGCACAAUUUGUUCACACUGGAAAUUAGAAUGAGAAAUUUGUUGAUGCUGUUUUGAGAGAUCUGCAUUCUAUGCACAAUAACAUGAUUAAUGAAAAUGGAUUGUAGGACUGGAAAGAUCUGUGGCAGCCUGAGCUCGCAGGAAGAAUUUCAAUGGUUAAUUCUCCCCGAGAGGUUAUUGGUUCAGUUUUGAAGUAUAUGGGAGCAUCAUACAAUUCAAGCGAUAUUGAUUCGCAAGUUGCGGGUGGGAAGAUUGCUGUUCAGCAGAAUCUGGCAUUACUGGCAAACCAGGUACUCUUAAAGAAAUGAUAUCUGAUCAUGCAUGUUAUUGCCUGACAACUGAUUUUGUUUGUAAAAGUCUGCUUCUUCAUACAUAUGAAUGCAUAUGUUAGUGUUCUCUUCUCCUUUUCAUACAUAUGAAUGCAUAUGUUGGUGUUGUCUUUUCCUUUUCAUACAUAUUAAUACAUAUAUUGGUGCUCUCUCCUGAGAUGGAUGCAAUAAAGGCUUUUGGUCCUAAAUUUAGCUGAAGAAAUGGCAAGGGAUGUGAGAUUCUGUCUCAUUAAAUUAACAAAAACCCAAAACAAUGAAAACCGAUAAUAAUGUGGUGGGGGUAAAUUGGCACCAUUUGGUUUGUUUCCUUAAUGUGAAUACACGAGCAAUAGGGACUAACAAAAUGAAGUGACAACAACAAGUCAGUGUCCUUUGAUGGAUGCAUUUUAGGCAGAAAUAGGUUUGUAAUUGACCAAUUUCAAAAAAUUUAAAUUAUGUGGUUAUUAGCUGUAAUGAAGGGGAUAGUAGGUGCAAUCAGGUGGAUCCAGGAAAGUUCAACAAAGUUCUGGUAUGGCAUAGUGAAAUUGGUUUGUGCAACUCAAGAGUCUUUCAGGUGAACGAUGAUACGUUUUGAUUUAUAAAUGUUAUAAAUCUACCGUCCAUAGUAUUCUAGUAGAGUCAUCUAUAAGUUCUAGUUAUUGAAAUUGUCUACUUUGUCCAGUUUGAGUUAAGGGCACAUGUAAUAGGAAAAAUAGUAUUCACAUCUUUUUGGUUACCUAACAUUUGAUCGAUCCUAUUAUGAGGGCUUCAAGAUGCCUGACAAUAUGUAGAAUGCCCAUGCUCCUCCCCAUUGUUUAUCUUAUACAAUAAUUUGUUUUAGAUGCUAAUAUAUUUGUCGAUACCGGUAACGAUAUUACAAUAUCUGCGUUUAUUGGGUUUUACAUAGGUUCGACUGUUUGACAGUACACACUAUCUGAAGGCAUUUGGAAUUGGAGAUGUAUGGGUUGCUGUUGGGUGGAGUAGUGAUGUUCUUCCUGCUGUCAAACGUAUGUCUAAUGUUGCAGUUGUUGUUCCCAAGUCUGGUGCUAGCUUAUGGGCCGAUCUUUGGGUAUACCCAUGCCUGCCAUUCUACUUCGAUAUUCACAUUGUUAUCUCCUUCAUUUUAGCGAUCAUAAACUUGAUAAUGUGACUAAUAAGUUCGUAUUCUCUAUAUAGGCAAUCCCUGCUGCCUCAAGACUUGAAACAAAAGAAAUUGGAGGGCGAGUCAGAGGUCCAUCUCCAUUAAUCCAUCAAUGGAUAGAAUUCUGCUUGCAAACAGCGAGAACAUUGCCUUUCAAGCAAGAGGUUAUCCCGGGCGCAUCUCCCUCUGCCCUUGAAAGUACUCUGGUUAAGUUGCCUGAAGAACUUCUGAUGGGUAAACCAAGUCUGGAUACUAACUUAAUUGCUGGAGUACCCCCGGCUGAAAUUCUGGCCAGAUGUGAGUUUUUGGAGCCAUUGCCUGAAGCUACAUUGUCAGAUUAUGAGUGGCUGGUUGCUAAUCUGCAAAAACCUGCCCCCGUCUUGAUGAAAAGGCUGCAACAUUACUUGUCAUCAUUAAUCCAAAGCUUUCUAGCAAAAGCUACAUUGAAAAGUUAAUGGCACUGCAUGCCAGUCAUUGUAAUGCUGUCAGGGCUAUUGGGUCAGGGCAAUUAGGUAAGAGCAUAACUUCAUUAGGAAAAGAGGCUUCAGCUACGUUAAAUAUUGCAGGAUGUACUGAGAUGGUUGAAGUUCUUGAGGUUUUACGAGAAACGAAAGAUGAGUGUUUGUUUGAACAAAGUUGUUGCCAUCUUGCAAGAUCACUGAGCGAAUGCCACCGAUUUCUUAAUCAUUGUAGCCUCCAUAGUUGAAGUUUCCUUAUUUGAAGCUGUUUAUGCGUACGCUUUUUCCCUGCUCAAGUACAGGAAAUUGAAGAAUUAACCAGAUGUGAUAUGCUGAAAGAGGGAAGUUUUCUUCCUUGAACGUGGCCUUGUGAUUUGUCUUGAAGGAAUAGGAUGAUCACUGGCAAGAACCCUAUCAAGGUAGAUUUUAUGGUGCUAACGUAUUAUUAAGCAUUUUGUUACAUCAGCAAUGAUGCUUCCAUAGCAUGAAAGUGUUUAAAUUUAACUGAAUGAUCUUGAUUAAUCAAUUAUGAGUUUUAAUCGAGUAAAAACUAAAUACAAUCAUCGUUAGCAAAUACUGAAAUUGGGUAAAUAUGAUCUUGAUAUUGAAGAAUCUGAAAACACAACCCACACAGGGAAUCACCCUUCGCGUGGGGAUGGAGAUGUUUACUGCAGCGAUAUUGAAUAUGUCCACUGCUCUUUGGGUUAUGGUGCGACUUGCCCUGAAACAAUGGAAAAGAUUAACAUACCCUGCAAUGAAUGAAAGCGGCUGGACUAAUUCUGAUUACCUAAUUGACUCAGGAUCGGGUGGCAAUAAUGACAGUUUAUUAACAAUGCACAGUUCCGAGUACUUUUCCAGGAUCAGAUAUUACGUGGUCUAAUGUUGAUAAUAAUAGAUUAUCAAAUGAGAGAUGCUGAGAGAUGCUGGUCUACCUUUGCAAGCCCCCAGAUUUAAGAAUCUUUUGAUGAUAAUUUACCACCUGUACCUGUGCCGGAAGAUUCACCUAGCACUGAAAAAGAUGAUAAUUUAAUUGAUAUGGAUAGUUUUCAUAACACUUUUAAAUCAUCUAUAUGUGAACUAUUAUUGACGCUAUUUUGUUGUAAACAAUCUUAUUCAAUUAAUAUAUAAUUUAAAAUCAUUAUGUAAAUCAAUCUAUUACUUUUCAUGAUAUUUAAUUGAGUUAAAACUAAGUGCACCCAAUAAAUCUCUUUUCCUUUAAAAAACUGUUACGCUUUGAUUUUAGUGCUUAAUAUUUACGGAACUCCGGUACAGGGAAUUCGAAAUCAAACUCGUAACCACAGAUUAUCUAAUUGCAAGUUUUUGUCCAUAGUUGCUGAUUGUAGUGAUUAUCUAAUUGACUGAGGUGACAACAAUUUUUUUUUUUAAUUUUCAAUAGCAUAAUGUGGAAUUCAAUAAUUAAAUUCUCCUUUUUAAUUUGUUUCCAAUUAAAUUAUUAAUUACUUAAACUCUGUUUUAAGUCUUUAAUUUUAUGUCUUGGCGUAUAUGCAGGGUUGGAUUCUUGAGCGUGUUGGACACGACCAACAAUGAAAUUGACAGUAAACAAACAUUACAACGCGUUGAGUGUCGACUCCGCUAGCUGCCCUACAAGUCUACAACUUUACAAACAACAACUGAGUACACACAUUUGAUUCUUGGGACCCUUCAAUGAAUUUCUAGCCCGGUUGACUCCACCGACAAAAGUUUUGGAAAAUAAAAAAGAAAAUUCAUAGAAUUCCACCAAAUGCAAAACGCGUGGAAUUUAAUUUUCGGCCAUGUGGACCAAAACAUAAUUUAAUGAAAAAAAAAGAUAAGAUUUCUAAAAUGUGUGGAAGGUGAUCCAUAUUUUACUGAAAACAACUUGUUAAAUUUUUCAAAGAUUUAGAAUAUUUGGUCAUAAAUUACGCUCAUGUUAAUUUUUCCGCUAUUGACUAUCAUAUUCUAGACUCACUGGUACCUUUCUUGAUGAAGGGUACUUAGUCUCUCUUCUCCUCUUAUAAAAAUUAUAUUAAGUGAUUUCUUAUUAUAAUAAAUAGUCUUUAAGAACGUAUAGAUUUAUUGUUUUCGUGACCAAAUUAUGCCAGCUUAAGGUUGCGACUAUUAAUAAAAUUAAUAUUUAAUGUUUAUGUUAAAAGAUAUAAGAUUUUAUGCAUUCAUUAAUUGUUAUUAGCUAAAGGAUUAAUUAUUUUUUCAACCCAAUCAGUUGAUGCAUCUGCAAAAAAAAUUUCUUUUAUUGACCAUAAUUAUAUUCCGGGUACAAUAAAUUAUCUUUGGUGCUUGGAAAAUUUGACUUCUUACUUCAAGUUUGAUGUGUCUCUCUCCAUAAGCUUACUGGAAAUAUAUCCUUUUGUAUUAUUAAUAAAGUGAAAUUUGUUGCUCCUUCCUUCUAAAUCUAAACAGAGUUUCACAAUUUCACCAACUUGGAAUAUUUGACAUUGGACUUUUCCUCUCUCCAUAUAAGCCUUCUGCAAAGAAUUGCAUCGUUAUUCCCUUCAUUAAAAAAUCUGUCGAUGUCUGGUUGUGAAGUCAAUGGUGUCCUACGCGGUCAAGGUAAAAGAAAAGUGUUGAUUGUGAACUCACUCAAUGGUGUCCUACGUGUUCAACAUUUUUAUUUAUUAAUCUUUCUGCUAGAUUUUCCUCAUUUCAAGAGUUUGGAACAUUUUGACCAGCUUUCUUCAAAUCAUCGGUGAAUCAAUGCCUUCUCUUAAGUACUUAUCACUGUCAGAUUCUACUCUUGGCACUAACAGCAGCAGGAUUCUUGUUCGAGGUUAAUCAGAUGCUCCCACCCUCCCUUCUUAAUCUAUAAUAUUAAUUUUCAAUUAAAUAUUCAAUUACACAAACCAAUCACUUAUUAUAAAAGAACAAUACGCAUUCAUUAAUUUUUAUAUUGUAUUAAUAAUUGAUGAAUUUAAUAAAUUUUCAAAUAUUGUAUUAAUAUUUGACAUCCAUUGAAGAGCUGUAUCUUUCAAACAAUCACUUCCAGAUCCCAAUUUCACUUGAACCAUUUUUCAAUCACUCACGACUCAAGAGUUUCUAUGCUGACAACAAUGAAAUAAAUGCAGAAAUAAUUGAGUCGCAUUCUUUGACUGCCCCAAACUUCCAAUUAAAAUAUCUCUCAUUGUCUUCCGGUUACGGAGAUGGUGUCACAUUCCCCAAAUUCCUUUACCAUCAACAUGAUCUGGAGACUGUUGACCUCUCACAUAUAAAGAUGAGUGGAGAAUUUCCAAAUUGGUUGUUGGAAAACAACACAAACUUAGAAUAUCUUUUUUUGGUUAAUGAUUCUCUUGCAGGACCUUUUCGGUUGCCAAUUCAUUCACACAAGCGGUUAAGACUGUUGGAUAUAUCCAACAACAACAUCCGAGGCCACAUUCCAGUAGAAAUUGGAGAUGUUUUACCAAAUUUAUACGUUUUCAACAAUUCCAUGAAUGCUUUAGACGGUAGCAUUCCCUCUUCAUUUGGUAAUAUGAAAUUCCUCCAAAUUCUAGACUUAUCCAACAAUCACUUGACUGGUAAAAUCCCCGAGCACUUGGCCAUGGGUUGCGUCUACUUGAAUUUUCUUGUCUUGUCAAACAACAACCUACAAGGUCAUUUGUUCUCUAGAAAUUUUAACUUGACAAACUUGAAAUGGUUACAAUUGGAGGGCAAUCGCUUCGUAGGUGAGAUCCCAGAAAGUUUGUCUAAAUGCUCCUCACUAGAAGGAUUGUCUCUUAACAAUAAUAGUCUUUCGGGUAAGAUUCCACGAUGGUUGGGUAAUCUCACAUGGUUAGAAUAUAUUAUAAUGCCCAAUAAUCAUCUUGAAGGCCCUAUUCCAGUGGAGUUUUGUCAGCUUGAUUUGCUUCAGAUUUUGGGCAUUUCAGACAACAACAUAUCUGGAAGUUUACCAUCUUGUUUCCAUCCUCUCUCUAUCAAACAAGUUCAUCUUUCAAAAAAUAUGUUACAUGGACAGCUAAAAAGAGGUACAUUCUUUCAUUGCUCUUCCCUUGUGACAUUAGAUCUUAGCUAUAACCGCUUGAAUGGCAGCAUUCCGGAUUGGGUUGAUGGGCUUUCUCAGUUAAGCCACCUUAUCUUAGGUCACAAUAAUCUUGAAGGUGAAGUGCUAGUUCAAUUAUGCGAAUUGAACCAACUACAAUUGUUAGAUCUUUCUAAUAAUAAUCUUCACGGUCCUAUUCCUCCUUGCUUUGAUAACACCACACUUUAUGAAAGUUACAGCAAUAAUUCUAGUCUUGAUGAGCAAUUUGAAAUAUCUUGUUCCAUCGAAAGCCCUCAGGGAGAUGUAGAAAAGCAAAUCCGUGAAAAUUUUGAGUUCACAACAAAGAACAUUGCGUACAUUUACCAAGGAAAAGUGCUUAGCCUCCUAUCAGGACUUGAUCUUUCUUGCAACAAGCUAAUCGGUCCUAUUCCUCCUCAAAUUGGAAAUUUGACAAGGAUUCAAACAUUGAAUCUAUCACACAACGACUUGACAGGAUCGAUCCCAUCAACAUUUUCAAACUUGAAGCAUGUCGAAAGUUUGGAUCUUUCCAACAACAAAUUGAAUGGGAAAAUCCCUCAUCAACUAGUGGGGUUAAAGACAUUGGAGGUUUUCAGUGUGGCAUACAAUAACUUAUCAGGCGAAAUUCCAGAAUGGACUGCACAAUUUGCAACAUUCAAUGAGAGUAGCUAUGAGGGAAAUACUUUUCUUUGUGGAUUGCCAAUGCCCAUUUGCAGAUCACCAGAAACUAUAUCGGAGGCUUCAAUUGGCAAUGAACGAGAUGAUAAUUUAAUUGACAUGGACAGUUUCUUUAUCACAUUUACAACAUCGUACGUAAUUGUGAUAUUCGCAAUUAUUAUUAUUUUAUAUGUAAAUUCUUAUUGGCGACGUAGAUGGUUUUACUUUGUUGAAAUGUGGAUAACUUCAUCUUACUAUUUUGUUGUAGACAAUCUUAUUCCAACAUGAUUUUGUCAUUGAAAUUAAUUAGUAGCUUAAUUACGAUCCUUUAAGUACUAAUCAAGUUUGCUUAGGAAAUAUUUUUUUAUUAAAAUUGUAGUAGUAUUUAGCAUUAUAUAGCUUCCAACUUCCAAGCACUUCACAUUUGUCUCUACACUUAAAAAACUGAGUGAUCAUGUUUUGCAGAUCUGGAUUUGGAGCAGGAUGGAUCCAAACCCAUAUCUGUCCACCAUAACUUAUAGCUUCCCUAUACUGUGCAGCAUACUUAAAUAAGAGAACCAUCUCCAAUGUUAAAAGCAUUCACUCUAUAACAUUCAUUUAGAAACUAUAUUCAGAAUAAUUUUAUAAUUAAACACAAGAAAUGAAACACACAGAUACACUUGAUCGCCUAUUUUACUCUAAAAAAGAACGAUUACUGUGCUAUCAUCAUCUUCUUCACUAGCAACAUUAACACCAAAUCGAUAGACCCAUACAUUUCAUCAAGAAAGGUAUAUAUCCAAUAAAGUUGAAGCCUAACAAAAAAUUCAAGAAGAUUAAUGCCUCGCCACAACAAGGGGCACAACAACAUCAAAGUAGAGAUUAAGCAGUAUUCUCAAAGCUAAAACUCUCAAAUCCACCCACCAGAAUUUCAUAUCUCCUCAACAAUUUUAAGAAAUAAAGAUAAUUAGGAUUUAACAUUAGUUUUUUAUAUAUUAGUUUCAUAAUUUACAAAUCAAUGAAGAUGAAGAUUAUGCUAAUAAAUUCAAAUUAUACCAUACAUUCUCUAGAUGUUACCAAAAAUUUCUAAGUCAAUCCCACAUAUUUCAUAAUUUUAAGACUAGAAAAUUUCACUAGUUAGAAGUUUCAUUAACUUCAAGUGGAAGAUGAAGAACAUUAUACAAGUGAUUCAGAUUAUAUCAUACAUACUCCAAAUGCAACUAGAAAUUAACAAGUUCAUGCGCACAUAUUUCAUAACAUUAUGAUUGAAACGUUUCACAAAGAGAAAUUCUAAAUUCAAUCUCUUGCAUGAAGGCAGUUUGAUUGAUUUGAGUUACUUUCUUAUCAAGCUACUAAUAUAACAUUCAAGUCAGGGAGAAAAUAAAUUAAAACUGGGAAGAAAUAACAGUAAAAAUUUGUUGCUCAACAUGAUGUGUAUUUUUUUUCAAGGCAAUUUGGAAACACAAUUGUUACUACAGAUAUUCUUCUCAACUUGGAGAUAAAUACAAAUAUUAAAAUGCAUAUGAUCGCACAUAUUACUUCGAGUUUAGUAAGAUUUCAUUAAAAGAAGCAAUCAAACCACUUAUCAAUUGUCGCAGUCGUUCUAUAAACUAAAAUAGCAAUAUAAUACAAGAAAAAGAACAUAUAGAUACUUGGCAAGAGUUCAUUAAGAAGUCGCAUCACAUUCGGGUGAGGAGUUUGCUUCUGAUAUCUUGCUAGCUGGGGCUUUUUCUUGUCUUUCUACGUAUGCCGAGGGAAACCAACCAGCUUGGCCCUUGCAUUCACCUUCCGACCAUCCAAUAGGAGCCACCUUGAGAAGUUAUAACUAAAACGGUGAAUUAAACAAAAGUUGACCGUUCAAAGACCUAAGGGGAAAACUAAUUCUUUUACGUAGGAGGAGUGAAUUAGUUGUGAUCACUGAAAUAACAGCAUAACUAUGGAAGCAUAACAAGAUAUAAAUUCACACGUCUAUAAGGAUAAACUGGGUGGUUUAGAACUGAGCUAGCAACCCUACUAUAUUCUGAUUUGCACUUCAAUGUAAAAGGGAAUAUAUGGUAGGAAGAAAGAAAACCAACCAUCAUUUGUUAACUCAUUGCUUUUCAAUCAAAAUUUUAAGAACAAAAUGCCAUGUGCUUUGAACAUCAAAUAAGUAUAAGCAUUAGUUCUAAAUUCCACAUAUCAUAAGUUGUUAGAAGGAUAAGUUAAUAGCAGAGUAGAAAAAUCAAUGUGUUGGUAUUUAGAGGGGAAAGUACCUGGCGAACCACAACAUAAUCAUCAAUUGAAAGACUUAGCUCUCCAUUUGCUUGAGCAUCAAAUGGAUGUAUAACCUGCAAGAUAAUGGGAUAAAUGGAACUUAAAAAAAGCAUAACAAAAGCAGCAACAGUAGCAGCAACGUUCAUUGUAACCACUAUGAUCAUGGCCAACAAAGAUAUAUUAGAAACAAAAUUCCAUUUUUACUAUGACAUUAAUAUGUACUAUACGAUAUCAUGACGAUUGGGUUACUAAGAGCUAUCAAAGUCUAAUAAGUUCUGUAUAACUUUAUGUAGUUAUUUAAAUUAUGGAUCAGAUUUUAAAUUUGAAAUUUUGACUGCUCUCCACAAAACAUGGCCUAUGCACAAGAAAGUCAUAGAUAAUGAGGAUUACAAGUGUCCGACAUCUUUUGAGUGAUGGAUUUAACAUGAGAGCUUAUGGUCAGUCAAUUUCCUCUGCCUAGCAAUAUAAGCUUUCUCGGCCAGAUUUAUCAUCAAAUACAUAGAUUGCCCCCAAGUCACAUCCAUAUAAACAUAGUUUUUCUAGGUAAACCAAGUAAGGAGCAUCAUAAUUCAGACAUAAUCAUAAAAAGGCCCAUCUAAAUUAAGAGAAAAUCUCAAAAAGAGGGAUGCUGAGCUAUCAGUCUUGUAUCUAUAAGCAAUAUCAAGACUUUACAUCACCUGCUACAUCAUGAGUGGCUACACAACUUUCAGUGGUUUGUCUUUCUUUGGCACGCCUAACUCAGCUUUGAUGUUGCUGAGAUAUUGAUAGUAGAGACACAUGAUACUUCUAGCUCAUGCAUUCUAUCUAACUCAUCCAACAACUAUCUCUUUUUUAAUUCAUUAGUGUUUGCUAAACCUCAUGCUUAAAAGUCCUGUUCUCCUAAAUAAAGUUUCCUAAGAAUGACUUCCUUAGCACCACAGUUGGACACUUGUAGAGCAAUUUUAUUUGGGGGAAAAGAAUUUUCAAGGUGUUAACUAAUAAAUUUUAAAAAAUAAUUACAAUUUGUCCUACGAUCAUAUGACAAUUUAUCUGGGAUGAAAGGAUACAGAUAGACAUCUUCCACUUUCAAGACUAAUCACUACUUCCGUAGAUGUUGUGCAAUAAUACAAAUACUUGACCAGAUGGUAGUGAUGGUAGAAAAAAAAUUUAUUGCUCCAAAAUUAAAAUAAGAAUGCAAUAUGUUAAGCAAAAGGCUGUGCAACAUCAAAUUAAUUGAUAAGAUAGAUGCAGACAAGCAAGUUAAAAUGCAUAGUCCCAAACCUCCGCAUACAACUUCUCUAAAAUAGCAAUAACGUGUUGAUGCUAUGUUUUCUCAGCAUCUACCUGCAAAGGCCCGAGACCAGGAAAACAACAAUAAAACCACUAGCUGAAGGAGAAAGCAAAGAAAGAAAUACACUUGACAUAAAUCUUGACAAGAAGCACAAUUUAAGACAUAACAAACCCCAAUCAUAUUGUUUAGAACUACCAUUCGUUAUUUCGUUAUUGUAACAUUUCGAACAAGUGUUGACUUAAUUCAACAUUGUUGGAAAGAUAGGCUUUUAGAAGCAGAAGAAAGCCUCUCAAACCAAAGUGCUGGUCCUUGUAUUGAUCAAGGGAUGUAAACAUAUUACAUUUGCAGGAUGAGAUUUAAUCACUCCCCUGAUUUAUUUGGGUUGCAGUAAAACUAAGCGAGCAACUGUUUGACUUCCAAGCAACAGCUAAAUCAGCUAUUAAAAUUCAAAUAAAAUCAUAAUAGAAUAAUAACAGGCCCUCUUGCAUCAAAAAUUAAGUUUAAUUUGUGCAUUGUUUUCUAUAGACAUGUCAGUUUCUGCUAUUGAAAUGUUAAAAGCAUUGAAAAAUUAUUCAAUAAAUUAUGCAAGCAUUAAAAUAGAGGACAUAUUAAAAAGUUUCUAAUUACAAUGCUAAUAUUUCCUAUAUUUUAGCAUUUGCAUAUUUUAAUUUAUUUAAAAGCUACGUCGAUCAACUUUGGGCAUGAAGAUUUUAGCUUCUACGAGACUUGAUUGGAAUAUGCAUAAGGAAGAGUGUUAAAAUAUGAUGCAUCCAACGAAAGAAAACCACGUGUAGUCUUUUAAUUAAGCCAAAGUAGCAGCUCAAACAAAUGACACUUGGACCAACAUGCAAUCAUGAAGUGGCCGGAAAAAGGACAAAUGCUACUUUGGCUUAAAUAAAAAAUAACAUGUGACUUGACUUUUGCUGGACAUGCAUCAUGUUAUUACAAGACAACAGAAAUCAGUAUGAUAGUACUAAAAGUUGACAAUAACAUGAAGAUAAGAGGCAGAAUGUCAACACAUGCAUAGGCACACACAAGAAAGUAUUAACAUAUAUACCAUAGCAAAAACUCUUUUAUAUGUCAUCUGUUGCUGCUGUGAUUCAACUGACAGCAAGGCAGCUGUCGCUUCUCUACCAAGAGCCAUUAUUUUAGAUUUAAGCUCGGUCAAUCUUGCUUCUGCAUUUCGAAGCUUCACAGCACUCUCUGCUGAUAUAUCAGAUUCCCUAAUCUUUGAUCGGUGCCUAAAUACUUCAGCUGCCUGGUGAAAAUAUUCAAUAUAAAUCUAAUAUAAUUCUCAUCUUGCCUUAUACAUGCAUAUGUUACGUCAAAGCUUACCUGGGCUUCAACUUCAUGUCGAAGUUUGUCAUAACAAUGAGUCAGGUGUCGAGCAUCUUCCAAAGGUGCUCCGUUGAUUAACGCCCGUAGUGGCUCAGAUACCUACAUGUCCAAAAACCUGUAACAUAGUUAGAAAAAUGAAAAGAAAGAGCGAAACCUCAAUUAAAAAGUUCAUCCAACAUAAUCAUGGAAUUUGGGCCUACUUUAAGAAUAUAUAUAAGGAUAAUUUAUGCAAUUUUGGGUCUUAGGAUGAUUGGUAUUAGGUUAGUGUUCUUCUCUUCUGUAUUUAAGGUUAAAAUAGAAAUAAACCUAUGCAAGUAUCUAAAUUAGGCCUGUAAGACAUCCACAUGCAUCCUUCAGUCUCAUGGAUUUGAUUUUACUAUAGAUGCAAGUGUCUUUAUCGAAAAUGCUUGGAGUCAAUUGAGAGAACUCAUGGCCAAUAACUUGUCACACGCUAGUCUUUGCUAGUGAUCACAAGGUCUCUUCAACAUUUGAACCAAUAAAAUUAUUAAGUCAUGGAUGUCACUAGCAAUGAUUUUAAUAUAAAACAUUAAAUAUUUCAGAGUUGUAACUUUAAAAUGGAUUCUUUUAUUCAAUAUCAUAGAACUAAGUUUCCUUAUGAGAAGAUAAUAGUUUCGAUAAUAAUUUUACAUAUAAUUUUCUAUAUUUGAAUUAUUUUCUAGUUAGGGAUGAACUAACCUGAUCACGAAGAAUCCCGAGCAAAGUUUCCCUCUCAUUUUCCAUCAAAUCAUGUGAAGUGCCAAAUUGAAGAGCAGCUCUUGCAACGCAAGAAUUGUCACUUUGAUUCUCUACUCCAUACUUGCAACAAUCUUCAGCCAACUUUCUCGCUACAAUAUUUGAAUACAAAAAUAUUGUACACAAGAACUAUAAAAAAACUAAUGAAAAAUGCCAAGAUGGAGCAGAUGCUUCAAUACUGCCUAUACAAACCAUAAAAAACUAAUGAAAAAUAAAUAAAAUCGAGAAAUUUUACUAAUUAAAAGUCUAAAUAUAAUUUUGAAAAAAGAAAAGAAACGGACUUGCUGCUGCUUGGCGACUUGUUCUCGGAGCUUGAUUGCCUGUUUCUUGAUAGCUUCCAUACUGUUUCUUUCAAAAAGCGACGACGGCUCUGCUCAUGGAAGUGGAAAAAAAAGUGUGAUCGAGAAAAAUGAAAAGGCGUGAAUAAUUUUUGACAAAAAGCGAAAAUCAAGGAAAGCCGGCUCUUUCCAGAAAAUAAAAAAAAGAAAAAAAGAAAAAAGAAAAUCAUAAGUUUGAAAGGAGAAGAUGAUAUUGGAAGUAUGCAGUGUGGCUGCCAGGUACUUGGAUUGUAUUGUCGGGUAAGGUAAUAGUGGAGAAUUGUAAGUUUGAACGGAGCAUGUUGGACUUUUGUUGACCAAAUUCAAAAGCCAAAUGGCACGGCCCGGAAGCUUUUGAAUAGAAAAACUUGCUAGAAAGCAUCAGUUUAAAUCACUACUUAAACGCUUGCUUUAACUGCACCGCUUUGUACUGUUUUAUGUAUGUAGCGGUUGUGCGGUUGUAAUUCACGGCUGACGCUACGUGUUUGUUUGUACUGUUCUAUUCGGUGACAGAGUAUUAUUAGUUAGGCCAAAACUAUGUUGCAACAGUGGUACAGUAGCACUGUUGCUUUCAGUCAUUAGAUCUAUAGUUGUACAGUUGCAUUAACAAGAUCCAAUGACUGAAAGCAACAGUAGUACCGAACUACUGUUGCAACAUAGCUGGAGCCUAUUAGUUAUUUCAAAGGGAUAAAUAAGAUUGGUUACAACAAACCUACUAAUUUUAUAAAAUUCAAGUAACAUAGAAUAAAAUAAAAAAAUAAAUACAAAAUUGACUUUUAUUUUUUAUGGUUGACUAUAUUUUGUGUUCUCUUCGGGCACUGCUACAAUUGUUCCCUAUAUAUCAAUUACACCACAUACUAUCGACACAAGAAAUGAAAUCUAAUAUCACCUGUUUAGUUAAAAAAUCACUCAUGAAAAAAUUUUACCAUUUUGAUUUGAGGAUCCAUAUUUUAAACUACAAGCUAAUGUUCAUCAAGAAUUACUGAUGGACAAAUUAUUUUUUUUGAUAGAAGAAUUUCUUUAGGAACUACUAAAUUAUUAAUAAAAAUAUCGAACACACCCACAUAUCAUCGACACAAUUGAUUUUGAGGAUCCAUGCUUUGAACUACAGCCUAAUGUUCAUCAAGAAUAGAGUAUGGCUUAUGAGUAGAAAAUUUUCUUAUUUUGGCCCAAAAUAAAAAGAAAUUAAAUUGGAUGAGAAUCUGCCACUUUCUCAUGAAGAAAGGCAUACGGAGCAUACCAUGGUACCAUACAAUAUAAGAAGCCUCCGUUCUUUGGUUUUUCAAACUCUGAAGGGGCUAAUAUUGCCAAAUUCCCCCUUGAAAAUUCUGAUUACGACAUUAUUCAUCGCUUGAUGCAAUCAAAGUAGUGACAAAGUUAGGAAAAAUAUGAGUCCUAAGUAAUUGCUAGGCAGGGCUCCUGAGAGCAAAAUUGUCCUAAGCAUUAUAUGCAUACAUAGUGCAGUACAUAGAGCACGUUGAAUUCCCCACUAUAACACAAACCCAGAAAGACAAGUAAUAACUCAACUGAUAUAAAGACAAAAAGAAGAUAAAAUGAUAUAGAAAAAAGAAUUUCAAAGAGACAGCAACAUACAAUAGACUGAAGCCACUUGAUCUGCUCAUUGAUUGCAGCCUUAAACUUGCAAAUAGUUACUGUACGCUAGUGCUCUAAGAAGUGAAAAUGAUGCGAGCCCUGAUUCCCUUUUGACUUCCAUUUACUGUCAAACAUUCUAGUAAUACAAAAAAUUGUUUAGAUAUCUUGCUAUAAAUAUAGCCGUUUGACUGUCAUAAUAAAGUCACAAAUAACCAUUCAUAUUGAUCUACUGUCACACAGCAUGCUUUAUGCAUACAACAGCUGUAUGCAUACCAACUCCUAACCUUAUCAAUACAUUUGGCAAAAACUUAAGAAGAAAGCUAUUUCUCCAUCUCUUUUUUGAAAUUUCACAAUAACCAGCACAAUGUGAAAGCUAUGUUCUAACCUUAUGAUAAAUGCUCCAGACUCCAAAAGGGUUUUAUAUAUGAGAGUUUGUUGCAGCAGAUAUAUUGACUUAUCAAGUAUGAAUCAUUGUCUGGAUGAACUAUCUUUAGAUAAAAGAAUAUUAGAACCACUGUAGAAUAUCUUUACCCUGCUGGUUCUAACAGGAAUCUGCAUGUGGCAACAAUUGCUAGACCCACAAUUCCCCAACUUGAAAUACAUAGUUGCACACCAUGAGAUAGUGCUACAAUCUACUGAGAUCUAACUUAUAUGGUACUUUAAGCUACUAAUGUUUGCAUAUUUCUACAUGUUAAAUUAACACUAUCAUCUAUAAUCACUCCAAAACAACAAAUGAUAAGCAGCUUUUGGCCACUUAUUACUAGCAUACACAAUUAUAAAUAAGAGAUCAUGGGUUUACUUGUUGCACCUACUUAAUUAUCUGCAGUUGACAUCCUGACACAAGGUUUAAAUAGUGACUGCUUAGAACCCUUGUAGUUGGAUCUUGACCUCUCCCAUUGUAGCCAAGAUUGGUUACUCUGGUAAUGAAUCAACACUCUCCUGCUCAGGGCCAUGAAGAUCUGAAAGCUCAGCACUAGUGGAGAACUUCAUCAAUCUCUUCUUCUCAGCAUACUUGAGACAAGGCUGCAUUACGAGACCAAUCACCACAGCACCAACGCUUAAAACUGCAACUUUUAAAGAAGAAAGAGCCAACACAACACAACACAAAUCAAUAUGGUUGGAGGAAUACACAUGAUAAUGGCUCCAACAGUGCCAGUGGGUAUCUUGUAGGGAUGAGAUGCAGCAGGAUAUUGUAUCCUUAACCAUACAAAUGCUAUGAACUCCAUAAUCAUUCCAAAACAGUACAGGAAGUUCUCUGCAGCUACAAUAUCUCGAAAGCUCAGCCAUGAUAGCAAAACCACACCAGAAGCUGAGAAUAUGAUUCCAAUCAAAGGAGUCCCAUAACAAGACCUCUUAGCAAAAAACUGAGGUAGCAUUCCACGCUCAGCCAUCCCCAAAAGUUGGAAAGAGUCGCUGCUCAUCUCAGCCACAAACAUGCCCAUAUUGGACAUUGCUGCAGCCCCCUGGAUGCACCAUCUCAACCAAACUCCUCCAAGCACUUUAGCAAUAUCUGAAAAGUAACCAUCGGUCCACAAGUCGCGAUCUAAUGGAAUAGCUCCAGUUCAAACUAGAAGGGGAAAGAAAUACCCAAAAAUGACCAAGAUCAAAGCAUAAAACAAAGCCUUUGGAAGAGUCUUCUUUGGGUUAUCCACCUCUCCAGCUAGUGUACUUAUUGAGUCCCAGUAGUUGAGAUUCCAAAACAGGGUGUUCAAAUACAAAUUCCAAUCCACUUCACCUAAAUUUACUACAAGCCAUCUUGAAGGCUCUAACUUGGGAAGGGACACAAGUCCCAUAACCCCAAAAGGAAGGAGUGAGAAAAUCCCUAAAAGAACAGCAGCCCAUCCCACAAUGGUUAGACCCCUAUAGUUCAUGAAAGUGAGAACAAAAGUCAAAGCUAACGCCGCAAAGGCUCUAGGUAACCCAUUGCCCAACGCAGGGAUACCAGACUUCAAGUAGUCAAGAAACAGAACUGGGUAUAAAGCAUUAUCAAUAACCCCACUUAGCCAUCCAACCUUGCUGAAAACCCCAAUAUGGGCCUAAGGCAGAUGAAACCCAAACCACAUAACCACAAUUUUCAGGAAACACAGUACCCAUUUCGGCAGUAAUUAAAGCUUCAGGGACACUCCAUAUAAUCGGAAACACCAAGAAACCAAGAAGUGCUAAAAGAGGACCAGCUGCCUUUACACUAUCCUCAACACCAAACGGCCCCCCAGAAACCUCAUAGAAUAUAAGGAAAAUAAGUGGCAAGAUUGAUACUUUUUUAGUGCCAUGGACUCGAGGAGAAGAUGGUUGGUCAUUGAUAUUAACAUAUUCAACAGCAUCAGACUGCCCUAUUUCUACUGAAACUUGCCUAUUUACAGUGUUCCUCAAUUUCUGCAUCAAGUUUAAGCAUAACUAUCAAAAGGGUAUCCGCAUCUAAAUUAUGAAACAAAAUGAGCAUUUACUUAUUAAAAAAAAUCAAAAAACAGAAAUGGAUUUCGCAGAGCACAUGAAUUUAAGUUCAACAUUAAACAGGCGCUUAAGAAAACAAAAGGGUCUGUUCGUAAAGCCAUCAGAUUGCAAGAUUGAACAACAUUAACGGAAUCAAUAGAAUAGAUGUAAAGAGAUCUGAAAAGAAAAUAAAAUAAAAGAUAAAGAGAGAUAAAACGAACCAUCAAAUAAGUGCAUGCAGAGCAGAGAGGCAGAUACUAGAGAAGCUCCGUCAUGUUAGAGAGAGCCUAAUUCAAUCAGAGCUCACUGAGUUUCUUUUCAACCGACCGGCAAAUUUGGAGUGGCACAACAUAAUAUUUUUACUUUUAAUUUUUGGAACACUUUUGAAUAGAAUUUUUUGUUUUUAAAAAAGGUAAGGGAGAUUAGUAUUUAUUUAACGGAUCAGGCUACGGUGCAACUGUGGCACCGUGCCACAGUUGCAUCUAGCCGUUGGAUGCAAUUGGAAUGGUGGAGUCCACUGACAUCCAACGGUUAGAUACAACUAUGACACGGUACCACAGUUGCACCUAAGGUUCCCUUAUUUAACUUUAUAUUUUUUAAAAUACCUUAAAAAUAUUUUUAUGUUAAAAUAUUAAUAUUUUUAUUAAUAAUUUUUAUAUUUUUAAUUUAUUUUUAUAAUAUUAUUUUUUAUAAUAAUUUUUUAUUUAAAUAUUAAUAAAAAAAUAAUUAAAUUAACAAUUUAAUCCUAAAAUAAAUAAACACGUGUUUGGUUUUGGGCUUUUUCUUUUGUUCGUUUAAUAUCAUCUGGCUCCCUGAUUUGUGACUAAUUAUCAACAGAAUCCCGUUGGUUUCUAAAUUGAAAUAAUAGAAGGUCAUGAGACUAUUUACUCCAUUUAGCACUGCAGACUUAGAGUAUAUUGAAAAAGCUUUGUCAAAUAGUAGUAAUAGGGGCAUAAGAAAUAAAUUAUAGCUAUCACAAAUUCGUUAGGAGAAUUUCAAUUUUUUCCAUCAAUAAUGGCUAUGAAGCAAAAUUACCUUAGGUUAUAUUGCAAUACUAAUACUUCAAAUCCUGAUAAUAAAUUUGAUGACAGUCGUUUUUAUCAUGGUUUUAACAGAUAUAAGAAGAGAAAAUUAACUGUUCAAACAAAUUAGAAGCAAAUUCUUUCAUAUCUUUCUUUUAUUUUUCCGCUUACUUUCUUAGCAUCCAAACAAGUUAAAGUUAAAACGCUGUUAGAGCCAACAAUAUGCAGGCAUCAAUAAGCAUAGUAGUUUUGUAUAUGUAUUCUAUACGAUAUUCUAGGGAUGUCAAUUGUAGAACAUUUUGUGGUAACUUUUUUACAUUAAUUAAUGUUUGAAGAACUUGUUAAAAAGAAAAUGGUAAUUUUAUCAUUUUGAAAGACAAAAAAAAAAAAAAAAAGAGUGAAAGUGGCGUUACCUCAUGGUCAUUAGAGACUUGUUGCAAUGAUAGCUCAAAAUUAAAAAUUUGUGAAGAAUUAGUAGACAACGACGAUACUAUAUUUAUACAGUCACCAACGUGUUGAUUUUUGUUUAAUGUUUGAUCGAUAGAAACUUUCGUCGUCGUCGCCGUUGUUGAAUUUGUGCUAAGAAUAUCACAAGAGAAGAAAAAAGGAUGAAAGGGAAGAGAAGAAGAGAGAAGUGGUGGACAGCAAAUAUGAUAUGCUAGCUACACACAGGCCUUAGAGAGUUUUUUUUUAAUAUUUAUUGUAUUUUUGUUUUUGUUAUUGGUUUUUCAUAUGCUUCCAAGGCAGCAAUGCGUUACAUCAUAAAUUGCACCUUUUAGGGGAGGUGGUAAAAAACAUGAGAGCAAUGCAUUCUAGCGCAUACAUGCAGAAAGAGUUUCCAAAUUUUCAAAAGUUUCUUUAUUUCUUCCACCUUUUUUUGCUUAAAAUAAAUUUUAAUUGUAUUUUGCAUUAACUUAGAGAAAAAAAAAUCCAGUUCUAUACAUAAACGCAUACAUUGAUUAGAAAAUGAGUUUUAUGGACACAAAGGGACAAUAUAAGAGAUUCUUUUUGUUUAUUAGAAGUAACAUAACUAGUUAGUGUAACAUGUAAUUAUAAGCUACCAAUAAUUUGCACUAAUGAUAAUUAACGGUAUAGAUUUUGAGCUAUGAAUGUCUUGUGGCUAGUUUAAUUAGAUUUUCGAGUUUUCAGCAGAUCUAUUUUAAUGAUUAUUAAAUUAUUUUCACUUCUUAUGCCUUAAUAAAAAAAAUCAAUAUUUUUUGCUGUAUUCUAUAUUUUAAAACUUAAUUUUUAGUUCUUUAUAUUGCAAACCAAACUGAGUCAAAUAGAGUAUGCUCUUCAAAUAAUUUUUCCAUUGCCUUCAAGAAGAAUUCAUUUUAUUUUUAUAUAUUAAUUUAACACUUGUAAACCGGGCCGUCAGAUUGCACAUAAAGCAAAUGAUCAAACCGUUACAAGACCGGCCCAGGCCCACCGACUCUAUUUUCUUUCAUUUGACCAUUAAAAAGCUUUUGGCCACCCCCACCAAAUAAAUAAGCUCUUGUUCUCUUUUGUUCCCUCUCAAAGGAAAAUAUCUGAUCACCGGAUAAUGAUUCCGGCGACACAAAAGAUCGAAACACCCCCCUAAAUUCCCUAAAUUUACGAUAAUACCCCACCAUGGAUGAUUCCGUUGAAAUGCCGCCUUACGAUGAAAGGCCUAAAAAGGGUUUUAACUUCACCUCCAUGCGCUUGAUCUUAACCCUCGUUUUCCCAAUUUUAACUUGCUUUUUGUUGGCAUUUUUUAUUGGAAUCGUAGCUGUUUUAUUCGGUGAAUCAUCAGUUUCCAGUUCCAUUUUUGUCCCUUCCCAGUGCAAGAUAGUGUCCAGCAGUAAGCUUUUUUUAACAUUUUCAAUUUUUUUUCCAUUUAUGAAGUCCAAAAAUUUUAUUAAUUUUGACUUUUUUGAAUGAUUUUGCAGGUGUUGAUAUAAGGUCAUCAAAAGUUUGUGAACUUGGGGUGUUGAAUUAUAAGGCGAAGCGUGUGUUUUAUCCAUUUGAAGCAAGUAAAUUUCGCUGUCGGUAUGAUUACUAUUAGGCUUCUAUCUUCAAGGUAUUCAUACAUUUUCCCCUGUACUAUAAGCUUCUCAGUGGCGGUCUUGUGAGCGGAAGUGAGCGGUGUGGUUGACAGCUUCUUGAAAAUUAUAAGUUUGAACCAAGCAUGUUAGAGCACCACCAAAAGCCUCUUUAAAUAAGAUUUUAUUAUUUAUUUAAAGAGCCACAUCAAUAUUGAAAGCUCCAAAAGACACUUCAAUUAAAAUUCUUUAAAUAAGAAUUGAUUCUCUUCAAAUUUGGAGAGUUAAUUUCUCCCUCUUCAAUUUAUAUUUUAUUACUUUUCAUUGAAGAAAUAGAGAAAUGCUUUAAUUGCUAUUAACUUUUCCUUUAAAAAACUAAUUAUAUGAUUAAAAUAAUAUUAACUUAUUUAUAUUUGAAGAGUCUUUUGAAGAAUAUCAUAUUUUUUUCACCAUUCUAUUUGCCACAUAGGUAAACAAAUAGAUAUUUAAAGAGUAAAAUUUAUAGAAACUUUUGGAGAUGCUCUUAGACUUUUGUUGACCAAAUUCGAAAGCCAAAUGGCACAGCUCAGAAGCUUUUGAAUUGAAUAACUUACUAGGAAGCUCCAAUUUUUUGUUGGCUACAGUAAAAGGAUGUUGUUUUAUUCUUCUUAUACUUUACGCUUGCAUCAGCUUAAAUCACUUCUUAAACGCUUUGCUUUAACUCCACUGCUUUGCUGGGGCGGAUUUACCUUGGAACAAGUGGGGACUUAAGUCCCCACUGAAAAAAAAAUUGUUUUAAUAAUUAAUUUGAUUUGCCAAAACUUCUCAAUAAAUUUUUCUUAAGCCCCCAUAAUUUCUUUCAACAAGCAAUUGAUCUAAAUGAGUUAAUUUCUGUCAGUUGUAUCCAAAUGAGUUCUCUGCAAUUGAUAUCAUGGCACUUGAAAUUCAACUUGAUACAUAUAUUUUGGAUAUGCGCACUAGUGCGAGACUAAAAGACAUAAGGUAUAUCCAUUGGUUUACUUGUUAAUAAUAUUAGCAUUGACUUUACCCGUUGCCAUUGCUAGUGUAGAGAGUAUUUUCAGCCAUGAACAUUUUGAAGAAUUGGUUAUAAAGCUGUGAGUAAUAGAUGAAUGAUAGUUUAAUUAUUUACAUAGAAAAAUACUUAUUUAAUAAUAUUGAUAAUGAACUUGUAAUGCAACAUUUUUAAUGUAUGAAAACUUGAAAGGACAAUUGUAAACAUAUAUUGAAGUAUGAUAAAUCUUUCAAAUUUAUAUAUUUAUUACUUUUUAAAUUUUUUUAUAUUGCCGUUGAAUGAGCCCCCAGUCAAUCAAUAUGUUGUCUUCACCCUGCUUCGUACUCUUCUAUAUAUGUAUCGGGUAUGCAGUUGUAGUUAAUGGUUGAGACUACGUGUUUGUUUGACGUGGUAGUUACGUUACGAGUCUGUUAAACAUUCGAUGAUUAAAGUAUUAUCUGUUAUUUCAAAGGGACAAAUAAGAUUAGCUACAACACACCCACUAGUUUUAUAAAAUUCGAAUGAGAUGGAAUAAAAUAAAAAAUAAAUAAGUAAAUUGACUUUUAAUUUUAGUGGUUGAAUAUAUUUUCUAUUCUCUUAGGGCACUGCUGUAAUUAUUCCUUAAACGUCAGUCAUACCCACAUAUAAUAGACACAAGAAAUGAAAUCUAAAAUCACCUGUUUAGUUAAAGAAUCAUCAUGAAAAAAUUUUGCCAUUUUGAUUUGAAGAUCCACUUUUUGAACAACCAACUUAUGUUCAUCAAGAACGGAUCAUGGCUUGUGAGUAGAAAAAUUAUUUUUGGACAAAUUAUUUUUUUUAAUAGAAGAAUUUCUCAAGGGACUAAUAAAAUUACUAAUAAAAAUGUCAGACACACCCACGUACCAUCGACACAAUUGACUAUGAGGAUCCAUGUUUUGAACUUCCACCUAAUGUUCAUCAAGAACAGAAUAUGGCUUGUGAAAAGAAAAUUUUCUGAUUUUGGCCUGGAACAAAAAGAAAUUAAAUUGAAGGAGAAUCUGCUACUUUCUCAUUAAGAAAGGCAGACAUGGUAUACCAUGGUACCAUACAAUAUAAAAAGUCUCCAUUCUCUGGCUUUUCAAACUCUGAAGGGGGCAAUAUUCCCCAAUUCUCCCGUGAAAAUUCUAAUUACGACAUUAUUCAUCGGUUGAUACAUAAGUACAAGUAGUGACAAAAUUAGGAAAAAUAUGACUCAUAAGUAAUUACUAGGCAGGGCUCUUGAGAGCAACAUUGUACUAGGCUUUAUAUGCAAACAUGGUGUGGUACAUAGAGCACGUUGAAUUCCACACUAUAACACAAACCCAGAAAGACAAGUAAUAUCUCAACUGAUAUAAAGACAAAAAGAAGAUAAAAUGAUACAGAACAAAGAAUUUCUAAGAGACAGCAACAUACAAUAGACUAAAGCCAGUUGAUCUGCUCAUUGAUUGCAGCCUUAAACUUGCAAAUGUUUACUGUAGCCUGGUGCUCUAAGAAGUGAAAAUGAUGCAAACCUUGAUUCCCUGUUUACUUCCAUUUACCAUCAACACAUUCUAUUCAUAAGAAAAAAAAUGUUUAGAUAUCUUGCCGUAAAUAUAGCCAUUUGAUUGUCUUAAUAAAGCCACACACAACCAUUCAUAUUGAUCCACAUUGCCACAUAGCCUGAUUUAAGCAUACAACAGCUGAAUGUAUACCUAACUCCUAACCUUAUCAAUACAUUGGCGACAACUUAAGAAGAAAACUAUUUCUCCAUCUCUUUUUUGAAAUUUCACAAUAAAACAGCACAAUGUAAGAGCUGCAAUGAAAAUGGACCGUCUGAAACUAUGGCGGAAGCUUCAACUAGUGUAGUGAUUUGACCUUCUUAUUAACCUAGCGAGAUCAAACACUGCCCUUGAUCUUGAACAGAUCAAUACGAUACGCACAACUUAUGAUUGAAUCCAGAAACAAUCAAAUCUUUAGCAAGAAUAAUUAAUCAGAAUCAAGAAACAAGUUUAAUGAAUAUAAACCUAUAAUUGGAACAAACACAGCCAAAGAACCCAAGAAUGACACAACGAACACCAAGGGAGAAGCUUUCCAGUGAGAUUAUAUUGAUGAUCAAAGAAGAAUCUUUUUACAAAGCUAACAAAAGAGAUUUCAGAGAAUAAGCUAUGACCCUCUCUCUCUUCAAUCUCUGUCUAGUUUGUUAACAGUGAUGACCCAAUCUGCUUCGUUAGCCAGCUUCAUAACUGCGUCAGUGACAAACCAGCAAACCCAGAUUGAGCAGACUAACGACACGUGCAUAACGGCUUUAACGAACUUGGUUAAAGAACUGCUCACAUGUUCGUCACGCGUGUUGCUUAAAUGAUAGCCAAAACGACUUCAACCAGAUGCCGUUUUGAAGCUUAUGAAUUAUAAGUGAAAACACGUGCUUGUCUCGUGACAUUUAAAUGCAACAACAAGCCCAAAACACUGCCGUUUCACUAUGUUGAGUUUGCCAUCUCUAAGCUUCACAACUAGCAGCGGACAAGAUGAUAAUUUAAUUGACAUGGACAACUUUUAUAUCACUUUUACAACAUUCUAUAUAAUUGUGAUAUUGGGAAUCGUCGGUGUUGUAUAUGUGAACCCUCGUUGGCGACACUGGUGGUUUUAUCUUUGUUGAAAUAUGGAUGACUUUUUGUUACUAUUUUGUUGUACAUAGUACAUAACCUUAUUCCCAGGAGAUUUAAUCAUUGAAAUUAACAUGUUAGUUUCAUUAGAAGGCUGAGUGGUUAGGGCUGCUACCCUCCAACUUGGAGGGCAAUAGUUUAAACCCACAAGCGCAAUGUGGGGGUAUUUCAUUCUUUAAUUACAUUGUAUAAUUGAAUAAAUGUAAUCUUCUCUCUUACACAAGUGUGAGUGGAGUAGACAUCUCUCGAAUAUUAGCGAGGGUUAAAACUUGGACAGAGCUCAAUAAGUAUUUAUGUAAGUUGGUCCUAGUAAUAAUCUGAUUUGUAAAUAUCAGUUAUAGUCUCAUGUUUCCUUCCUUAAUUAUAUUGUAUAAUUAAGUAAAUGUACUCUUCUCUCUUACCCAAGUGUGAGUGGAGUAAACAUCCCUAGAAUAUUAGUGAGGGUUAAAAUCUGGACAGAGCUCCAUAAGUAUUGAUGUAAGUUGAUCCCAGUAAUAGUAUGAUUUGUAAAUAUCAGUUAUAAUCUCAUGUAAUAUGAGUUGUAAUUUGAGCAACAGUUUCAUGUAAUUACAAAAAAAAUGCUACUUUCAUUACAUUUUUCUUCGUUAAAAUUCUCAAGUAUCAAUUAUGUUUGCUUAAGAAAUAAAAUUUCGUUAUGAAAAUUGUAGUAGUAUUUCCGAGCAUCUCACAUUUUCAAUGAUUUUUCAUAAAUCAAUUAAUCUGUCGUACCAAUAUCAUGUUUAGUUUUUCAGACUAAAUAAUCAAGAAAGCAAACAAAUUCACAGUUUAGAGGGGUAAACUAGCUUUUAGAUUUUAGAACUAGGCUAGAUACCUCACCAAAUUCCAAUUUGUACAGUGAACUACAAGAUUGAGAAAAUAAUGUAUUUAUAGUUUAAUUGAAUCAUGAGAAAACAAUGUAGUCAUAGCUCAAUCGGACAUGAUCACGGAGAGGCAUAUUCUUUUCAAGUUAAUUUGAUCCAUUUAUAAGAAAUGAAGUGGAUCGAAGUUAAAAGUUAAAAUAAAAAAUCCUUAUUCUUGAGUUUUACGACGUCGUUACUCCUUCAAGAGGCUGAUUGUGCAAGUGAAUGGAGAAACAGAAUGCUUUUAUAAUUUUUUUAAUAAUUGUAAAAAUAAUUAACCAUAACAAAUCCCUUGCGUAAAUACUAAUCAUUAUUUAAAAGGUAGAAAGAUAGUUAGUGCACAAUCAAAUUUUAAGCCCCUACCUCCUCGGCCCAAGAUUCAAACUUAGAUGAUCAGCCAAAUAAAAUUAUUUGAAAAUCAUUCAAUCAGGUUCCCGGAGUAAAAAUACAAGAUCCUUAUUAUAAAAGUUGUCCCACCUGCUGGUGUAUAACAACCACUUCAAUUCAAACUAGAUUCUUUUUGUUUUUUUUAAUGUAAUCCUGAUAAUAUUUAUGUUAUCUUAAGAAUAGGUCAGCUUGAUUAUUGCUGAAAUAUAGGAGGAAGUUAGCUUUGAUUCAUUGUAUUAUUUAUACGCUCUGAUACCAUAAAGAGAUUGAUAAUUGAAAAUGAACUCACUUCGUUACUGGUAUGUCUGGUUCGGUGGUUGGCGGGGAAGGUGGAAGAGAUGGUUGGCGGGCAGGUAGAGCUUCCUGUGGGGUUGGGUCAGCUGGUUGUGAAGUAGCCUCAGGCAGAGAUAAUUCUUGAGAGCUAGCUGCAGAUGGAGUGUUGGCUGCCUGCUGGAGUGAUGUGGGAAUGGACACAGUAAGUACAGGAGGAAUCCAAGUGGAUAUGGUAGUGGAAGUAGGACGUGGAAGAGUGGUGUGUAGUGAGGUGUAUGGAAAGACUGAUUCAACAAAUUGAACAUGGCGAGAAACAUGUUGCUGUUGAUUAUCAUUUUAUCAGAGAUCAAGUUCAAUCUGGUCUACUUCGAGUAGCUCAUGUCUCCUCUGCUGAUCAGCUUGCCGAUCUUCUCACCAAGCCACUGCCCACUUCUCAGUUCUUGCUUUUACGGGACAAGAUUGGCCUCUCUACUCGUGGCCUAUCUUGAGGGGGCAUAUAAAAGUUGUCCCACCUGCUGGUGUAUAACAACCACUUCAAUUCAAACUAGAUUCUUUUUGUUUUUUUGAAUGUAAUCCUGAUAAUAUUUCUGUUAUCUUAAGAAUAGGUCAGCUUGAUUAUUGCUGAAAUAUAGGAGGAAGUUAGGUUUGAUUCGUUGUAUUAUUUAUACGCUUUGAUUCUAAUGGAACGAAGUGAGUUCAUUUUCAAUUAUCAAUCUCUUUACUUAUUUGCAUGAUAUAUAUGAAUUAAUGUAAUUUAUUUGAAUUAUCCAAAUUCAUUAGAGAUAAAACUAUAAAAUAUACCAAAAACGUUAGAAGGAAGGGUGUGUUGGGAUGUUUUACAAACUAUAGGAAUCUGGUGAGAUUUUGAGCCAAACUGUAGGGAGUUGAAGGCAUUUGCCCAAUAUGUUUAGUCGUACACUAACCGUUAUUUGAUCUUGUUGUUGGUCCCGGAUGAGCUGUAGUCUUAUUUUAAUUUUAUUUAAACUCACCAUAAGAUUCGCGGAGCUCCUAACUAACUUAAAUGACUCUGCAGAGCAUGUCAACACAUAGCAUGUUUAACCGUUUUAUUUGUAGAAGAAUUUAUGAUUUCCCAUUAGCAUUAUUAUUGAAGUGGGGCGGGGGCGGGUCAAAUCUCAAUUGCUUGAAAAUUUUAUUUAUUAUUAUUAGUCUUGAAGUGAGGUGGGUAACGGUUCGCUCCAAUUCGAGGGAAUCAAAUAUAUCAUCCAAGGUAGAAUUGUGGAAAAUUAAAGCAAAAUAAGAAAUAUGGAAAGAAAAGAAGAAAGUUAAGGCAUGAAAGACAUAUACAGUUGAAAUUAUAAUCAUGUUUCUAUUUUGUUAACUAAUCAAAUGGAAAGCUGAACUGUAAACAAACAUUAAAACGUGUGGACCAAGCUAGCUGCCCUACAAGUCCACAAUAAUAAUUGAGUACUUUGAUUCAUCCUUCUAUAAAUUUCUACCCAUAUUGACUCCACCGAAAUUUCCACAAAAUUAAAAAAAAAAAACUGAAUUUCCACAAAAUACAAAACCCGUUGAACUUAUUUUUUGGUCAUGUGAACUAAGAUGUAAAUUAAAAAAAAAGUAUAAAAUUAAAAAAGAUAAGAUUUCUAAAAUGUGUGGAAGGUGAUUCAUGAUUCACUGAAAUUACUUACCCCAGAUAUAAAAGUAAACCUAUCUAAUUUCAUUAAAAAUAGUUAGAAAAAAUUAACUAAUAAAAAGCUACGGAAAUUAACCCCCCACAAAAAUGACUUUUUAUAGAAGAAUUUAUGUUUUUUAAAAUAUGUUAUCAAAGUGUAUUUGAUCAAAUCUCAAUUGCUUAGUAUGGUUAGGAUUUUGUGAACAUCACUAAAAAGUGAAAAACUAUGAAUGAUAGGGGUGAUGCUUGCAAUAUGAAUAAAUAAUGGACUGAUUCAAUUGAUGAUUACAUUUAUAUAUUAUUGAUUAUUUAUGAAUUUUCAGACUUGUUAUGAUGUAUAACUAUGUGAUUUUGAAACUUGAAACCGUGGCAAACAUUGAAAGGAAUUAUAACUUGAAAGCAUGACUCACGGGGUAUGUCAUGAUUCACGUGCACAAAAAAGGUAGAAUUGUGGAAAUUUACAACCCAACGACAAAUACGGAAAGAAAGGAAGAAAAUUAAAAGACUUCGGGCCUAGCCUGCGUGUAUUAAUUAUUAGAUUACUUUUUUUUUUAUAAGGGUAAUCAUCAAUUUACUCCAUAACAAUCUUUAAUUCAUUUUUAAAAAAUAUGAAAACUUUAAUUUAUCUUUUAAACAUCGUUACCUCUUCAUUGGUUUUAAUAGUUCAAAGGGUAAAAUUAUAUUUGCAUAUUUUCUUGACCGCCAACUAAAUGAUAAAACUCAAAAUUCAAUCUUGUUAUCUUGUUUCAAUCCUCUAUCAAUCAAAUAAGAUUUCUAAAAUAUGUGAAAGAUAUUGCAUGAUUUCCUCAACCUACCUGGCCCCGAACAUCAAGGUAAAUCUCUCUAAAAUAGUUGAUUAAAUCUCAGUUGCUAAGUAUAGUUAGGAUUGUGUGAACAUCACUGAAAACUAUGAUUGAUAGAAGUGAUCUUUGCAAUAUGAAUAAAUAAUUAACUGAAUCAAUUGAUUUAUAUAUUAAAGUUUAUGAAUUUUCGGACUUGUUGCGAUAUAAUAAUAGCAUAUGAUUUGAAACUUGAAACAGUGGUAAAUAUUGAAAGGAAUUAAUUUGAAAGCAUGAUCCGUGGGGAAUGUGAUGAAUCGUGUUUACAAAAAAGGUAGAAUUGUGGAAAUUUAUAACAGAACGAUAAAUAUGGUAAAAAGGAAGAAAAUUGAAAGACUUGGGGCCUGGCCUGGGUGUAUUUUCUAACUGUCCAAUGGACAAAAUUAUAUUUGUAUACUUUCUCUUCCCUAGCUAGGUUUCAUAGAAUAGCUCAUUUCAUUUUUAUUUUUUAAAUAAUAGCCCAAAACAUCCUUAUGUUAAUUCACUGUUAGUUGAAUAUCAUUUGUUAGUAAUUCAUUAAGGGUAAAAAAUGAUUUUCUAUCAAAGAGAAAAUUAGAAAAAUAAAUAAAAGUUGACAUAUAACUAAAAAUGAUCUUAUCUAAUCCCACUAAAUAAGAAAUGCCAAAAAAGAUGAAAAAUUUAUAUUUCAAGCAAUUCUUUUUUCACUUAUUUCUAUUUUGGCGGCAUGAAAGCCCUAUAAACCCUAGAUCUAAAUACCAAAAAUAUCACAAUUUUCUUAUUCAUAUAAGUAUACUCUCUAAUUGCAUUGUAAAAUGGCUUGAAUUGAAUUGAAGAUAAAGAAAAUAUUCAGCACAUGCAAGCACAUAAAAAUUGGUGGCAUUUUUGAGUUUUUCUUCCAAUGAUUUAAAGAUAUUGUUUUAAUUACAGUUUGUUCCUUAUGACAAUUAUUCAAUGGCUAUAUCAAACUAUAUCAUCGUUGAUUUCAUUUAAGAAAAAGUUAAUGAAUUUUGCAUACUUUGUAGUGUUAUUUAAUUGUGUAAAAAAAUUAUUUUAAUAUAGUUUGUAUCACUUUAAUGAAAAAUCUUAUUUUGCUCUCAAUGAAUUACUGGUUAAUAGUUUUACACUCACGGUGAGUUAACGGAAGGAUAUUUUAGGCUAUUGAUUGAAAAGGAGGGAUAAAAUGGGCUAUUGCAUUAAACUUUAGGGAUGAAAAAUGCUUUUUCUCCUUUCUUAUCAAUCAACUAACUGAUAAAAGUCAAAACUCAUAUUUUUUUUUUCCUUGUUUCAAUCCCCUCUCAAUCAAAAAAGUUUCCUUGUCUAAGCAAUGAGGAAUAUGGCUAGAAAGAUUGUUAUUAGAAAGAUUUAUCAAUAGUAAUUGGUUCACAACUGAACAAUUUUAGAUUAUUGUGAGUCAAUAUAGGUCUUGUUUGGAAUUGAAGUGUUGUAGCUUUUAAGCUACAGCUGCUUUAGAAAAAAAACUAUAAUUAUGAAAUAAGAGUUAAUAAUAUAUAAUAAAUAUAAAUUUUAAAUAAUAAAUUUGACAAAAUUAUUAAAAAUAUAAUAGAUUUUUGAUAAUACAAGUAAAAAAAUCAUAUCAACAUAGCUUGCAAGUUACAACAGUUAGUGUUUACCUAAUACUUUAAUACUGUAGCUUUUAAGUUACAGUUGUCCAAUACCUCAAUUCCAAACGCACCUAUAAAAUGGCUUGCUUCAAAAGUCUAUCAACCCAACUUGGAAUGCUCUCAUUGUUGCGGAAACGUGGGUUGAGCAAUUACUAAUACUGCAACUUCUGGAGAAAUAUAAAUGUGGUGAUAAACAAAUGCAAAGAAAAUAGAACACAAUAUUUUACGUGGUUCGGCGUAAUGCCUACGUCCACGGGCAAAAACUGGAAGAUAAUUUUACUAACAAUGAAAUUUACAAAAGUGGGAAAAACUCACAAAACCCACAACCCCAAUACACCCAAAUGGAACCUCACUAGAACACUCAAGUGGAAGCUCUCUCAAAUUCUCUCAAAGAACUCACUUGCAAUUGCUCUCUACUUCUCUCAAAUUGGGAUGGUUACAAUAGCAAAAUGCUUCUCUAUUUAUAGAUUGCAUUCUGCUCCAAGUUGGGUUCAAUUUGUCAAAAUGUUGAGCUGGAUCUUGUAUUGCAUGCACGAGCUUUUCAACACCUAACUUUGUCUUUUGAAAUUGCUUAGCCGACCAUCUUUGCUUUUUUGAAUUUGGCAAGCAAUUCUUUGACUUUUCAACAAUUCUCCACCUCGGCGAAGAUUUAGUAAAUCUGAGCCGAUUAUCAAUAAAUUAUCCUCCAGCCUUUGCCUUCUCCGACUGCUUUUAAACUUGCAGGAUAUUAAUCAAGUUUAGACAAUGCUCAAACUUGAUCGCUGUCACCACCUUGGUCAACAUAUCUGCGGGAUUAUCUAUAGUUUUAAUUUUCUGAAGAAGAAUCUUCCCCUCAUCAAUAAUUUCCCGCACAAAGUGAAAGCGUACAUCGAUGUGCUUCGUACGCACAUGAUAAACUUGGUUCUUCGUUAAAUGAAUAGCACUCUGACUAUCGCAAUACACAUUAAUGUGCUCCUGCGCCAAUCCCAAGUUUUCAAGCAAACCUUAUAACCAAAUAGCCUCUUUAAUAGCCUCUGUAAUUGCCAUGUACUCGGCCUCUGUGGUCGAUAGUGCAACUGUAGACUGUAGUGUAGACUUCCAACUAAUUGGCCCUCCAGCAAAAGUAAAUACAUAUCUGGUGGUUGACCGUCGUUUGUCCAAAUCACCAGCAUAAUCAGAAUCAAUGUACUCGAUCACACUUUGACCAAGUGUAUCGUCUCUUUCAAACAGUAAACCAACAUCCACGGUCUUCUAAAUGUACCGUAGAAUCCAUUUCACAGCUUGCCAAUGUCCUUUACCAGGAUUAUGCAUAUACCUGCUCACUAUACCAACUGCAUGUGAAAUGUCAGGCCUUGUACACACCAUUGCAUACAUCAAGCUACCCACUGCAUUUGAAUACGAAACUUGUAACAUGUAUUCUCGUUCUGCAUAUGUUGAAGGAGAUAAUUGUGCAGAAAGCUUGAAAUGAGAAGCCAACGGGGUACUCACAGGUUUUGUCUGCUCAGUCAUGCCAAACUGCUGUAGUACCUUCUUCAAAUAUUGCUUUUGAGACAAGCUUACUUUGCCACGAGCUCUAUCUCUGCAUAUCUCCAUGCCAAGAAUCUUCUUAGCUUCACCUAAAUCUUUCAUUUCAAAUUCUUGAUUGAGUUGAGUCUUCAACUUCUCAAUCUCAUUUUUGCUCUUCGAUGCUAUUAGCAUAUCAUCGACAUACAAUAGCAAAUAAAUGAAAGAGCCUUCUUGUAGCUUGCGAAAAUACACACAAUAAUCAAAUUUAUUUCUUGUGUACCUUUGUCUUUUCAUAAAUCGAUCAAAUCGCUUGUACCACUGCCUCGGAGAUUGUUUCAACCCAUAAAGCGACUUUGUCAAUUUGCAAACCCAAUUUUCUUUUCCAGCAACCUUAAAUCCAUCUGGCUGAGUCAUGUAGAUUUCCUCUUCCAAAUCACCAUGUAAGAAUGCAGUUUUUACAUCAAGUUGAACUAGUUCAAUAUCAAAUUGCGCAACCAUGGCUAGCAAAAUUCGAAUAGAUGAAUGUUUCACAACUGGAGAAAAUACCUCAUUGUAGUCUAUUCCUUCCUUCUGAGCGUAACCCUUCGCUACCAAUCUAGCCUUGUAUCGAAUUUCAUUUUUACAAGGAAAUCCUUCCUUUUUUGCAUAUACCCAUUUGCACCCAAUUGCCUUCUUUUCCUUGGGCAGUGUAACUAACUCCCAAGUUUCAUUUUUGUGAAGAGACUGCAUUUCUUCGUUCAUUGCUUUCUUCCACUGUAUACUUUCUGGAUUACUUACUGCUUCUCUGUAAGUGGAAGGAACAUCAUCAUCUACAAUUGGAAGUGCAUAGGCCACCAUAUCAACAAAGCGAGCAAGUCUGCGAAUCUCUCUAUGUGGCCUUCUAUAUGCAAUUGAAUCAUGUUGCUGUGAAGGUUCCUAGGUCAGAACCUCUUCAUCAUUUUCGGUCGAUGGAGAAUCAUUAUCCAUCUCAUCGACACCAGCUGGAUCAGCUUUAACUUUUUCAAACUCCACAUGCUGCAAACUGCUACUGGUCUUGUCAUUCUCUUGAGAAUCUUUUUGUUUCAACAUGGUUGAUUCAUCAAAAGUUACAUCUCUGCUGAAAAUAAUCUUCUUCGUUACAGGACACCAGAGACGGUAUCCUUUUACUCCACCAGUUAUACCCAUGAACAAUGCUUUCUUUGCUCUUGGGUCUAACUUAGAUUCUUUUACAUGAUAAUAAGUAGUGGAACCAAAAACAUGUAAAGAAUUAUAAUCAGUAGUAGGUUUACCAGUCCACAUCUCCAUGGGUGUUCUGCCCUCAAUUGCAGUUGAUGGCAAACGGUUGAUCAAAUGGCACGCAUAUACAACUGCCUCAGCCCAAAACUCUUUGCCCAAUCCAGCAUUGGAUAACAUACACCGAACUUUCUCCAGUAUAGUCCGGUUCAUGCGUUCUGCCACCCCAUUCUGUUGUGGUGUAUCUCGAACAGUGAAAUGUCGCACAAUACCCUCAUCUUGGCAUAUUUGAAGAAAUGGAUCAUUCUUGUACUCACCACCAUUAUCUGAGCGAAGUCUUUUGAUCUUUCGACCAUUCUGAGUCUCGACCAUUUUCUUCCAUUUCAUAAAUAUGCCCAAAACUUCAUUUUUGUUCUUCAUCAAAUACACCCACACUUUUCUUGAAUAAUCAUCAACAAAAGUAACAAAAUAGUGCAUACCUCCCAAAGAAGCUGUUUUGGUAUGUCCCCACACAUCACUGUGAACAUAGUCCAUAAUUCCUUUUGUAUCGUGAAUUGCUGAACCAAACUUUACCCUUGUCUAUUUGCCCAGAACACAAUGUUCACAAAAUUCUAAUUUGCAAGAAUUUGUACCUUUCAAUAAGCCUUGCUUCGCUAAAGUUUGCAAAGCUUUUUCACCAGCAUGUCCCAAACGCAUAUGCCACAAUUUGGUUGCUUCUAAAUCUGCAUCUUUUCCAGAAACUGUUGAUGCUGAUCCAAUAACUGUACUUCCUUGGAAAUAGUACAAGUUAUUUCUUCUUGUGCCUUUCAUUACCGUCAGUGCCCCAGCUACUACCUUCAACAAUCCAUCUCUUAAAGUGAUUGUGAGUCCUUUAGAUUCUAGGACUCCUAAUGAGAUGAGAUUUUUCUUCAAGCUUGGUACAUAGCGAACAUCUGUCAAAACUUGGAUUGAGCCAUCAUGAUUCUUUAAUUGGAUUGUACCUAUUCCCAUGGUUUUACAAGCAUUGUCAUUGCCCAUAAAAACAACUCCACCGUCUAGCUCCUUGAAGUUAGAAAACCAGCCCUUGUUAGGACACAUAUGAUAAGUACAACCCGAAUCCAAAAUCCACUCAUCUGAGUGACAUAUCAAUGUCAUGCCAACCAGACUAAAGUCUGACUCCUCAUCAUGCUCUGCUACACAUGCAUCAGAAGUAGCCUUGCCCUUUUGUAACUUAGGACAAUUCUUUUUCCAAUGCCCUUUCUCGCGACAAAAAGCACAUUCAUCUUUGGCAGGUCUCCCUUUAGACUUGUUCCUUUUUCCAGGUUUGUGGCUUUGCGAACGACCUCUCGCUGUCAGUGCUUCUGCAACUGUAUAUCUGUGAUCCUUUCUAUCUUUCUUUCUGGUCUCAGAGUUGUACAAUGCACUGCAUACAGCAUCGAAUGUGACACUGUCCUUCCCAUGAAGCAAAGUAGUGGUAAGAUGAUCAUAUUCAUCAGGAAGGGAAUUCAACAACAAUAAUGCCUUAUCUUCAUCUUCAAAUCUCUCAUCUAGAUUUAGCAAAUCCGCCAAUAUCUUGUUGAAUGAGUUCACGUGGUCAUUCAUUGACAUGCCAUGUGUAUAUGUAAAUCGAUAGAGUUUCUUUUUCAUAUAAAGCCUAUUUUCAAGACUUUUCUUCAUAUGCUUUUCUUCCAGUGUCUCCCACAAUUUCUUUGCCGAUGUCUCCCUCAUGACAGAGUAUUUCUGAUCUUUAGCCAGACAUAGGCGAAUAGUACCACAUGCCUGUCUAUUGAUUUUUAUCCACUCCUUGUCAUCCAUCACGUCAGGCUUUUCUUCAAGAGCAACGUCCAACUCUUGUUGACAUAAGACAUCCAACACCUCACAUUGCCACAUACCAAAAUUAUUGGUACCAUCAAAUUUCUCCACUUCAAACUUUGCAUUAGUCACAGUAGUUCUCGCUGAUGAAGACGACGACGGUGCCUCUGCCAUCCUUUUUAUCUCAAAUGAUCAGUUUCUUCAACAACUAUUUACACUUAAAAAACAGCCUCUAUGAUGUUUAUUUCGCGUGAAUAAAUGCACCAGGAAAGUUCCCAAGAGACUGGACGGGAACUCGGUCCCAAUUAAAAACCAGAAUCCUUAGACUCUUAUCGCCUUUGUUGACAGAACUUUCCUAGACAUGCAAAAAUACACACUACUUACAAUAGACUGCCUCCCAAGUAUAAAUGACCGUCUCCACCGUAUUUGUGAACAGUACCGUUUAUAGGAAUAGUACCGUAUACGUGAACAAUACCGUAUCCCCCCAAGUACGAGCCGUCGGCUCUGAUACCACUUGUUGCGGAAACGUGGGUUGAGCAAUUACUAAUACUGCAACUUCUGGAGAAAUAUAAAUGUGGUGAUAAACAAAUGCAAAGAAAAUAGAACACAAUGUUUUACGUGGUUCGGCGUAAUGCCUACGUCCACGGGCAAAAACUGGAAGAUAAUUUUACUAACAAUGAAAUUUACAAAAGUGGGAAAAACUCACAAAACCCACAACCCCAAUACACCCAAAUGGAACCUCACUAGAACACUCAAGUGGAAGCUCUCUCAAAUUCUCUCAAAGAACUCACUUGCAAUUGCUCUCUACUUCUCUCAAAUUGGGAUGGUUACAAUAGCAAAAUGCUUCUCUAUUUAUAGAUUGCAUUCUGCUCCAAGUUAGGUUCAAUUUGUCAAAACGUUGAGCUGGAUCUUGUAUUGCAUGCACGAGCUUUUCAACACCUAACUUUGUCUUUUGAAAUUGCUUAGCCGACCAUCUUUGCUUUUUUGAAUUUGGCAAGCAAUUCUUUGACUUUUCAACACUCAUUCAAGUGGCUAUAACUAAGAUAAAACGUCGCAAAGGAAGAGUAAUUAAAAAAUGUAACUUCUUUAACAUGUCCAUAUAGCAUUUUUGUUUACAAGUGAAUUUGUGUGAUAGAGAGAGGAUGUAAGCAAGAUAGUAAACUCCUAAAUAUAUUAUUGUUUGUAAUGUCUAAAAUUUGAAGAGAAUCAAGCUAAUAAAACUCCAUUGAAAUUAGACCUUCAAGAGUACGGUUCUUGGGCAUUAUAAAAUGUUGUAAUGUUGAGAGAUUACCCAACCAUUAUGGAAUCCUACCAAGAUGAUUGUUACCACUAAGAUACAAUCCUUCUAGUGAACAACAAUUAGACAAAUUUUUUGGAGAUCUCUCUUACAAAGUCAUUACCAUCCAAUCGCAAUUUUGAAUGAAAAUAAAUUUUUUUUAUUGGGAGUUUGACCUUAACAUUAAAUUUAGACAAUGAAUUUUAACUUUCUUCAAUUAUUAAGCAGAUUACGGACAUUUGAGGAAUUUGAAAACAUUUCAUCCAUCGAAAGUUAAAAUUAGAGAUGGAAGCUAGGUGCUACAGCUAAUGGGAACAUUAAUUCCUGUCCCUCAUCACACUUUAUUUUGGGUCUAAUAAUUUUACGGCAGCAUUGACCACUGCUCAAGGUAAGUAAAACUUACAAAUGUGUGGCAAAAUAAAUAAUUAAGUGGAUAAACUGUUAACUAAUUUUCUUGAUAUAUACAGCUAAUGUAGUUGUUCCUCUGUUAAAAAAACAAAUGCUAAGCAAUUUCGGCUGAGCCUGCUUGUGGUGUUGAUAAAAACGAGGGCUGGCUUCAAAUAUUUGAAUAGACACCUCCACCGUACCUCAAACAAAUCUGUCAUUAUUUGUGCCAUGAAACAUGUUUCGGCCGUCAAAGUCAUGAGAGGGUUGAUGACGCUACUACGUAUGAUGACACACCAGCCGACAGUGUAGUAACAGCUCAAAAACAAAAUCUACCAAAAUCAACGGAAGUUAAUAAAAAAUUAUUUUAUUAAUAAAAAUAAAUAAAUAACUUAUUAUUUUUGGAGACGUGUGUAGUUGAGUCUGUGGACUGAAAUGGAAAAUAUGAAGAAGUUCAGAGUCGUUGUGCAGAUUGACUUCAGUUAAAUGGGACUAGUAGAUAUUUUAUGCUGACGUGGCACGAAUUAGUUAUAAUCUGUUACAACGUUUCCAGAAACAUCAGUAUAAAUAGAAGCUGAUGAGCAGUGCCUGUUGUACUUGUACGAUCCUUUUUCUUCUUCAGUUGUUCGUCAAUUUGCAUAGAAUCUGUUUCAUUGUGAUCUGUGCAAAGUCUUCUAUAAAUCCACUUAUGUUUGAUUAGUUAUUGAUCAAUAUCGAGAACAUUAUCCACCUGGAACGACUUCAAGUCCAAAGUAAAAGAGAGAGUGGCUCCCCGCAAUUUUCUUGUUUUCAGUAUAUUUUCUUUUUUUUUUCUUUUUUAAAAUCUUUUGACGCAUGCAUAAUCUACCCUUGUUUAUUAUCUCUACUUUGCUCUGCUCAAGUCCAUUUUUUCAAAUCUUAUUUUAAAUAAUAAAUUGAAUAAAAGUACAUUUGUGUAAUUAAUUAGUAUCUGAGGGGGGCAGCAUAUUUGGUGGAGUGUUAUGCUAUGUAAGACUCAGCUAUUAUCAAACAGUCCCUUAACCAUUUAAUUUAAACCAACUUCUAUUUGGUUUAUUUGCUAUCUUUGUGGAUCUCAUAGGCGUGGCAGAGUUUAAUAAUUUUAUCGUCUGAAGAAUAGGAUAUUGGCUUCAAUAAAUUUAAUUUAAACCAACUUCUAUUUACUCCAUCAAUUAAUUAAUGACAUUUUGUUUUGAAAAAUUCAAUAAUUAAAUUCUCACGUUUCAUGUGUUUGAAGUCAAAUUAUUCAUUAACUAGAACUCUGUUCAAAAUUGACUGUCUUGUGGUUCCCAAAUGUAGUUGUAAUAUUGAAUGAAAGUAAAAACUUUCUAUGGCGAGUUUAAAUCUAAAUCUGGACAAUGAAUUUUGAGUUUCUCAAUGCUAUUCUAAUAACAAAAAUUAUGUUGAUUGAUUUAUUGUUACAGUUACUAUCCUUUGAAAAUGGAUGGAUUCAUUGUUUCCGUGACCAAAUUAUGCCUGCCUAACGCUGCAACUAUUAAAAAAUUUAAUAUUUAAUGCACAUGUUAAAAGAUUUAAAAUUUUAUGCAUUUAUUAAUUGUUAUAAUCUUAAAAAAAAUUAAUUAAUUCAGGUCAAUCUGAGUUGGUGCAUCUGCAGGAGCCUUUUUUUAAUUUUUUUUUCCCCUUAUUGACCAUAAUGACAUCUCCUUCAACAUGACUAUUGACAAAGAGCAUGUAAAAACAUGGAAACAGAACUUCCACAGGUGGAAUUUAAGUUUUGGCCAUGUGGCCAUGAAAGAAAAAGGAAAAGACGCCUCUAAGAUUUGUUUCAGUGGUUUACAUUGACUCUUUAAUUUAAUUUAUAGUAACACAAUUUUUUUUGUACAAAUAUAUAUUAUUCAUGUUUUGUAUUAUAUUUUAACAUCAUAUUUUUAUUUAUUAUAAAUAUUUAAAGCUAAUUUUUAGGUUGAUAUUUAAUAAAAGGGUAUAAUCGUUCCAUCCAUUUCUCAUCUCGCGAUCUCUCUCAAUUAUCCUUUAUUGAUAGCUCAAAGCGCGUUGCUGUGGAAAAUUGUAGCAAAAUGAAAAAUUGGAAAGAAAGGGAAGAAAAUUAAUGCUUGGAGAAAGCAAUCCAAUAAGUCAACUGGUCUUUAGUGGGAACAUAUUACAAAAAGGCCUCGAUCAUCAUAUCGUAGACUCGGGGAUAAGGAUUUGGAUCGAGUUUUUGUUUUGAUAUUGAAGGACCUACUUCUCUGCCGCGAUGUAGAAUAUAUGCAAGGAGUUGUCUACUGCUCUUUAGGUCAUAAUAAUGUGAUUGGUGCAUUCAACGUUGCCCCGAAACACUGGAAAGUACUUCCAUAUCCUCCGAAUGAGAACUGAUUUAUAUAUGAUUUCCUAAUUGACUCAGGAUCAGAUGACAACAACAACUUAUUAAUAGUUAUAUCAAAACGGCAGAAGACGUGUUUUGUUUACAGGUUUGAUCCAUUUGGAAUGAAGUGGUCUCAAGUCGAAAGUAAUUUAUCGAAUAACUUUCGACUAAUUAAUAGUUAUAUCAAAGGGUGUGGGUGUUUUACCUCAUCAUGUCUUCAAGUGGAAGAUGAAGACUAGCAAGUGAAUUCAGGAAUAUUGCAUGCCAUUAAAUUUGUAGUUUUUACAUGUUGAUCAGCAGGAUACAACAUUAAAUUUUGUCAUUGACAAUACUGCAUGCCUGUCGUCUAAAGCAUUACCUCACAAGGUUUUAUGAGAAACGAAAGAUGUGUUUGCUUUGAACAAUUAAAGUUACUGCUACGAACCUCCCCAAAGGUCAAGAAGACAGAACAGGAAGCUAAUGCCAUCAAUGUCUUGUUCAUUAUAGCUGCUGGGUAGUUAGGUGUAGUUUCCUCAUUUGAAGCUGUCUAUACAUGGGCAUUUCCCCUGCUUAUGUACAAAUAAAUGAACAACCUUGAAGCUUUAUUAUUCGCAACAAAAAGGGAUUACUAAUUGGAGAAGACUAUACAGAGUUUCUCUCACACUUUCACUCUGUCAAUUUCAUCUAGAAGUCCCUCUAAAAGCAUCUCCCAAAACAGUUAGUCAUCUUUUAUGCUCUGUUUGUAAAAAAUGUGGGCUUUAUUCUUUCUAGAAGAGAUGGAAUUCUAGAAGAGAUGGAUUUGCACGGUCAAAAAGAAAAGAAAAGCCGUAAAAUAAACAGUAGCCGCAAAAUGAACAGUAGCCGCAAAAUGAACAGUAACCGCAAGAUGAACAGUAGUCACUGGUGGCUAUAAAUAGAGGAGUGCUCCUCCUUAUUGUUUGUAUCCAAAAUCCCAGAGAAGGAAUCCAAGUUUUGGUGAGAAAUUGAGAAAGAAAAAUAUUCUUAAGCAUGUAGUUAUAUUGAAGGAGCAUUUGUCUCCUCAAUAUGGGUAUUACGAGUUUGCUUUGUUAAGAGGUAUUUCUCAAGAUUAUGUAUUUGGGGUUUGGGUGAGAGAAAAUUUAUGAGAGUGCGGUUGUAAUAAUUUUCCACAUAGUGAAUAUUUUUUCUCUGGUUGUCUUUUUGACAACGGCCGUGGUUUUUUCUCCGGAUUUGGAGUUUUCCACGUAAAUCUUGUGUUGUGGGAUUGAUAUUAUUUUUCAUUUAAUUUUUCUUGUUAAUUUGUUAAUUGACAAAUUGCUUGGAGAGAUCUUGGGAGGAAGCUCAAUUUCCUAACAGUGGUAUCAGAGCCAUUGAUUGAAGUUUUGGUGUCGGGGUACUAUUCACGUAUACGGUACUGUUCACGUGAAGCAGUUUGAGCCAAUCCGAAUAAUCUGUGGUGAAGAGAAUAUGAAGCAAAUAUGUCAGCAGCUGGUGUUUUUCAAACUUGGUUGAAGUUUGAUGUUGUUGAAAAAUUAAUGGGAGAAUGAUUUUAUUGGCUUGUGGAGAAUUCAAGUCAAAGGUGUAUUCAAUCUGGGUUACACAAGGCAUUGAAGGGGAAGCCAUCCCCUGCGUCCAGUGGUGGCUCUGGAAAAGCUAGUAUAAGUGAUGAAGAUUGGGAAGAAUUAGAUGAUCGAGCUGCAAGUGCCAUACGACUAUGUCUAGCAAAGAAUGUUCUUGCAAAUGUAGGAAAAAUUCUUACAGCGAAAGAACUUUGGGAGAAGCUAGAAAAGUUGUAUCAGACAAAGAGCAUCUCAAAUCGAUUGUACCUGAAGGAGCGAUUUCACACACUGCGAAUGGCUGAAGGUAUAAAAAUUUCCGAUCACCUCAGUGUUCUCAAUGGUAUUGUGUCAGAACUAGAAGCCAUUGGAGUUAAAAUUGAAGAUGAGGACAAGGCGCUUAGGUUACUAUGGUCACUUCCAACUUCCUACAAACACUUGUUACCUACUUUGAUGUACGGGAAGGAUACAGUAGAUCUUGAAGAAGUUACUAGUACUUUACUCUCAGAAGAAAGAAGACUGAAUGGUGAAAGUACUAAAACUACAGAUGUCUCGGCUUUGGCAGUUGUAGGGAAUUGGCAGAAAGAUAAAUCUAAGAAGAAAGGAGUCUGCUGGGGGUGUGGACAAUCGGGGCACUUAAAAAGAGAUUGUCAUAGUAGAAAUGGAGUAGGAUCGGCAAGUGGCUCCAGAUUAGAUACUGAUAGUAUUGCUAGUGGUAAGUCUCUCAUCAUCAUGGGAGACGAUGAUCCCUUGUAAAAUGGAUGAUGAUGACAUCCUCAUGGUAUACCGCUAGUACCAUGAAAGGGGAUAUGUUACUACUAGCGGGUCCACAAGAUUUACACACAAGGCAUGGUUGGCAUUGAUGCAGGGUGUGUGGUGGAAUUUAUGUCGAUGAUUGACAAACUUCCAGGAAGGCCAACAUGGAAGUUGCACCAUAAAUUUCAGCAGGAUAUUUCGACAUGUGCCGAUGUAAAAUUCUUAGAAUUGGUAAUUAAUUCUAAGUGGUAUAUUCUUUAUGGUGGAGUAUGAUAAUUCUCUAUGACGAGGAUUAUGACUUAGGUGAAAACAGUAAGGACAGUGUGGAGAUUGAUUGGUUCUUAAUCAAAUCUCCAAGUGAGAGAAUGUAAAAAAUGUGGGCUUUAUUCUUUCUAGAAGAGAUGGAAUUCUAGAAGAGAUGGAUUUGCACGGUCAAAAAGAAAAGAAAAGCCGUAAAAUAAACAGUAGCCGCAAAAUGAACAGUAACCGCAAGAUGAACAGUAGUCACUGGUGGCUAUAAAUAGAGGAGUGCUCCUCCUUAUUGUUUGUAUCCAAAAUCCCAGAGAAGGAAUCCAAGUUUUGGUGAGAAAUUGAGAAAGAAAAAUAUUCUUAAGCAUGUAGUUAUAUUGAAGGAGCAUUUGGCUCCUCAAUAUGGGUAUUACGAGUUUGCUUUGUUAAGGGGUAUUUCUCAAGAUUAUGUAUUUGGGGUUUGGGUGAGAGAAAAUUUAUGAGAGUGUGGUUGUAAUAAUUUUCCACAUAGUGAAUAUUUUUUCUCUGGUUGUCUUUUUGACAACGGCCGUGGUUUUUUCUCCGGAUUUGGAGUUUUCCACGUAAAUCUUGUGUUGUGGGAUUGAUAUUAUUUUUCAUUUAAUUUUUCUUGUUAAUUUGUUAAUUGACAAAUUGCUUGGAGAGAUCUUGGGAGGAAACUCAAUUUCCUAACACUGUUUUCUAGAAACAGAGUCCUAACUAAAUUGAUUGACUGAACAGUGCAUUUCAACAUAGCAUAUUUAACUGUUUAAACAGUUAUUUGAACCGUCUUCAGAGUUAUCAUCAACAAACUCAUUCAUACUGGUCCAAUCUUACGGACGAUAUCAUAUGCUUAAUAAUGAACGAAUAGUCUUGGAUCAGUGUUUUGCGGCAAGAGCAACUCGACACAAUCUGGAUUCAACCUCCUCCUAUCUAACAAGGGAUUUCGAUUUGAGUUACUUGGUGCUCAAGCAAAUUCACAUCAUAGUUUUGAUUCUUUAGAUAUGAAUUCAUCACAUUACAUAUAUCAGAUUAAGUGUAACAAAAUUCUUUAUCUACUGCGAAAAUAAUAUGCGCUAAAAAAUGAUUUCAAGACUAUUUGACUACAAAAAGCAGCUGCAUGGCUCAGCCUCAGGUAAGAAAGCCACAGAAAAGGAAAAUCUCACUGUCACGACUCACGUCACGCAUCAUUCAAGUGAUGGAUUUAACAAGACUGCUUAUGUUCUAUCAAAUUCCUCUGCCUCUCAGAAGAUAACUUUUCUGGGCCAAAUUUCUCAUCUAAAGCAUAUUAUGCCCCAAAGUCAGAGAUAACAAAAUGGGGCACUACCGAUUAUGAAAGAGAGCUAGUAGUUGUCAGAAGCCUAAGUCAAAUUCCGGUAGUAAGAAGAGGCCUUUCUUGAGUUUAGAUUAUGUGUUCGAGUUUUAAUAAAUGCCUAAGUUAAUAAUAAUAACAACAGUAAUAAUAAACUAAAAAGCAUAAUUACUAUUGAAUGGUAAAAAAAAAAAAUGAAAAUGUGUGAACUCCAAUAACCACCCCAGUGGCGAAUUUUGGAGAGGGCUAGGCCGGGCUUCUUAGAAAUUAUUUUUAUUUAAUUACAAAAUCACCUUUACUGAAACCUAUAUAAAAUUUUUUAUAUUAAUUAAUUAUGUUGCCUCUUCAAUUAUCAUUGAAUUCUUGUCCGUUCAUCAUUUGAUGGAUAAAUGUGUAUUUCAAUAAUUUCAAAUAAUGUCUAGAACAAAUAUUUUGAAUGAUAAAACUCAUUAUGUCCUGCAUUACUAGAUGUAUCUAUAAUUUAUUAUUUACAAAUUAUAUUGUAUGAUAAAAAUGUAUUGAAUUUUUUAAAAAAAAAAAAGUUCGGCUCACUCAGAAAAAAAUGUUAUUAGCUUCGCCACUGCACAAAUCUAGAAUAAUAAUUAUUCCUUAUUAUAUUGACUGCACCAAGCAAUAAACUAAUAAGUUCUCAUUAGUGGUUUUUAAUCUUUUUAAUUCUUUUUACCGCACACCUGAUCAAUAAUUCUAUUUUGUUAACUAAUCAAUUGCAAAUCAUAUAUUAGUGUUGAACGGUGAACAAAAUUGAAAAAAAAAAUUCUUAAAAAACGUGUGGACUCGGAUAGCCAGACCAGAAAUCUAUGACAAUAAUUAGCUUUGAUGCUGGGAAUCUUUUAGUUUCUGGCCGUAUUGACUCCACCAGUGAUGCUGGGAAUCUAAUGGAGCUCAUUCUUUGGUUUUACUUGCAGGUCUAGAAGCAGGUGUCAUCUUGUAAAGAAGGAAAAUAAUAUUUGCCUUUUUGAAUAAUUUUAUUGAACCAGGAGACGCAGCUAUAUACAAGAGAUUUCCUACAAUCAUGCUAAUCUAUUCUAGGUAGUCUAAGGGCCAGUUUGGUAAUGCUGCAGCUUUUAAAAUAAUUACUGUUAGCUGUGCUGUAGAAAUAAUCAGCUGUGAAGAGAAUCAGUUAAGUGUUUGGUAAAUUUUAUUUUUAAAAGUACUGUGAAUUUUGAAAGCAGUUAUGGGUGUUUGGUAAAUCUUAUUGUUAAACUGCUGUAAGAAAAUAAAUGACUAAAAUGUACAUAAUGUAGGAUGAAAUUUACUUAUACAUAUAAAAAUAUACACGUACAAUAUUAUAAUAAAAAUUGCAUAGGCAUAGAAUUGUUUAUAUAUAAACAAACCCAAAUAAGACAAACAACAAAUAUUAUAAUAAAAAAUACAUUGAAUAUGCAUGAAAAGGGUGAUGAAUCACUUACUGUUAUUGAAUAUGGUUAUGGAACACAUACUGGAUCUUGCUUUGUUGCACUAGAGAAGUUUUGAUAGAACACAAAAUAUGAAGAAAUAGGGUAAACGAAAGGUGUGUGUUAAUUAUAAUAAAAAAUUAUUAAAAUAUUGAUUUUAUUUCCAAUUUAAAUAAGGAUAAUUUCGGGUUUAAGUAAUAAUUGUAAGGAUAUUUAUGGAAUUAUAUUAAAGGAUAAAAUUGAUUCUCAAAAUCAAAAUCUAAAAGUUACUCCUUCCCUGCUUUUCAAAAUCAGCUGUAGGAGGAGCUGAUUCUGGCAAAAGUAAUUUUGAUUUUUUUUUUACCAAACACCAAAAUUAGCUUUUAGAUUUUUAAAAUCACUUUUAACCCUCUCAAAAGCAAUCCCAAACGGGGCCUAAAUAUAAAAGGCAACUAAACAAAUAUACAACUAAUACAAUAUAUUCGUCAAUGAAUGGUCAGAUAUCAUUGACCUUUCCUUCUCAACACUCCCCCUCAAGUUGGAGAGUGGAUGUCAAGAACUCCCAACUUGCGUAUCAUAGUUGAGAAAGCUUCCUUUCCCAAUGGCUUGGUGAACACAUCUGCAAGUUGAUCUGUUGAGGCAACAUGUUUGGUUACAACUGAACCAUCUUGUAUUUUGUCACGAAUAAAAUGGCAAUCCAUCUCUAUAUGUCUGGUUCUUUCGUGGAAAACGGGAUUGGCAGCUAUAUGUAAGGCUGCUCUGUGUUAUCACAAUAUAAUAAUGCUGGCUUCGGAUGCAAUAUUCUCAAAUCCUUCAAUAAUGAGCGUAGCCAGGAUAAUUCACAACAUGUACCUGUCAUGGCUCUAUAUUCAGCUUCUGCUGAGGAGAGAGAUACGGUUUUCUGCCUCUUUGUCCGCCAAGAAAUAAGAGAAGAUCCCAGAAAAACACAAUAACCCGUAGUGGAUCUACGAGAUAUUGGACAACCAGCCCAAUCCGAAUCAGAAAAAGCUCGCAAAGAUAAAUCAUUCUGAGAAAGGAAAAACAAACCUUGCCCUGGACUAUUUUUCAAAUAACGCUAUACACGCAAGACAGCUUCCAUGUGUGGUCUACGUGGUGCAUGCAUGAAUCUGCUUAACACAUGGACCGAAUAGGUGAUAUCCGGUCGGGUAAUAGUUAAAUAAAUUAGGCGUCCAACAAGUCGUCUAUACUGAGACGGAUCUUUAAGCAAUUCACCUAAAUCCGAGAGCUUUAUGUUUUGUUCCAUGGGAAAGUUCACAGGUUUAGCACCCAAAAAUCCACCAUCUUUUAAAAUUUCCAAAGUAUAUUUUCGUUGCGAGAUGGAAAUACCUUUCUUCGACCGAGAAACUUCGAUGCCCAGAAAAUACUUCAAAUCACCCAAAUCUUUAAUUCGAAAAUGACUAUGUAGAAACUGCUUGAGGGAUACUAUGGCAUUGACGUCAUUACCCGUAAUAAGAAUGUCAUCGACAUAUAUCAACAAAGCUGUAAACGAUUUGCCUUUCCGACAUGUGAAUAACGAGUAAUCAGCUUUGGAUUGAACAAAGCCAGCAGCUUGGAUAGCUGUAGAGAACUUGGCAAACCAUUGUCGGGAAGCUUGCUUUAAGCCAUAUAACGACUUGUGAAGGCGACACACUAGAUUCUCCCCCUGUCGCCGAAGACCAGGAGGUGGAGACAUAUAAAUUUCUUCAUGGAGAUCGCCAUGAAGAAAGGCAUUGUUGACAUCAAGUUGGUGAAGAGACCAAUUCUGGGCAGCUGCUAAAGCCAAUAAACAACGAACAGUAAUCAUUUUAGCAGUGGGAGAAAAAGUGUCAUGGUAAUCUAUACCUUCUAGCUGUGUGUAACCUUUUGCAACCAAACGAGCUUUGAAACGCUCAAUACUACCAUCCGAGUGUCGUUUGAUUUUAUAAACCCAACGACAACCAAUAGGCUUCUUACCAGGAGGAAGAGAAGUGAGGGACCAAGUGUGGUUGGCUUCUAAAGCAGCCAAUUCAGAUUGCAUUGCUUCUUGCCAAUGGGAAUGGGAAGCUGCUUUGGCAUAAGAUGUAGGCUCAAUAUCUUGACUGACAGCAGCAGUAAAAGAGCGAUGUUGUGGUGAGUAACGAUGAUAAGAGACAAAAUUGCAAAGGGGAUAUCGUGUACCUUUUUGUAGACUUGAUGACAAAGGCGGCAAAUGGUUGGGAGACGUUACUUGGUUACAGACAUAAUCACGUAAAGCCAUGGGAGGGUGAUGAGGUCUUUGGGAACGACGUAAAAUGGGUUCGGGAGGAGGACUAGCAGGUGAUAGCUGAGUAGAAACUAAAUUCGGUGGUAAUGGUUGUUGGAUGGGAGAAAUUGGUUCCGGUGGUAAGGGUUGUGGAACUGGUGGGGAAGGAGCGGAUAUAGAAAGAGGAAUCACAUGGUCUGAAUUUAAGGAAGGGGAUGGAAUAGACUCAUAAGGGAAAAUAGUUUCAUGAAAAACAACAUCACGGCUAGUGAACAUUUGGUGGGUGUCAAGGUCAUAGAGCUUGUAAGCUUUUUGACCAACUAGAUAGCCAAGAAAAAGACAUCGUUUAGCUCGAGGAGCAAAUUUAUGGGGGACGUGCACAUUAGUAGCAUAGGCAAGACACCCAAAAACUCGGAUAUGAGAAUAAGAAGGAAGCUUUCCAUAAAGUCGUUCAAAAGGAGUUUGGCGAGAAAGGAGUGGUGUGGGCAAACGAUUAAUUAUAUGAACAGCAGUAGAAACACAUUCUGCCCAAAAAUGUAAAUGAAGGUGGGUUUGAAAACGAAAAGCUCGAGCGGAAGCAAGAAUAUGGCGGUGCUUGCGCUCUACAACCCCAUUUUGUUGAGGGGUAUAGACACAAGAAUGUUGGUAAGUGGUCCCUUUUUGUUUAAAAAAUUCCCGCAUAGAGAAGAAUUCUCCACCAUUAUCAACCCAAAUGUUGGCUAUAGAUACAUGGAAUUGGGUUUGGACAAAUGAAAAAAAAUUGACAAGUAAAUGUUGUGUUUCACUUUUGUGAUGCAUAAAAAACACCCAUGUGAAUCUAGAAUAAUCAUCCACAAUAGUCAAAAAAUAUUUCGCACCAGAAAGAGAGGCAAUUUUAUAGGGACCCCAAAUGUCACAAUGAAUUAAUUCAAAAGGUCUAAUAGAUGAAAUUGAACUAAUAGAAAAUGGAAGUCGACUUUGUUUUGCAAGUGCACAAACAUCACAAGCAUUAUUAGACUGGGAAGGGAAAUUUAACAAAUGUUUUGCCAUAAAAUCUAAUCUAGAGGAAGACAAAUGCCCCAAACGGCGAUGCCACAAAAUGGUGGAGGAGGUGACCUGAGAACUGGGUGAACAGCAAGAAGUGGCUGCUGCGGAUGGAGUUUGAGGUUUUGGUUUUUCUGAUGCUAACGCAACCAAGUAAUAAAGUCCGUCUCGUUGUUCACCCAAACCAAUUGUCGUCCUCGUCGUCAAGUCCUGCAAAAUACACCAAUGAGGGAAAAAAGUUACUGAACAAUUGAGAUCUCUGGUAACUCGACUCACAGACAUUAAAUCCACCUUAAAAGAUGGCACACCAAGCACAUUUUGUAAAGUAAUAGCAGAAUUCAAAGGUAAAUUCCCAAUGGAUGUAAUCGAAGCCUGUUCUCCACUUGGCAUAGCAACUGGUGGCAAAAAAGUGUUCUUAUUGCUGUUGACAAGCAAAGUUGGUGAUGAAGUAAUGUGGUCUGUUGCACCACUGUCGAUAAUUAAUCGAUGGAGGCGCAACAAUCUUUGUAACAAACCUGAGGCAGCAGCAUUAGCUUUAGGAUUGGUGGAUUGUGUUGUCCCUUUACCCUGCAUGAUAGAUAAGAUUUGUUGGAUUUGCAAGUCAGAGAGCCCAUUUGUCACUGAUGGCACUUCCUGCAUUACUGGACUUUCCUUGACAUUGUUGGCUGAAGAUUGAUGGUUAUUGUUGCGCUUGAAAUGAGUGCUUCCUUGAUUAGAUUUGUUUGAUGCAUGUUUAGGGUGUUCUGGUGGGUACCCAUUCAGCUUCCAGCAUUUUUCUCGUACAUGAUGGUCACGAUCACAAUAAGAGCAAUGCAAAGGUUUUCGAUUAGAUGGGUUGGAACGAGAAGAAGAACCUUGUUCAUGUCGAACAGCUAGAGCUACCGGUUCAGCCCUUCGAACAAUCAUGGCUGAGUUCUCCAUCAUCUCACGUGCAACCCCCAGGCUGCGCUGCUUCUCCUCUUGUACAAUGGAAGAGUAAGCCUUAGCAACAUCAGGUAGCGGAUUCAUCAACAAAAUCUGCCCUCGGAUUGCACUGUAGGACUCAUUGAGUCCCAUGAGAAAUUGCAUCAAUCUGCGUCUCUUAUGGUCUGCCCCACAAGAGCAAACGGUGUCAUUAUAGGAUCCUAGUUCAUCCCAUAAUUUUUUUAGCCUUGUGUAAUAAGCUGCAACAGUCAUCUGAUCUUGAGCAAGACAAGCAAUGUCCCUCUCAAUCUGAAAAAUACGAGGGGCAUUGCUUUGAGAAAAACGAUCCCGAAGGUCUUCCCAUACCUCCUGGGCGGUGGUCGAAAAUAUGACACUGUCUGCAAGGUCUUGUGUGAGUGAAUUGAGAAUCCAAGACAGGAUCAUAUCGUUGCAUUUUUUCCACGAAGCACAUUCGUCUGGUUUGGCUGUGGCAGACGGCAUUGUGGUGGUCCCGUCUAUGAAACCUAACUUGGAUUUGGCAUUCAAAGAAAUCGUCAUGGCUCUACACCAUGUCGAAUAAUUAUCCCCAUUAAGGGGCUUGGAAACAAGCACCAUUCCUGGAUGAUCAGAAUGAUGAAGAAAAUAUGGAUUGGCAGCAUCAAGCUUGCCUCCAUUCGAAGGUUGCUGUUCCGUCAUGAUAAUGAGUAACAACGAAAAAAGAAAGAGGGCAGAGAGCUAGGGUAUCGUUCCCUGCUCUGAUACCAUGUAAAGAAGGAAAAUAAUAUUUGCCUUUUUGAAUAAUUUUAUUGAACCAGGAGACGCAGCUAUAUACAAGAGAUUUCCUACAAUCAUGCUAAUCUAUUCUAGGUAGUCUAAAUAUAAAAGGCAACUAAACAAAUAUACAACUAAUACAAUAUAUUCGUCAAUGAAUGGUCAGAUAUCAUUGACCUUUCCUUCUCAACACAUCUAACAGCUGCUUUGAUAAUUUCCCACACCUUCAUCUUUGAUGGAAAUAUGAAAUAAAAACAAAUUGGUGAAAAUGGUUUUGGUACCCGCGGCUCUGUAAUCUAUUUCAAAAACUACACCAUCAAAACGACUGCAUAAGAAUCUAACUUCUCCUCUUGAUUUUUAUGGGCAUGUUGUGUAGUCCAUGCAGACAAAAAUCAUAUUUUAGUUUACUCUUACUCAAUGCUUGGAUUAAAGGUUUUUUUUUUGGGGGGGGGGGGGGGGGGGGGGGAUUGAAGCAGACUAAAAUGACACAAAAAAUAGUUGAACGAGUGUGGGUUUUGUCUUCAUUUUAGGAGAUCUUUAUAAAUUUUAGGAUUUUUUUUCCCGAGAAAAUUUAUGCCAACUCAUUCUUUGCUUCUUUUAUGAAGGGACAGAUGCAACUGAAAGUAUAUUCUUGAAUUCUAUAAGAGACAGCAGUUUAGAUUCUCGAGCCUUCAAAAAAAUAUCAAAUUCUAGAUUGCUGAAAUUUUAUAUAUCCAAGUAUGAUGGUGCACCAAUUAUUAACUCCAGGGUGCAACUUCACCGCGGAUUAGAAUGUCUUCCUGCAGAAUUGAGAAAUCUCCAUUGGCAUAAAUAUUUUUUUGAAAAUACUGUCAUUAGAUAUUUUUAUUAUUCAUACUUCAUUGCACAAGGCACCACCUGGCUUCUAUUUCAAGCCCUAAUAAUGAUCCGCUGCUGGAAAAGAAUUUGUGCAGCAUGUACGCUCCUUGACCACAACAGCAAAGUUUAUUGAUGUUAUUUCAUAUUCUGCUGUGAGUCAAAUAAAAAUUUACUAUGCCCUUUCGGCAUGGCUUGCCUUUCAGCAAAAAAAGAAAAAAAAUCUUUCAAAUUGUGGAAGCAUGCUUACAUUAAUCAGCUCAGUAUGUUAUGUUUCAAGGGAUGCAAAAUUCGUUUUGUUUCUCAUGGAAGAAUUGACUUGUCUGGAUGUAUUAAUCUCAUAGAUUUUCCACAGAUUCGUGGGAAUAUAACAAAGCUAGACUUAAGUGAGAUCCCAAUAGAAGAAGUUCCGUCAUCAAUAAAAUGCCUAGCUGAUCUUAAAACGUUGCGUUUGAGUAAGUGCACGAGGCUGAAGAGGCUUUCCAUCAAGCAUUUGUAAAUUGAAAUCUCUUCUUGAGCUUUAUCUCUAUAACUGCUCAAACCUUGAAAGUUUUCCAGAAAUCAUGGAGAAAAUGGAACGUUUAAAGAUAUAAAUUUAGCAAGGACGGCCAAUUACAGAGCUGCAAUCUUGAUAGCCUUCGGGAUAACAUUAGCAAUUUAAAAUCUUUGAGGUACAUCUCUACUAAUGGAUCAGCCAUUAGUCCUCUGUCGCAGGUUCGGUUGUACUUAAAUAUCUAUCAUUUUCUCAAUACAGAGGUUUGGUAUCAUUGCCUCCAAUAUUAUUGUCAGGUUUAGGUUUAUCGAAUUUGUUACAGCUAAAUUUAAGAGACUCUGCUAUAAUGGAAAUUCCCCAAAAUAUUGUUCGUCAAUCCUCAUUGAAAAUUUUAAAUCUAAAGGCUUGUUUGUUAACUACUUGAAGUAUGUAGUUAAUGCUUUUUUUUUUUUUUUUGUAAUUUAUGUUUGAUUUGAGAUAUUUACAUUUGAAUAAAAAAAUUAAACUUUUGUUACAUUUAUCUAAAAAAAAAAAAGGCUGAAUGGGAAGUAAAUAAUUCCCUUUUUCGUUUUAACUUACAAAAACAUAAAUGUUAACUAUGUUUAAGAAAUUUUUUAUUUAUAAAAAGAAACCAAAUACUACUUAUAUUCGUAUAUCAAAAAAUGAAAAACAAACAUGUUAUUCAUACGUUCACAUACAAACUCAUUCAGACCUCAGCUAAAUACAAAUCCAUUUACAUUUCAAAAAAAUAAAUAAAUACUUCCUAAGCGGGAAUAACUUUGAGAGUUGACUUGCAAGGCUAGAAUAUCUUGACUUGAAGGGUUGCAAUGAUUUCUCAUCAUUGAGAGUUUAUCAUUGUGCUUCAUCAUCAUCAUCAUUAUUAAUAAAAAGGUAAGCAAUUAAGAGUCAAAUUAAACCAGAAAAUCACUCAUCCACGCUUUUGGGACAUCAUUCUGCUCAUUAUUUUUAUUCCGUAUCUUCAUUGUUUUAUUUGGUAAUUAUUACCAUUAGUAAAUAAAGGGAUUAGUUGAUUAUUAUGAACUAACUAAAUGGAGCUCACCCUUAAAUGUCGGCUUGUAUCAGGGAGGUGCCUUAGGGUUAAUAAAUCAACUAAUCCCAUAAUUUGUCGAUGUAGGUGAUGGUUGUUAAAGCCAACAAAAACAAAUACCUACUCUAAAUAAAUUGUGUAUAGUGAUUGAGCAGGGUCGUGUUUACAGAGAUCGGUAAUUAUUUAAAUCCUUUUAAAACGUAAAACAUAAAAUGGGGGUUUUGUUGACAAUAAUAAAAAUCAAAUUAAAAUAACAAGAAUGCAAAUUAAAGUUGUAAUUCAAAUUUGGAGAAAGCUCUGGUUGAAGGAAUUAACUCAGCUUAAUUCGACUACUGAUCAUUUAUUCAAAUAUAAAUUAUUACUACUUAUGAAUAGACCGGUUAUGGCUACUGAGAACCUCUAAUAGCCAAUAUCUCCUUAACUAGUCGAUAACCAAGGUACGACCAUUGAUUAUUUCCCUAAUCAAUAGACAACCCUAGAUACGAUCAUAUGAUUUAAUCAAUUGACAGCCUAAAAAACCAGAGAGACCCAAAUCCUAAUCAACAAACACAUACGAUGGUUCAUUUAAAUUAGAUUGUUUAUUCUCAUAACACAACUCUCUGCUAUGUUAUUUGUCACAAACAUUAAAAUCUUCAUACAAUGAAUCCUUUAAUUGACAAUAGAUUAAGUUGAUAAUUAAAUAGUGGCCAAUUACCUAAUUAACAAACAUAAUCAUGAAAAUAAUUCAGAGAAUAAACAAAUACCCAAAAAGCAAUAAAACAAUUAAAACAUAAGAAAGAUCUCACAGUAGUGAUGAAUCAAAGCUUCAUUAACCUUCAACUAGAAAAAUAGGUUUAGUUCUUCAUAGAGAGAAGAGAAAAGUUUAGAUCUAGCGUUUCUUUCUUUUUCUCCAAUCCCCCCUUUUUCACUAUAGAUUCCUCCCUUAAAUACUCUCUCUCUCUUCUCCUCUAGAGUUCUAUUUAAAAUAAAAUACUAAUAUAUGAAAUAUUAAAUUCGUAAUUACAAAAAUAGCCAAAAAUACAAAACAUGUUAAACUAAAAACUGCAGGUCCGUAGUUGACAGCACGCGCCCACGCCUUAUCAAUAAAGUUCUUCUGACGCUCUAAAUUUCUCCAAGAGAACAAUCAUCUUUAAACAUCAUCUUAUAGCUCAAUUUUAUCACAAAUCAAUAAAAUUGCACCUACAAAAGUAAAACACAAGUAAAUCAUUAUUAUUAAGUGCAAAACAUCGAUAUUAAGGGAAGUAAACAAUGCAAAACUAGUGCAUAAAUUGCACUCUAACAGUAGGGUAGCAAAUUAUUGCCAUAGAUCAGCACACAUCUCGAAAACAUAUUUGAUCCACACAGUGAAGAUGAUUCAAUAUUAAGCAUGUCAUAUAAUCUGGAGUUGGAUAUUGGAUCAAUUUGAUGAUAAUGAGUUUCUUUCAAUCUCAAUAUGUAUCUUCUUCGCAACAUGACUAGCCAUUGCAAACUCAAACUCUGACAAUGAUUUCUCAAUCGCUUUCUAAGACGAUGAGCAUGUAUGUAUAUAUAUGUGUGUGCACGUGCGCGUGUGUGUUUGUGUACGUAUAUAGAGAGAGAGAUAUAUAUAUAUCACACAUGUGCGCUUUCCUUUUGUCAAUAAGAUAUGCAGAGAGCUUAAUAAUCAUAGAUUAGCUUAUAUCCUUCAAACCAUGUGCUAUGAAGUAAUUUCACAAACACUUGUUGAACGUUAUUGAAUCAGUAGUUCACAGUUCAAUACAAUGUAGGUUUCCUAUUUGAAGUAAAUGAUUAUGGUGUGUGCAUUUUUCAUAAAGCUAACUACUGAAUUUACCAUUGAAACUUGCAAAAUGUAACAGAGAGAUGCAGAUAGCAGCCACGAAACACUAAGAUUGAAAAUCAGGACUACUGAAUUCUAUUACAAGCCCUUAAAAUAGACAACAAUCAUCCUCAAAUGUAUAUACUGAAAGUAAAAAAUAUUAAUCGUAAAGUUAUGCAUUAACAAAACUAUUGAAUACUUAUCUUUAGCUAUAUAUUUUUAAUUGUAGCUCCCUACUUUGUUCUAAGAACUAGGCAAAAGUAGCAUAUCUUCAAUCCAAUCAGCAUAUAUACCGCUCAUCUUCUCCAGUUCUUUCCACUUUGAUUUGCAUUUCAUACCCUGCACUUGCUGCUUAGAAAUAGUCAUAGUUUGCACAUUGACAGUAGAAAAAGUACUUGAAACAAUCAUUGGCAUAGCAUGGGAUUCCAUUGAGUCGCGGUCUCCAAGCUUUCAUGGUUCUGUAAAGAAAAUGACAAAAACAUCAUGCUAUUGGCAUUCUACUUUUAGCAAUUUUCCACAAGCUGAGCUUUUUCAUAUCUCUCUAUAAAUUAUGCUGGUUCAACCUUCAGAUAAGUUUGUGAUAAAGGCAUCUAUGAUUACAAUGGGAAAAUUACAUGAACUUAUGUUAUCAAUCAUUGUUUUGCCUUCUCGUGAUAGAAUUCUGCGCAAUAUAAAACAUGACAUAUCUGUUACUUACCAUGCCAUGUCGUGAACCUAGAAGCAAUGCAAAUUGCAAGGAACAUAUUAAGCUAUCUACUGUAUAUAACAAAUUCUUAUUAGCCCACAAUCUUGUGCCCCAACAUUGAUCAAGUAACACUAUUAUUUCAUUUCCAAAAUGGCAUAUAUAAUCUGAUGUUGAACAAACCAAAUUGGGAAUCAUCAUUCCUUACAUUGAGCUGACAUUCGUACCUGCUAGUCCAUGAGCAAAGUUGCUUAUAUUUCCACACAGGCAGCUCCCCUUAUCUCUCGGUUCCGACAGAGCUUUGUUUUCCCAUCACCAGCUUUGGAUUCAUUCGAUCACUGAUGCUCCGAGUUAGCAAGCCCCUUGUUGUGUUCCCAUUUAACAGACCCACUUCUGUUAUCCACAGAAGAUCCACCACUCAAAAUGCUUAUCACCGAACUAUUCCUAAACUGAGUAGAAACUUCCGCACAUCUCUCGGCAUUUACAUGAAGAAAUCGACACCCACCCUCAUAUUUGUAAGUUUUCUGAUAAUAGAAAUGUCUACAAAGCUGCAUUUCGUUAGGCAAUCUAGUCUCUCCAUUCCUAGCAAAGUGACAUUGAUUCCCGUAUUUGUAAUUGCCUAAUUGGGGUUUUGGCAAUAGCCUGGUCUUAAAAUUACCACCCAUUACUUUGUUCAAUGCCACUGGCAUCCUCUGAUUAGGAACAUUUUCACAAUUUUUAGCCCUGUUAGUCGAAUCACAUUCAAGGGGAUAGUGAGACAGUAUUUCACUAAAAGAUUCAAUUUGACUACACAUAUAAGAAUUUGAAAUCACUUUUUCUUGGAAUAUUUAAUGACCCACCCAGGGUGAAAGUUUUUGAAUGGAAAUUAUUUAAUUUGAUUUGUUUUCCAACAAAUUCAAGAAACCCCAGAUAGUAACAUAAAAAAAAAAAAUCAACCAAUAAUACGCAAUGGGUUUCUUUCUUUUUGCUUUUGGAGGGCCAUGAAGAUCUGGAGUGGGCUGUAAGUAAUAGCCUUUAUCACUGGAGUGACAAAUUUGCAGAAGAUGAUGCAUGGGGAAGGAUUGGGCGAGCAUAAAAAUGGCUUUACACUCUUUGGAUUAGCGCCUCAUUUAGGUUGUAGCGAGAUAAAGAUAUCAUUUAAAGUUUUAUAAUCCUUGUUAUGCUUAAGGCUUCACUUAGUAUAGCAUAGAGCUUUUCUAGUUUAGCAUUUUACAAGUAGAAUUUUUUUAAAUUAUUAUUUAUUUGGUUGUUUUGUUCAGAAGAGCUUUUAAAGCUCCAAAAUCUUUGAUAGUCAGGUUUUUUUUUGGUAAGUAAAACUUUUAACAAAAAUUUAUUAUUCACUUGAUCGUUUACAAGAGUUUUCAUUAGAAGUUAUGUAAAGUUCUUUAAUUUUUUUUAUCAGUGCAUCUUUUUACAAGUAUAAUUUUUAUUUUUUAACAAAAAUUAAUUCAAUAAUAUUAAUAAUCUCAAUAUUUGAGUUUUAAUAUCAUAUGUCACUCAUUUAUUGGAUGACAGAUUUCAUAACUUAUAAAAUUAUUUAACUAACAUCCACUAAGCUAAUGUCACUAUAGUGAAGAUUGAAGUUGAAAUUUAGAUGUUACGUUGGGUAAUAUUGCGCUUAUUUGGUUGUUUAUGAGAGUUUUUUUGUACAAAUUUAUUUUUAUACAAAUUGAUAUAGUCUAAAUUCAUUAAUUAGAUGAAAAUAGAAAAUAAUAAAAAUAAAUCUUGUGUACUAAAAGUUAUUUAAUCUAUUUAAUUGAAUUAUCCUACGUUUGUUUGUACUAAAUAAAUUUAUAUAAAAAUUAAUUCUAUUUUUUGAUGUGCAACUAAACUUUUAGUCUCUUAUUAUUCGUAAAAUUCAAAUUCAGUGGCUUAUCAAAUAAAAUUAAAACUAUUGGUUAAUCAAAUAAAAUUAUUUGAAAUCAUUGGGUGUGGUAGCUGGAGCUCUUGAAAGUUGAAACUAUGGAAGCCAUGAAAUAUACCAGCGAAAAGAGUUCUAAUUUUUAAAUGUCUAUUUUAUAAAAAUUUUAAUAAUAAAAGUGUCGCAUCGACAUUGAACAGUAUAAAAAUUUUUAAUAAUAAUUUUUUUACGUUUGGGGUAUUUUUGUAAUUAUACGAAGGUAAACUAAUCGCAAAAUUCAUUUGGCUUACACUUGCUCUGUGUAUGGUUAUGGCGGUAUCAUUAUCAUCUUCUCCAUUCGUACUGACACCAAACCUUAACCGUUCAGAUUCCCUUUCUCGACUGUCAUACCCUACGCCCCGUCUCCGUGUCUCCGAUAAACAGUGCUCAAUUAAGGCCAUCAGAUUAUCCCGGACCCACAUUGAUCCAACGGCUCACAAUGACCGACGACCUCUCCAUCUCCAUUACAAGCUUCCUCUUCAACUGGCUUCUGCCUCUAUCGUACUCUUUCUCGGAUUCGGAGCCCGUAUAUGCUCGGCUGGUCCUACGGAGCUACCUCUCACUCCAGCUGUCAACCAACAAGACCAAUUGCUUAAUCCAGACACAGAACAACAAGAGGGUGAGAAAUUGAAUCAAGAAUUUGAGAAUUGGAAAUCGAAAACGUACGCAUUGACCGUGCCUUUAAGGGUCGUUUCUCUUCAGAAUUCAGUGCCUCAAUCUUGGGUUAAGGAUUUUAUGCGAAGUCAAGGAAAGAGAUUGAAGUUUCAGAUGAAUUUUUGUGCUAGCACUGAUGGGAUCGUUA
rnacentral:lncRNA from 1 species